AUAAGAUAAUAUUUAAUCGGCGAAGGUGUCCCUUGGAAGUACAUCCUUCUUUUUCUUUUAUUAUAUAAAUUCUUGCAAUGAGCUUAGUGAAGCUGUUGUGCUAAUCAUGCCACUGCAUAAUUUGGCCCCUAAUGUGGGUACUCUGUUACAUUGUUCUGCAAAUUCUCCAGAAGUUAAAAUCAAUAAAUUUUCUAUUAGCUCUAGUGCUUUGACCUAAAUGCUAUUCUAUAUUCUGAUUACAAUGUUUUAACCUUUAAAUUAACUACCCCUAGAUGUUGGAUUUUCUAGAACUUCAAAUUAUAUAUAACCUUUAAAUUAUAUAUUUCUGUGUCUCUAUUUAUAGAUGACAUUUAAGCAUCCAUAAACCGUCAGACAGAGGAAGGGGGUUCAGUGCAAAGAUUCUGUUGACCUAGGGUUGACUGCAUAUGUCACUUGUUCGCAAUCUAAUAUUUAUUUUAUAUUUUGAAAAAUUUAAUGGGUAAUCCUAAUUGUUUGUUUUGGCAGGUAUGUGUUGUUAUCUCCUUCUAUCUUACAGUCGUACCUAAAUAGCAUAGUUUCAUCUGUGUUACCAUGUGAUGUACAUAAUUUCACAUUUGCCUCAGAUUAAGCUUAAUUUCCCACAGAAUAGAGCUGUCGCGACUGGACUUAGUUUGAUGUCCAAAGAGGUAAAUUAUUGGCAUGCCUAGAUAAUUUGGCCAUUUCCUAAUUCAUAAGUCUACAUUAAUUUUGAUUUUGAGUUGACUGAUUUCUUUUCAAGGUCUGCUUCCUUAACGGAGUGACCAAUGUUUUUCAACUAAAUUUAUCAUAUGAUGCAGGAAGCAGGGCAGGAUAUGAAAUGAGAAGCUCAUUGGUGGAAGUAUUGCCAGUAGCAGAACCCAAUGAAAAUGAAACUAUUUCAAGGCAGCAGUUGGCAGUUGCAAGUGAAUGGAGGCCCUUGACAAAAUUCUCAAGCAGUUGCAAUGCAAUUACGAUCAUCCUCAGCCUCAGGUAAUUUCUUCUCCUGCUUUGUUUUUAUUUGUUAUCUAAUUAGGAAGCAUAAAGUAUCUUGAAUCAUUUUCUGUAUCUGGAAUAUAUGCAAGAGUUUCUAAAAUUUUGAUAUGAGUGUAAUGAUGGUAAUUUCUGUUUUCUGUCUGUCAUCAAAUGUUAGAAAACUUUCAUUGAGACCCUUGAACCGAGUCAUUUUUGACAAGUGAAGUGCCGAAGAGUGAAGAGUAAGAAUGGUGCUAGAUUGGGGAAUAAAGCAAAAGGAGGUAAAUUAUUGGCAGCUUCUUCAGCCUUAUUUUCUUUGGACCAGUGCCUAAUUCACAAGUCUCCAUAAUUCGGCUUUUGACCAGUUGAUAGAUAAAAUUUUAAUUUCAUUGGUGCUAAUGUACCCGUGAAGCAGGCAGAGAAGGACUGUGGAAAAGAGAAGGUUUUUAGUGAAAGCUUAAACGCAGGUAAUUCUAUAAAUUAUAUGUUUUUGCUGAUUUAUCUAAAUCAGGAAAUUUUAUUUCCAUCUGUUACAAUAAAACAGAAACAGAACACAAAGAAAAAUAGUCUACCUCUUGUGGCAAUCUUGCCUUCAUUCAGACUAUGAAACCAUUUCCUUUCACCAAUUUCUUCCAAAAGUUUGAACACGUUUCAUGGUUGGACAUAGUUAGCUUCUUUUUCUUUUGGUGCAUUUAGGUGCUAUCAAGUGACAGCCAUAAGUAUGAUUGCAUUAUUGGGAAAUUUUAGGUUUUGAUGGCUCCCCAUGUUAUUGCCAAGAAAUUUUAAGUCCUCAUGUCAGAAGCUGCGUUUCUUUUCAUCAGCCUGAACCCGAACUGAGGUUUUUGUCAUCAACUAUAUCAUCUUUUUCACUGUUUUGAAACUCUUAAGAUUAAACUUCAGUAAAGUUGUUUCAGUUAUCCAUGUAAUCAGGCUAAGGAUAUUUAGCAGCUUAUUUAGGCAACUGCCAGAAUUCAGUUUGUUUGCUCGAAACUUGUAUGGUGACAAGGAUACUGGCAAGGAUAGUGAGAUAGAUUUUUGUGUGAGUGAAUUUUGAAAGCUUGGGUGUUCUGGGAUUUGCAAUUGCAAUCAUCCUCUGCUUUAGGUGAUUUCUUCUCCUGUUCUGUCUUUAUUUUCUCUCUAAUUGAAAGCAUAAAGUAUUUCAAUCAAAUUCUGUACCAGGAAUACGAAAAACUUACUAAUAUUUUAUUUCCAUCUGUUUGCAUUGAUAACUUGGCCGCAUAUGUACUAGUUAAAGAACAAACAGAAGCAGAGUUCAGGAAAAAGUUUCUUCGGCCACCAUAUUUGAAAAUGAAACCAUUUCCAGGAAGCAGUUGGCAGCAAAUUCAUACAAAGUACAGACAAUGAUGAGCAAAAAGGUGAUUCGCAAUUUCAUUUUUUAAAAAUGAAAUUAUUUGUUAAGUUGGAGCUGAUAUUGUUAGAAGGCCAUUGAGCUAACCUAUGACACUACUUGCCUAGAUUGCAGGAGGUCAAGACUCAAAAGAUGCACUGAAUUUUAAAAGGCAUGCAAUAAUUCUUAUGGCCAUUUGUCAAUGGUGGAAUGCUUUUAGCUUCUUUUCCUUUCGUGCAUUUUGGGGUUCUAUCAAGCGACAGCCGUAUGCAUGGAUGGAUAUAGCCGCUGCGUUGAUUUCUAAUGCGUUGUAUGAUGUUAUAGCAACUAUCCAUCUGGUCAAUGUUUCAAAAGAAUAAAACACAGGGAAAAAGAGAAAGCAAGUGGCCAAUCAAGUAUUCAUGUCCCAAAGAAAAGAAUGAUUCGACAAUAGCAUUAAGGGUUAAUUGGACACAAGAGAAGUGUUUUAACCACUUCAAGGAAUGUAAAUGUAAUUUUCUAUUCUGAAGAAAAAGUAAAUAUAUGCACUGUCAAUUAAUCUUUGGUCAACCAGCAACAUUCAUAAUUUCGUGUAAGUUUCAUUUCUGUUUGUUGGAAAUAGCAGUGUAUUUCUUAGAGUUUGUAAAAAAUGGAAAGAUUUUAAAAUAUAAAUUUCACAUCUGUUUAUUACUGUUGUUUGAUCUAUUUUCUUAUGUAGAAUUUUCGGAAUCUGUAGGACAUUAAUUUAUAAUUUUGAGAUUUUGUAGCCAUAAAUGUUUUUGUUCUUUUUUUCUUUUUUUUGUUGGCAUUUUAUUUUGCUCCUUUAUCUAUAUGCAUGUUGACUAAAGCUAAUCUAGAAUCAAUAGAGAGGGAUAUUUAUCUAUUUUGUUUAACAUAAGAGUGCUGUAUAAUUUUUCACUAAAUACACCUACAACAAACUAUUAAUAAUAAAGUGAUAGAAGAAUGCCUAAUUUUUCGUACUUUUUAAUUUCUUUCAGCCCUAAAAUAUAGGUAUUAAUGUCAUAAUAAGCCCAUGUGGAUCUCAGUGCCGCAAGUUCGAUAAAUGGCUAUCAAGGAUUACUUAUUAAGUCAAAAGUAUUCAAAGGACAAAAUGGUAAAACUAUAAGGGUGGAGUAAGAUGGCUACCUUGGGUUACAUAGUAAGUCGACUACAUUCAAAGGAUAAAAUAUUAGAACCUGAACGGCGGAGUAGUCGUCGUUAGAACCUGAACGGCGGAGUAAUCGUCGUUAGAAUCUGAAUGAUAUGUCUAAGACGUUGCAUGCAUCAAGAAAAUUGCAGAUGAUUAAACCUUGCCAUCCAUGCGUUGUAUGAGGUUAUAGCAACUAUCUAUCUGGUCACCGUUUUAAAAGAAUAAGACAAAGGGAAAAAGAGAAAGAAAAGAAUGAUUCGACAAUGGCAUUAAAGUUCAACGUACCCCAAGAUCUUGUAAUAAUGCCAUUAAUCAUUCUCUAGCUAGGCUAGCCUUAGAGAAAAGUGAAACUGUUGCACAGGUAGAAUCACACCCCUCAGAGAUAAUGUAUUUAUUCAGCUCUUCGAAUGAAUGAAGUUUAUUUUCUCGUCAAAAAAAAAAACUGCUCGCUCCGCUGGUUUCAUACAAUGUCAACUAGAAACAUCAUACUUUCGUGUAAGUUCAUUUCAGAAUAUUUCUUAGAGUUUGUAUAAAAUGAAAAGAUUUUAAAAUAUAAAUUUAAUAUUUGUUUAUUACCGUUGUUUGGUCUAAUUUCCUCGGGAGAAUUUUCAGAAUUUAUAGGACAUUAGUUUAUAAUUUUGAAAUUUUGUAACCUAAAUGAUUUUUUUUUCGGUUACCAUUUUGUUUUCCUGCUUUAUCUACGUGUAUGUUGACUAAAACUAAUCUAUUUUGUUAAACCUUUACCACUCUAGACAUUGCACUAAAUAUGAGUUCGUGAUGCUUGCAUUUUAUUGAUGCUGAUGAUUCGUUGAAUGUUUUAUGUUUUUGAUUUUUAAGUAUUCCGGAUCGAAGUUUGUGUCUACGCGGAAAUUGUAAAGGCAGCAUAUAAAGUACUCGUCGUUCUUUAGAUUUUAUUGAGUACACUUUUGUCACAUUUAGCGUAUGCUAUACACUACUGAUUUGCGCAUUGACAUAUAUCUUUUUUUUUUAUGAGAGGGGGCUCGUCAAAACGAGCUAAACAGGAACAAACCGGGGGUUAGAAAUCCCAAACAAGUCUUGCGAAAUGAUAGAAUAAACACCCAUAGGAGGGUUAGAGAACACAUGGAGGCCAAGAGGAGCUGAAUGAGCCAUAUUAGCCAUGAAAUCCGCAGCUGAGUUUGCUUCGCGAUAAAUAUGGGUGAUAGCAGUCUGCCAAUUUCUACUUAGUAAUUCCCGGACAGCUGAUAAUAAAGCAGUGAACGCAUUAGGAACAACCACCUGCUUAGAAAUCAUUUGUGUAAUACAAAUACUAUCCACUUCCACCAACAACCGUUUUAUGCCUACAUCCCAAGCAAGAAUUAGGCCCUGAUACAGCCCCCAAAGCUCAGCCAUAAGCACUGACCUGUCCCCAAUUUUCAUACAAAAGCCGGAUACCCAAUGACCAACUGAGUCUCGAAUAACACCUCCCGCUCCUGCUUCCCAAGUAUUUUUACAGGAGCCAUCUGUAUUUAAUUUACACCAUGGCCAAGGCGACGGCAGCCAAUGAAUAUAAAUCUCCUGUCUCCUCGGCUGCUGGCUUAGGCAAGAAUUAUUUACUCUGCAAAUUUCUUUAGCUCUCGCCAUAACAUCCAUAUAGAUUGUUAGACUAUCCACCAGCUUUCCCUCAAAGAAAAAAUGGUUCCUCCAGAACCAUAGCCUCCAAACUACCACACCAAAGAUACAAUCCCAGGGGAGGGGAGACCCAAUCUUCCAUUUAUUUUGCAGGUUCCCAGCAAUCCAUUCUCGUAAGUUCGAAUUGAAGAAAGUGUUAUGACUGGCCAUCGGAACAAGCUUCCGCCAAACCUGCUUGAUACAGCUGCAGUCUCUCAAUGCAUGGAGGAUAUCUUCAACCGCACCCCCACACCUAUCACAAUCCUCAGGAACAUUAAUAUGGCGCCUAACAAGUUCAUCACGAGUCUUGAGUUUCCCAUGCAUAAGCUGCCAAAGAAAAAGGCGGAUGGAUUGAGGCCCCUUCCAACUCCAUGGAAGCUUCCAAUUUCUGUCAUGAACAGCAGCUUGAUGAUAGCAAAGUGAUUCAUAAGCUGACCGAACCGAAAACAUGCCGCUUGGAUCAAAGCCCCAGUAAAUAAUAUCAGCCCCAAGAUGAGGAGCCGGAGGCAAGACUGAAGCAAUCUGCAUGAGAAUACCAUGCGGCAGAAGAUGCUCAAAGCUCGACCAAUUCCAUCCCCCAUGCCCAUUCGUAAAGUCACUCACAGUGGCAUUGAUAAGCUCGUGAGGAAUCGGCAAGAUGGCAAGGCUGAUCAGAGGAUAUUUCGUAGCCCAACAAUCAACCCAGAAUCGAGUUCUAACACCAUCACGAACUGACCAGCGAGCUCCCUGCACUGUUGCCAACCACGUGCUACGAAUAGCCCUCCAAAUCUGAGAACCCGGUUUGUCUGAAAGAGACAUUGGUAGGUUGCGAGACUCCAAACCAUAUUUGGAGCAGAAGACUUGCACCCACAGUUUAUCCGAAUUGGAAACAACCUCCCAGCUCAAUUUCAUCAACAUCGCCUGAUUCAUUUCGUCCAUUUUUUUGAAUCCCAGGCCUCCAUGUUUUUUCGGCUUGCAAAUUUUGUCCCACCCCACCAUACUCAUCUUGUGACUCUUUGAAUUCCCAUCCCAAAUAAAUCUUCGACAAGCUUUGUCUAUUUUAUGUCUCACUGGAGAAGGAAGUAAGGUCGUUUGCAUGGCAUAAACAGGCAUUGCUUGCAGGACUGAUUGAGCCAGAGUGACGCGUCCAGCAAAAGAUAGAUGAGCCGCGUUCCAACCAGUUAACCGCUUAUCCACUUUAUCAAGGAUGGAUUGAUACGUGUAUUUAUUAACCCGCGAAUGGAUUAAGGGCAUUCCAAGAUAAUCACCCAAAUUAUUUGUGGCCGAAACUCCCAAAGUCGAGCCUAUGAUAUUGGCAUCCCGAGAAGCGACAUUUUUUGAGAAGAAAACUUUAGUUUUCAUUUUGUUGACUUUUGCUUCCGAACUCCUACAAUAAUUAUCCAGAACAGCAUCUACGACAUAAGCUUGAUCAAUUGAAGCUUCCGCAAAUAAAAGCAAAUCAUCUGCAAAAAAGAGAUGCGUUAAAGGAGUUCCAUAUUUGGCCAACCGGAUAAGCCUCCAUCUCCUCUCCAUCACCGCUUGGGUUAUACCAUGGCUUAACCGUUCAAUGCACAGAACAAAAAGAUAAGGCGAGAGGGGAUCGCCCUGACGGAUACCCCUUCCCGGAGUGAAAGCUUAUGUCGCCUCGCCAUUCCACAAAAUACGCAUACUAGCUGAAGUUACGCAUUCCAUGAUUAGUCUAGAUAAGUGAAUUGGAAUACCAGUCUGGUUAAGCGUAUCAAAAAUGAAAUCCCAACUGAGCCGGUCAUAAGCCUUCUCAAGGUCGACCUUAAUGGCCAUAAAUCCUUUCCUGCCAGUUUUUCUGCGCAUAGAGUGAACUACUUCCUGAGCCACUACAAUAUUAUCUACUAUAUGCCUCCCAGGAACAAAGCUCGUCUGAUUGGGGCUUAUUAGAUUGGGCAGCAGUGUUUGCAAUCGAGUGGCUAUAAUUUUAGUCACCGUCUUGUAGGCCACUGUGUAUAGGCUUAUGGGCCUAAACAUCUUUAAGCUAGUGGGGUGCUCCUCUUUAGGAAUCAAAACCAAGAGGGUAGUAUUUAUCUCUUGCGGCACCUUCCCCGUUGUAAAAAUAUCAUGAAUAAACCUGCAAAACGACGGACCAACCACAUGCCAUUGGGAUUGAUAAAAUAUAGCGUGCAAACCAUCCGUACCUGGGGCUUUCAGCGGCUUCAUGCUAAACACAACGUUCCGAAUUUCCUCCCUCAAAAUUGGGGCUGCAGCCCCAUCUACGUCAUGAGAAUCCAAGGCUGGGAAAAAGUUUGGAGCAUGGUAAUUCCGAUAAGUUGCAUUAUCACUUGUAAAUAGGUCAGAAAAAUACCCCACUACAUGCCUCCUUAUAUCCUCCUCAUCAUAUAGCCAAUUCCCCGAACAGUCUCGGAUGGCCUCAAUUCUAUUCCGCCGCCUUCGAGCAAUGGUUUUUUGGUGGAAAAAAUUCGUAUUUCUGUCCCCAUGCAGAAGCCAAUCCUUUCGAGAUUUCUGAAGCCAAAGAAUUUCCUCCGAUUCAUCACCAUUUCGAGCUCAUUUUGCAUGCGGGCUUAUAAGCGCAACAAACUGUUAGAGCUAUAAUUCUCUAGAGUAGCUUGAAUUCCAUUAAUCCGAGCCAUAAGCCGGCGUUUUCUCUGAAAGAUAUUCCCAAACACAUCUCGAUUCCAAGCUUGAACCUCCUGGACAAAAUGAGAGGCUGCUGCACUAUAAUGGAUUUGCGGAUUCCACACCCGCUUAAUAAAGUUAUGAAAAUGCUCGUGAGUUAACCAAGCAGCCAAAAAGCGGAAAGGCCUGUUCCUCCUGUGACCGGCCACAGCUCUCUCAAACCGAACCAGCACCGGCCUGUGAUCCGAGGCAACCUUCGGGAGGUGGAGGACAGAAUUAUUCGGAUACUUAUGUAGCCAAUCACUAUUGCACAGAGCUCUAUCAAGCCGUUUAAAGAGCAAUCCACGUGACCAAGUAAACCUUGGACCUUUAAACUUUAAAUCAAAAAUUUGGUGCCCAUCAAACCAUUUCCGAAACAGAUUACACACUCCUGGGUUCCUGGCCUCACCCCCCUGCUUUUCAGAGGCAUAUAAGAUAGAAUUGAAAUCCCCACCUAUCAGCCAAGGGCCUCGAAUUGAAGGCGCAAGGUUCUCCAUAUGGCUCCACAACUGUCUCCUUAGCAUUGGAUUUGGGCUGGCAUACACAGCCGUUACCCAAGACACAAAGGUCUUAUUCAUACAAAAUUUAAAGUGAAUGAACUGCCUAUGAUUAAUUAAGACUUCCACCUCUAUGGAAUUUCGCCAAAGAAGCCAAAUUCCUCCAGAAAAACCCACAGCUUCCACCCGGUGCGAAUACUCAAAUCCACUUUUCUUUAUAAAGUCAUCGGCUUUAGCACCACUAGUGCGAGGUUCCAUUAACACCACCAUCGAUGGAUUGUAGUUUUUAAUAAUUGUUUUAAACGAGCGCCUAAAUACCCCCGAGGCUGCCCCUUGUACAUUCCAGAACAUGAUACUAGCUGACAUAAUAAAAAUAACAGGAGAGAAACAAACGUCUACUGCUGCUGUCCAAGGACUUCCUCCAUCCACGCCAAUGGCGUUUCUUGAACCAUCUCAACUUCAUUCUCAACCAUCCCAUCGCCAUCAACACCAUUUAUAGGUACAACUGGAUGGUUAUGAGCACUGUCACCUUCAUUCACCCGAUGGAUGGUUUGAUCAUCUGGAGGGUCUGCUACUUGUUGUGGAUCCGGACCUUGCCUCUCUAUGUGUUCCGCGGUCACGUCCCUUUCAUCACCAUUAGGAAGGGUUUGGGAGGAGCAAACAAACACUGUGUGUUUAGAGGGGUCCAGGGUGGUUGCGAAUGGUGCCACGAGUUGAUUGCUAGAAGCUUUCUGAGGGAAAAUAUGGGGUUCAAAGCUUCGGUUUGCAUGAGGUAGGAUGGAUAUUUCCUUCUCUCUGGUGCUGAAGACACUAGGCUGGAGAGGGUUACAGGUAGGAGUUACUGGGACGUUUGGUUUCCUGCUCUGAUUCCUUGCUGCCACGGCCUUAUUUUGCGGCUUACGACGAGCCAUAGUCUUUGCUGAGGUAUCUGCUCUGGCUGUGAAAGUAUGGUUUGAUGCGGGCAUGAAAGGUUGCCGUGAGGUGGAAGGGAAGUCUGGGCAAGCCUCAUGCACAUGGUUUCCACCUUCAUCCGAGACUUUGGAUAAUAUGUGAAACCGUGAGGUACCAGCUCCAGUAAACUCCCUAUUACGGUUUGAGUCUCCAGUGUUCUCCUUACCAAUAUUCGGCUUCCUUCCUCUCCUAGUGGCAAUCAUCCAGGGUCCGAAUAGUUCCACAUUAUUAUCACCAUUACUACCUACAGCCUGCUGGCCAGGAGCCUCAUUUUCCGGCACUGCCUGUUGGGGUUGACCAGCAUCUUCAGGGCUUGUCGAACUCUUAGCAUCCUUACAGUUGCUGCUACUAUGCCCGUAAGAUUCCACACUUAUAACAAAUUACUGGCAAUCCCUCGUAUUCCACCUUCUGGAUCUUCCCAUCCAAUUCAAACUGAGAUACCAGCGGCCUUGUUAACGAGAUACUUACUGCAAGACGUGCAAAUCUUCCACGAGAUGAGGAGGCUGUAUUCGAAUCGAUUUUAAUCACGUUACCCACUAACUGACCCAGCUUCUGUAGAACUUUUCGAUUAUAAAGAUGAACCGCAAGGCCUGGUAAACAGAUCCAUACCGUGACUUGAUCAAGAUCCGCAUUUGUGAAAUCAAAAGAGGGUGUCCAUGGCUGCACAGUUAAAUAUUGACCCAUUAUAAGCCACGGUCCCUUAGUUAAAACAUCCAUAGCAUCCCCUACCGAUCUGAAACGAACCAGAUAAUAAUUGUUUUCCAAGUCAAUCACGGAAAAACCCAUGGCUGAUUUCCACAUGACAUUUAAUCUUGCACACAUAGCUCUAUAGCCAAUUGUGCGGCCAAGCAACUUCACAACCACCGAGUUCUUCCAAGGCUCACUUAACUUAGCAUGAACCCUAGCCGAAAAAGUGAUGGAUGGCAUGGGUCCCUCGUUAGUUUCAAUAAUGUCUCCUUCCUCAAAAUCCCAGUCCUCUAGUCCACCUCCAAUUCCUUGCUCCAUCGCUUGUGUUGCAUUCACUAGGGUUUCUUUGUACGAAAACUGUACAGUGGUAUCCCCAGCAUGUUCUUCAUCACGAAAUCUUGCUUUUUUAAUCGUUCUAGCCUCCCUAAACGGCGGGGGAAAAAUCCCUCCGGAGUUAGGGUUUCCUUCACGUCCGAGGUUUUCGGAGCCUUCCAUAUGGUGUUGAUCUUUUUAAGUCACUCGUUUCAAUAUUUCAUUUAUUUCCUUUUCAAGCUAACAAUUAAUGUAUAUGAAUGUGCGGAUGCAUUGACAUAUAUCUUAUUUUAUCAUUUUGAAUGAAUUGCACGGCGAGGCUUAUCAACUUUGGAUGAAUCCUCCAAUUGUCGCAGUCCAAGACUGGCUGCAGUGAGUGAAAAUUUACCCAUAUAUAUGCUGGCUAUUUUUAUUGGCGACGAAUUCGUUGUAGUUGGUCCAUCUUGCUAUUCUCGGACAAUAUUAGAGAAAAUAAUCAUAUUAUUUCGCGUGAUGUGACCUUCCAUAACGUAUCAAUUGAAUUACUGUAAAAUUAUUGUGUAAGUUUAGGCCCAAUGGCACUUUAGUUCAUCACAUGAUAGCCUGGAUUUAAAAGGAAAACUAUAUUGCAUUGCUUCAAAAAAAAAAUUUAAUGUUUUUAAUAUGAAUAUUUUUAACUAUAUUCAGUUAAAAUAAUAUAUUCUUAAUAUUAAUAUUCAUAGAUGAAAUUCUUUUGCGGAUUUAAGAAUAAAAUAUCAAAUAGUUUUAUUUUUCUUUUGUUGUGUAACUUGGACCGAAAAAGAAAAUGAGCUUAACAUGACCCUCCUUCCGGCACUAUGCAUGUUUUUCUUUUAUUUUUCUUGUAUUGAUGACAGUGCUCUUGGUGCUUCUCAUCUGCUUCUUGCUUUGGUUUCAAACAAGUCUUUCUCCGUCGAGACAUUUAUUGUAAUUUGAUUUGGAGACAUCUGUCGUUCAAAUAUAUUUCAUAUGCAAGCUGUUGAUAAUUCUGCUUGAGAAAGCCUUCAAAGCAGCUGUGUGAUGUAAUAGAAGACUAUAUAUGCAAGCGGGUACCGAGCUCGAAUUCUUUCUUGAGUUUCUUUGAAUUAUUUGUGAAUGAGUUCUUAAUCGGCUGCUGCUCUUCAGGAAAAGGAAAGUGUUGCAAACUGGUGAAGCUGAUCGAUAAAAGCAAUGUACCAUCUUUGCUGCCAUGGAUCGAUGCCAGUGAGUUUUUUAAUUUGUCAACCUUUUUAAUAAUGCAUAUGUGUUUCUUCAACUUGAAGCGGCAUUUAAGACGAAAGAAGUGAUCUUUAAAGCAUUCUAUAGCAUUAUCCUUUCCUAUUAUAUAUAUCCAAUUGCUCCAAAUUAUUUGUAAAUUACUGAACACGAAUGCUGAUGAAUAAACUGAUGGCUCUAUGUAUGUAUGCACAUGCAUGGAGAAAUUUUAAGUCAGACAUUCCCAUAUAUAACUCGUGCUACCAAAUCAUUAAAUAAUCUUGAAAUCAAAGUAAUAAUUAAAUACAAAUAAAUUGCUCGAAUUGUACAUAUAUCUGAAUCAUGUAGUGAAGAAAAUACAACAACAACAACCAAUGGCUCAAAUUCCCCAUCAACUUCUAAUCUCAACACUUUUGAGUGUCAGAAGCAUUACUCUGCUACCAGUUAACAAACAUAUAAUUAGUAAUUUGCCAUUCACUUCCCUUUUAGGCCUAACACAUUUUCUAUAAAGGAGCCACAGAGUGAACUCAGCAGGAAACACUCAAUUUCAACCUACGUAGGACCAGGAAUUUCAACCAAAAAAAAAGUGUGCAAUUGCUUAUCCUAUCCUAUUGCUACUAGAAAGAAAGUGAACAAUUAAUUUCAGUGAAUAAAUUAAAAAAAAUUACUUCUGCAGAUACUCAAGCUAAGAACACAUUAACCCAUUAAAGACUCCAAAUUGCAUCAAACAAAUUGUUGUUAAACAAGUAAAACAAAGAAAGAGAGUUAAGGAAGCUGACCUAGUAGUAGGGGAGCUGAAGAAAGACUGCCAGUGAAUGUAAGAGAAAAUAAAAUGCAAUAAAUGGUGAAGUGCAGCUUUUCAUGUCAACUUGAAAUUGUUUCUUCUGUUUUUUUUUUUUUUAAUCUUUUGGAUUUUUAAAACAAAGAAAAUGAGGAGCAACCAGGGAGAUAAAAAGGGCGCCAAGGCAACUGUGUGUUGGGUUUAGAGCCCAAAAAAAAAGGAGGAUAAGACAUCGUGUUCUUGUGGAGACCAGACCUAUUACGUAACGUCCCCUUCAAUACCACUUGUUCCGUAUCUGGUUUUUUCUUCGUCUUUUACAUAUUUAUCCUGUGAUUUUACAAUAACUAAAUAAUCCCCGCAUAGUUUGCAAUUUUAUUCAUUUGAGCCCUACAGAUUUCAGUAAUAGGUAGAGUUGGCAAAACGGGUCAUCGGGUCGUGUUCGUGUCAUGUCAAAUUUAAGUCGACCCAAACCCGACCCAUUUAAUAAUCGUGUCAAAAUAUUGAGACCUAAAUCCGACACGGAAAAAUAAUCGGGUUACCCAAUAACUCGUUUAAUAUCAAUAUAUUGAACAAAAGUUACAUCAAAUAUUUACACACUAUCAUACAUACAUACAUAAUUUAUCGAUAUUAUAAAAUAUAUAUAUCUACUAAUAUAUUACACAUUUACACUAUUGAGGUUUUAAUUAUAUAUAUAUAUAUAUAUAUACCUACGAUGAUUGUUUAAGCCGCGGUAAACGCUUCUAGAACGCCCUCUGGCAGGAAGGAAGGUACUCAAAGAAAGUGGAGAUGAGGGAAACUCCGCUGGAGUGAGGGGAUUUAUCGGAAUCUCGUUCAGAGUGAGGAGUCAAUGAGGGUUUGCUUGUACUUGUGGUUCUAUUGAUAGGUGUUUGCAAUGGGCUUUCGUCUCAGGUAGUUCAGUCUCCGGGGUUACGCUUAGUUUCAUAUAAAAUAAAUGAAGAAGACAGCUGGACUUCAGAGUGGGAUCCUCCUAUGUUGUCGGCUGUUUGUUUGUCCGCAGCUAUUACAGCUUGUGCUCGAAUAUAUAUGUAUCCAUAUAUUUCCAGAUAUUAUAUAUCAAUAUAUAUAUAUAUUAUUUAUCAAUAUUAUAAAAUCUACAUAUCUAUCAAUUUUUUCACAUUUACACUAUUGAAGCUCUAAAUGUAUUUAAAAUUUUAUAAAUAAAAUAUUAUGUUUAUAUUCACCCUUUUAAAGAAUAAAAAAGAAAAUCAUUACUAAUAUUUGAGUUUUAAUGAUAAGAAUAUGUAAAUUAUUUUAAAAUAGAAAAUAUAAUCGGGUCAUUGAUCGGGUAAAUGGGUCAAGAAUUUUAACUCUAACCCGACACGGAAAAAAAUCGUGUUGACCCGGACCCGACCCAUUUAAUAAUCGUGUUAAAUUUGACGACCCAUAUUCAUUUAUUUAUGUCGUGUUCGUGUCGAGUAAUCGGGUCGUGUCAAAUUUUGCCAGCUCUAGUAAUAGGAAUUAUUAAGGGACAAGAGCGCAAAACAAAAACUCUGUCCACUACUGAUGAUAUAACAACGAACCUUUGUUUUUUUCUUCUUUUUUUUUUACAAAAUAUCAUUAGAGAAAUGAAAAUAUUAACUAACAUCACCCUACUGAUGAUAUAACAACGAACCUUUGUAGUUUCUGCCUGUUAAUAUGAAUUGAUCAGGAGUGUUUCCUCACUUAAAAAUUACGAAUUUACAAAUAUGUAUGUAAGUAUGUAUGUAUGUACGUACGUACGUGAGUAUGUAUGUACAUAUAUGCAUACACCUAUGUAACAUUUACUUAUCCAUCCUUUUGAGUUUAAAACUUAAUACACAUUUUCAUGAAAUUUUUAUUUUAUUAAGUAUACAACUACAGUAAUGUAUAUAUUUUUUAUAUAAGACAUGCCGUCAUAUUAUUCAUAAGUAAAACAAUGUGUUGUAAAUAGUUUAAUUAUUAAAUAUCAUACAAUAUCUUUCAACAACCGGCAAUAGACCUUUACCCAUUUUUCUUUUUCGACCAUUAGAUUCAUUCAGUUUACAUCCAACGGCAGUUUAGGAUGGAGACAAAAAGUGUGGUACGUUACCACAGUGGUAACAUUGGAUUGGGAUUGUAUGUCGUGUUUAAUUUGAAUUGGUUGAUUCCUCUAAUGAAUUAUUUUGAUAAAUUUAGUAGCAGUAUUUGGCGGCAAAAGUAUCAUUAAUUUUUGGAAAUAUGAUUAUGUUAUUAAUUAUUUUAGCAUUCUAAAAAGUCAAUGGUUAUGUUGGAAAUACUCUAAGGUAGAAUAGAGUACAAAUCACAGUCACACAUACAAAAUGAUAAAUAAUAAAAAAUAUAUUAUAUUUUUGAUCAUAUGAUUAUGAAGACGUAUUUUACCUUAAAGAAGUUCUAAUAAGCGAAUUCUUCUAAAACAAUAUAAAAUUUCUUUUUUAUCAUACUCAACCGCUUCAAACUUCUAAGAAGUAGAUAUACAAUGAGUGGAAUACUGAAUUGAGUGCGAGCUGCGGAUAAUAUAUAAAAUUGGGAUACAAGCUUCAAGGAAAGUGUAUUGCUAUUCAAAUGUAGAUUUCAAAUUAAGAAGAUAUGCCAGCAAAUUGUAUAAAAAUGUAUAAAUUGAUCAGUAACAUUAAUUCCAAAUGAUGAAAUGAGUUAUCUUGAUCAAAAGGUCAAGAACCUACCUUACUUCUCUUAGAGAUAACUUGCAUCAACCGUUGUGGUAUUGAUACUUGUCUUCAGCUAGUAAAAGACUAAAAGUGAAAGUUUCACAAUUGAAAUAAAGCUAAGGGAAGAUGCUAUGCUCCAUUUAUUAUUAUUAUUAUUGAUGUGGUCGAGAAGUAAAGCCAUGCAUAUGAUGAAGUAUAAAUAAGAAUGCAAUAGCCCGGAAUUCAUUUACACAAACACUUCAAUAUCCUUUUGAUCACUUUUGCAAACAUCAGUUUGUCUCUUGUAUUCACCAUGGUUGAUGCCAUCGUUUCCUCUCUUGUGGAGCAGCUGACUUCCUUCGCUGCUAAAGAGAUAAUACAACAGGUGAUCGAAGUUACACCCCCCAUAUUAUAAAUACUUCUAAUGAUUUUAAUUGGUUUUGUUUUUAUCGGAAACAUUAACUUUGCUUUAUUUUAUUUAUUUAGGCAUUUUAAAUUUUAAAAUUUGAAUUGAAUUCAAUUAAAAUGUGAUGUAGCUAGUAACCACUUUUUUUAUUUCAUUUAUAUUCUCAAUAACUACCCAUAUUUUGGUAACUUACUGUAACCCCCGUAUCUAAGAAAUGAUUAAAACCCACAAUUUUAACUCCACAUAAAUAUUCCAUGUUGAGCUAAGUUUUUGCAUAACAUUCAAGUUUGUUAAAUAGUCAUUAAUUUAAUGUUUAGUAAAAACUUAUCUCUGAAAAUUUUCAUAAUUUUCUUACAUUCUUUGAGUUUGGUGAGUGACUUCAUAUAAUUUCUUUUCAAUUUAAAUUUUAAUUUGGUUUCUGAUAUAGUCUCUUUACUGAAUUUAUAUCUUUUAUGAUUCUUGGAUUUUGGGCUCCAACUUUUUAGGAUUUGAUAGUCACAUUUUAUGGCAUGCUUAGAUUGAUUUUCAUGAUUUGAGUACUCGUUAAGUGACUGAGAAUUUGACAAAAGUUUGAAAGGAAAUCCGUUUCACGAUUCUUAUGUGGAAGGUUCGUAAAAUCAUGAAAUUUGGAUAGGAUUCGCUAGCAAUAUGUACAAGACUCUUCAUGAAGUUUCAUAAUUUUUCGUUCGGUCUGGGGUGGUACAGGUGAAACUUGUGGUUGGUGUUAAAGAAGAAGUGAAAAGCCUUAUCAGCCACCUUCAAGCCAUUCAAGCUGUGCUCGAUGAUGCAGAGGAAAAGCAAGUGAAGGACAAAGCUGUUAGACAUUGGCUGGGCAGGCUCAAGUAUGCAUCCUACGACAUUGAAGAUGUGUUGGAUGAGUGGAUCACAGCUAGACACAAAUUGCAAAUUGAGGGUGGCGUUGAUGACAAUGCUCUUGCUGCUCCUCAAAAGAAAAAGAAGGUAUGUUUCUGCUUUCCUGCCUCUUGUUUUGGAUUCAAACAAGAAGAAUUUGGUUUCAGACAAGUCUUUCUACGUUAUGACAUUGCCAACAAGAUCAAAGAAAUGAAUAAAGAGCUACAUGAUAUUGCCACUCAAAAAGACAUGUUUAAUCUUGUUAAGAGUGGCAAUAAAAGUGGUGAAAGACCAAGGCGUGUACAGAGUACCUCCUUGAUUGAUGAGGAAGAGAUUUGUGGUAGAGUUGGUGAGAAGAAUGAACUCAUAAGCAAGCUGUUGCGUGAGAGUAGCGAGCAACAAAAAGGCCUCCAUAUGAUCUCAAUUGUUGGUAUGGGAGGCAUAGGGAAAACUACUCUUGCACAACUAGCUUGUAAUGAUGACGUGGUGAAGAGAAAGUUCGACAAAAUUCUGUGGGUGUGUGUAUCAGAAACUUUUGAGGAGUUUAGGGUUGCCAAAGCAAUCGUUGAAGCUUUGGAUGGUCGUGAAUCUCAUUUAGGUGAAUUCCAAUCUCUUCUUAAACAUAUUGAUGAAUCCAUUGCAGGGAAGAGCUUUCUUCUUGUCUUAGAUGACGUGUGGGAUGGAAAUUACUUGAAAUGGGAACCAUUCUAUCGUUGUCUAAAGAAUGGUCUCCAUGGAAGUAAAAUUUUAGUUACCACACGUAGUGGGUCCGUUGCAUCCACGAUGGGAUCCAUAGAUAUUAUUCCCAUUGAGAAAUUAGCUGAAGAGGAAUGUUGGUUGUUGUUUAACAAGAUAGCAUUUUUUGGUAGGCCUAUCGAGGAACGUGAAAAAUUCGAACGAAUUGGGCGAAGAAUUGCUGGCAAGUGCAAAGGUUUACCUCUUGCAACAAAGACAAUAGGUAGUCUCAUGCGUUCUAAACAAACUGAAGAAGAGUGGAAAAGAAUUUUAAAUAGUGAUUUAUGGAAAGUAGAAGAGAUUGAGAAAGAUGUUUUGUCCUCUUUAUUGUUGAGUUACAAUGAUUUGCCAUCUAGAGUAAAAAGAUGUUUUUCAUAUUGUGCUCUCUUUCCAAAAGACUACGAUAUAGAAAAAGACAAACUAAUCACAUUGUGGAUGGCUCAAGGUUAUCUUAGUGCAGAAGAAGAUGAGGAGAUGGAGACUAUAGGUGAAGAGUAUUUUAGCAUCUUAGCUUCUCGCUCUUUCUUUCAAGAGUUUAAGAAAAGUUAUGAUAAUCGGAUUAUAGAGUGUAAGAUGCAUGAUAUGGUACAUGAUUUUGCCCGAUUUGUAAGUCAAAAUGAAUGUUUUUCGAUGGCAAUUAAUGGUAGUGAAGAACCAAACGCCACAAACUCUGUUGAUGAGAAGGUCCGUCAUUUAAUGUUAAUCUUUAGUAUAGAGGCUUCAUUACCUGUUUCCACUCCUAGAGUUAAAAGAAUGCGUACCCUCUUAAUUAACGAUAGUAGAUCUGAUCAAUCAUUAUUAAAUGGUGAGAUCCUAGAAGAAUUGUUUAGGGAAUUGACAAGUUUAAGGGCAUUAGAUUUUGACAAAUUGUACCACUCAAUUUGGUCUUCGACUCUGGAGAUUCCGAGAAACAUAGAAAAGCUGGUACAUUUAAGAUACCUUAAUUUGUCUUCUCAGAAAAUAGUGGAGCUACCGGAGACAUUGUGCGAGUUAUAUAAUCUAGAAAAGUUAGAUAUUAGUUUUUGUUUUGAUCUUAGAGAAUUACCUGAAGGGAUUGGGAAGUUAAUAAACAUGAAGCAUUUACUAAAUUAUGAUACUGAUUCUUUAAGGUACAUGCCAGUAGGGAUUGGGAGAUUAACGGGUCUUAGGACCUUGGAUGAGUUCCACGUGAGUGCAGGAGGAGCUGUUGAUGGUAGGAAAGCAUGUAGGCUUGAAUCUCUUAAAAACUUGGAACACCUUCAAGUAUGUGGUAUACGUAGACUGGGUGAUGUAUCAGAUGUGGGCGAGGCUAAGCGAUUAGAACUUGACAAAAAGAAAUACCUCUUCAGUUUGACCCUUGAGUUUGAUAAGAAGGAGGAAGAAGAAGGAGAAAGAAGGAAGAACGAGGACGAUCAACUUCUUCUUGAAGCCCUGCGACCACCUCUGGAUUUAAAGGAAUUAGAGAUACGGUUCUACCGAGGCAACACUGUUUUCCCCAGCUGGAUGACGUCAUUAACCAACUUAAAGAGUUUAAAACUCUCUUUCUGCGAAAAUUGCGAGCAGCUGCCUCCUUUGGGAAAAUUGCCGUCCCUUGAACAGCUCUUCAUAUCGUACAUGUCGAGUGUGAAAAGAGUGGGUGAUGAAUUUUUGGGGAUAGAAAGUGAUCAUCAUGGCUCAUCUUCAUCUUCAUCGGUUAUUAUUGCCUUCCCCAAAUUGAAAUCACUUUCAAUUGAGUUUCUGUGCGAAUUGGAGGAGUGGGAUUAUGGGAUUACAAGAACGGGAAACACCGUCAUCAACAUCAUGCCACGUCUUUCUUCCUUGACAAUUGCUCUUUGCCCCAAAUUAAAGGCACUGCCCGACCACAUUCAUCAAACGACAACAUUGAAGGAAUUGCACAUUUGGGAUUGCAGGCUUCUGGAAGAACGUUAUUGCAAGGGGGAAGGAGAAGACUGGCCUAAGAUAUCACACAUUCCCAACCUCCAUAUUGGGCAUUGACAAGUAAUUUCUUCUCUUACUCUGAUUUGCUUUGUUGUUGUUUUUAAUCUAAUUAAGAAGCGUAAAUAGCAUUUUGAAUCAAACUCUAUAUCAGAAAUCUGCAAUACUUACUUUCUAAUAUUCUGAUUUUCAUAUCCUAUGAAUAUACGAUUUUUAAUUUGUGAGAUGGGUAACGUUACUGUAAAAGAUUAUUAAUGCAAUAUGAGUAAUUCUUUUGCAGGACAAGUGACCUACAUUUAGUUUGGCUUUGGAGUUGAAUAAUAACCUUUCGGGAACUGGUGUGGACUGGCAAAGGAUGAUGAGAUAGUUUUUUGAGUGAGUAAAUUUUGGGAGCUUGAGUGUAUUGGGAUUUGCAAUUACAAUCAUCGUCUGCCUCAGGUGAUUUCUUCUCCUGCUCUGUCAUUGUUUGUUCUCUAAUUCAAAAGCAUAAAAUAUUUCAAUCAAUUUUUAUGCCAGGAAUAUGCAAAAGUUUCUAAUAUUUUAUUUCCAUCUGUCACAAGAUCAAACUGAAGCAGAACUCAAACAAAAGUAUGCUACUUCUUGCGGAAAUCUUGCCUUCGUUCAAAUUAUGAAACCAUUUCCAUGCAGCAAAUUCAUCCAAAAGUUUGAAUAAGUUUCAUGGUUGGACACUGUUGGCUUCUUUUUCUUCUGGGGUGCAUUUAGGUGCUAUCAAGUGACAGCUGUAAGUAUGAUUGCACUAAGCUGCUGCUGGGAAAUUUGAGGUUUUGAUGGCUGCCCAUGUUAUUUUCAAGAAACUAUUGAUGUAAGAAGCCGUGGUUCUUUUCAUCAGCUUGAACCUGAAACUGUCGCUAUGGAUAACUCAGGUUUUUGUUAUCAACUAUAUCAUCUUUUUCACUAUUUUGAAACUCUUAAGAUUAAACGUUAGUAAAGUUGUUUCAGCUAUUCAAAUGAAAAACUCAUUGAUUUGAGACUUCCUUCAUUAUUGUUUCUAAUUACAAUGCUAACGAUCCAGAUAAAAUAAUAUUUAAUCGGCGAAGGUGUCCCUUGGAAGUACAUCCUUCUUUUUCUUUUAUUAUAUAAAUUCUUGCAAUGAGCUUAGUCAAGAUGUUGUGCUAAUCAUGCCACUGCAUAUAAAUUCUCCAGAAGUUAAAAUCAAUAAAUUUUCUAUUAGCUCUAGUGCUUUGACCUAAAUGCUAUUCUAUAUUCUGAUUACAAUGUUUUAACCUUUAAAUUAACUACCCCUAGGUGUUGGAUUUUCUAGAACUUCAAAAUGAUUAAUGGAGAAAGAUCCCAUUAUCGUUAUUGCUAUAAGAAAUUGAUUUAUGCAUCCAAAGAUACAUUAUAUAUUUCUGUGUCUCUAUUUAUAGAUGACAUUUAAGCAUCCAUAAACCGUCAGACAGAGGAAGGGGGUUCAGUGCAAAGAUUCUGUUGACCUAGGGUUGACUGCAUAAUGUCACUUGUUCGCAAUCUAUUAUUUAUUUUAUAUUUUGAAGAAUUUAAUGGGUAAUCCUAAUUGUUUGUUUUGGCAGGUAUGUGUUGUUUUCUCCUUCUAUCUAACAGUCGUACCUAAAUAGCAUAGUUUCAUCUGUGUUACCAUGUGAUGUACAUAAUUUCACAUUUGCCUCAGAUUAAGCUUAAUUUCCCACAGAAUAGAGCUGUCGCGACUGGACUUAGGUUGAUGUCCAAAGAGGUAAAUUAUUGGCAUGCCUAGAUAAUUUGGCCAUUUCCUAAUUCAUAAGUCUACAUUAAUUUUGAUUUUGAGUUGACUGAUUUCUUUUCAAGGUCUGCUUCCUUAACGGAGUGACCAAUGUUUUUCAACUAAAUUUAUCAUAUGAUGCAGGAAGCAGGGCAGGAUAUGAAAUGAGAAGCUCAUUGGUGGAAGUAUUGCCAGUAACAGAACCCAAAGAAAAUGAAACUAUUUCAAGGCAGCAGUUGGCAGUUGCAAGUGAAUGGAGGCCCUGACAAAAUUCUCAAGCGGUUGCAAUGCAAUUACGAUCAUCCUCAGCCUCAGGUAAUUUCUUCUCCUGCUCUGUUUUUAUUUGUUAUCUAAUUAAAAAGCAUAAAGUAUCUUGAAUCACUUUCUCUAUCUGGAAUAUAUGCAGCAGUUUCUAAAAUCUUCAUAUGAGUGUAAUGAUGGUAAUUUCUGUUUUUUGUCUGUCAUUGAAUGUUAGACAACUUUCAGUGAGACUCUUGAACCGAGACAUUUUUGACAACUGAAGGACAAUUGCUGAAGAGUCGGAAUGGUGCUAGAUUGGGGAAUAAAGACAAAGGAGGUAAAUUAUUUGCAGUUUAUUCAGCAUUAUUUGCUUUGGACCAGCGCCUGAUUCACAAGUCUCCAUAAUUUGGCUUUUGACCAGUUAAUAAAUUUUUAAUUCCAUUGGUGCUAAAUGUACACGUGAAGCAGGCAGAGCAGGACUGUGGAAAUGAGAAGGUUUUUAGUGAAAGCUUAAACUCAGGUAAUUCUAAAAAGUACAUGUUUUUGCUGAUUUAUCUAAAUCAGGAAAUUUUAUUUCCAUCUGUUACAAGAUAAAACAGAAACAGAACACAAAGAAAAAUAUUCUACUUCUUGUGGCAAUCUUGCCUUCAUUCAGACAAUGAAACCAUUUCCUUUCACCAAUUUCUUCCAAAAGUUUGAAUAAGUUUCAUGGGUGGACCUAGUUAGCUUCUUUUUCUUUUGGUGCAUUUAGGUCCUAUCAAGUGACAGCCAUAAGUAUGAUUGCAUUAUUGGGAAAUUUUAGGUUUGGAUGGCUCCCCAUGUUAUUGCCAAGAAAGUCCUCAUGUCAGAAGCUGCGGUUCUUUUCAUCAGCCUGAACCCGAACCUGUCGUUAUGGAUAACUCAGGUUUUUGUCAUCAACUAUAUCAUCUUUUUUACUGUUUUGAAACUCUUAAGAUUAAACUUCAGUAAAGUUGUUUCAGUUAUCCAUGUAAUCAGGCUAAGGAUAUUUAGCAGCUUAUUUAGGCAACUGCCAGAAUUCAGUUUGUUAGCUCGAAACUUGUAUGGUGACAAGGAUACUGGCAAGGAUAGUGAGAUAGUUUUUUGUGUGAGUGAAAUUUGAAAGCUUGGGUGUUCUGGGAUUUGCAAUUGCAAUCAUCCUCUGAGUCAGGUGAUUUCUUCACCUGCUCUGUCUUGAUUUUCUCUCUAAUUGAAAGCAUAAAGUAUUUCAAUCAAAUUCUGUACCAGGAAUACGUAAAAGUUACUAAUAUUUUAUUUCCAUCUGUUUGCAUUGAUAACUCGGCGGCAUAUGUUCUAGUUAAAGAACAAACAGAAACAGAGUUCAGGAAAAAGUUUCUUCGGCCACCAUAUUUGAAAAUGAAACCAUUUCCAGGAAGCAGUUGGCAGCAAAUUCAUAUGGAGUGUAGACAAUGAUGAGCAAAAAGGUGAUUCGCAAUUUCUUUUUUUUUUUAAGUGAAAUUAUUUGUUAGAUUGAAGCUGAUAUUGUAAGAAGGCCAUUGAGCUAACCUAUGUCGCCACUUGCCUAGAUUGCAGGGGGUCAAGACUCAAAAGAAGCACUGAAAUUUAAAAAGCAUGCAAUAGUUCUUUUGCCAUGUGUCAAUUAAUGCAAGUUUGAAUAAGUUUAUUGGCUGAACGAUGUUAGCUUCUUUUCCUUUCGUGCACUUUGGUAUGCUAUCAAGUGACAGCCGUAUGUAUGGCUUGCAUAUAGCUGCUGCUGGGAAAAUUGACGAUUUCAUGGCUGGCCGUGUUAUUGUCUUAAAUUAGUUGUGAUAAGCUGUUGCUUGGAGAUUCUGUUGCCAAGAAUUUGCUCACAUCAGAAGCUGUGGAAUCUGAACCCUUCGAUUCUGUUGCCAAGAAUUUGCUCACAUCAGAAGCUGUGGAAUCUGAACCCUUCGUUAUGUAUCAUCUUUUUCAUUGUUUUAAAACAGUAAACUCUCAGGACACUGAGCAGGCAAAUGUUAUAACUCGGUUUGUUAGCCAAAAACUUGUUGAAGAUUCUUGACAAAGCUGCGUCGAGUGAAUUGUCGGAGCUCUGAGGGUGAGAGAAAUUAGAGGGUGUAUAGGGAUUUGGAUUUGUUAGGAAGUUAUCAUUUUUAUUUGUCCGAUUCAAAACUUGAUAUUCCAAUUAUAUUCAUAAGCUUCUACAGUUAUCUUCAAAAAGACAUUCCAAUUAUAUUCAUAAGCUUCUACAGUUAUCUUCAAAAAGACAAAUGGAAGGCUUUGAACGGCUUGGGUCUGAGUAUUGUAGUUUGAUUUAUUUUGAUGAAAGAACCUUUUGACAUUAAGAUUCUUUCAUGAGUUAAACAUUCUUUUUAAAACCAACUUAUUAAAAAAAAAGUAACGAACAUAUAUUAUUUUGUUAGUGCUUUUUAAAUCAAAUAUAAAAAAGAGAACUGUAAUUCUUAGCAACCAAUUUUUCAUUGAGUACACCUACAACAAAUUAUUAAAAAAUAAAGCGAUAGAAAAUGCCUGAUUUUUCGUACUUUCUAAUUACUUUUGGUCCUAAAAUAUGGCGAUUUGUGUAAUAAUAAGCCCAUGUAUAUCUUUAUGCCAUUAGUUUGAUAAAUAACUAUCAAGGAUAACUUAUUAAGCUAAAAAUAUUUGAAGGAUAAAAUGGGAAAACUAAAAGGGUGGAGUAAUAAAGUUAUUUAAGAUUACAUAGUAAGUUAACUAUAUUCGAGGGAUAAAAUAUUAAAACUUGAAUAGUUAUAUUAAAAAUAUCUCGGCUAUUAUACUAUUAAACCAUAUGCCGUAAUAAUGUUUUUUUUCAAACUUUAAAAAAUUCAGGAUUUUAAAUUAAAACAUGGAUUUCUUUAAGAUGCUAUAUGUGUUUUUACAGUAUUGAUAGUGGGAUUAGUGUGUACCCUUAUAUGAAAGAGUUUUAAUCUGAAUCAUUCAUUUAAUAUAAUAGAUAAUUAAAUAAUUAAUUAAAAUAUAGCAGGUAACUUAUAGGUUGCAGGUAAAAAAUUAAUUUUUUAAUUUUAAAUUAAAAUUAAUUUGGAACAAAACCAUCCACACCCCUAAGGUUUACUUAAAUGAUCAUAUAAAUCCCUUUAGUUUCUACAUAGUUAUACAGACCCUCUUAAUUUCAUAAAUUAUUAUUAUACUUUUAAUUAAAACAACCUAAAUGAAUAUAAAUAUAGUAAUAGGAUAGAAAUAAUAAAUAAAUAUCAGAUGAAACAAAUAAAAUAUUACAAUAAAUACAAUUAAUUAAAUAACAUGUAUGAUGAAAAUUUUAUUCAUAUUAAGUUAUUAUUAGUCUAUCCCGAUGGAUUUACUCAAAUCAAUUAAUCCAAAAUUUAAUUUUAAGAUUGAUAUUAAUAUGGACAUAAUUAAAUAAGAUGUUGUAAUAUAUACUACUUUGAAUGUUAAGUAUAAUUAUCUAAUAUUAUUAGUAUGUGAAAUAGAUUUUAAUAUUAUUAAAGAAUAUGACAAUAUAUAAUUUUGAAUUAAAUUUUUUAGUAUUCAUGAUAUUUUAUAAAUUUUAUGUGAUUUUAUAUAUUAUAUUUUUUAAUUUUAAUGUAUUAUAUAUGAUCAUUUAAGCAAAUUUUGGAGGUGCGGUGGUCUUUUCCCUAUUAAUUUUGUAGCAUAUUUAAAGUGUUAUAUCAUACAUGAUACAUCACACUUUUGUUAAAGUGUUAUGUUAUUAAAAAUUAAACUUUGCAUUUAUAAUAUACUACCAUUUUAAUGUAAAGGUAAUAGAAAAUAUGAAGAUAUUUUUAAGUAGUCAAUUGUAGCUUUCUUUUACAAAAUAGCAGUAUAGAAAUACAAUUGGUAAAAUGUAAUAAAAAUGGUAUGGAAAAAAGUUAGUAGAGGCAAUUAUUCUUGUAGUUGCUAAAACAUAUGAAGUGACACACACACACACACACAUAUCAAGUACUUGUAUGUUCCCCUAACUUUUAUUAAUGGGAAGGAAAUUAAAUUCGUAAUUUUCCCGGUGAAUUAUGAAUUGAUAAAUGAAAUAUAAAUAUUAGUAAAAAUUAAUUUGUCGACUAAAGAAGUAAACCAUAUUUUAUGGGCAUUUAAUACAUUAAUUUAAGGUCAAAUGAGAUAAUAUCACAUGAUAUUUGAUACAAGAGUCCAAUUUUCAACAUUUGCAUAUAGUUUCUAAGCUAGUAAUCUAAUAAAAUAUACCAAAUGAGAAAUUGAAGGCUAUUAUUUAUAUUUCACCAUUGGACAAACACCAUACAUUAGAAUAAAAAAAUCUCACAGUAGAGACGGCAUCUGUUUGCAUGUUUUGAAAAUAGAUUUUGAAAUUAGUUUAAUUACAUGAUAAUUAAAUUAUAUUAUAAAAUUAAGAAUAUGAUUUAAGUACUAUUUUAGCAAUUUUGAGUCUCACAUUGAGUAUUCAAGUUAAUUAAAUGUUGAAACUCUUUUCUAUUUGGCUUGAAAUCACUACUAAAUAAAAUUACAAAAAGUCAAUAAUGAAUGAUGUAGGACACAUAUGUAAAAUAAAUUUUAAAGUGUAAUUAAACAUUCCUAUCAAUAUUAGUUUUGCAUACAUAUUCAUAUAUUUUACCGAAACCAUAUAUAAUUAAAUUUUGUGUAAUUAAGUAAAAUAUAUUAUUCAAGUGAAUUUAUGAGAAUAUUUAAAAUUGUAGGGGUCGUCACUGAAAUUUGCCAAACUUGAGCCAACCGUGCAUGAUCCAAACAGUUUAUUUUAAUAAUUCUCAAUAUGUUAGUCUGUUUGACUGUUGGCAAAAUAAAUUCCUAUCAGCAAUGCAACACAAUUCAAAAUCAUAUCUGCAUACAACGAACAAUAUCUCAUGAAAGAUCAAAUUAUACAUUUUUUACACCAAACCAUAAAUAUCUAAAUUGUCCCUCUUCAACUCACCAAGCUCAUACCUAACAACAGCAAGAUUAAAUGUCAUUUGAUCCAUCUUUUUUAUUAAGCUUUAUCAAUUCUUCUCAUGGUUGCAAUUUUGAAAGCUCGCUUCGCUAUUUCCAUUUGCUUUUAUGCUUUGUUUGAGCUCCAUCUUUUCUCUCCAUCUACAUUUUACACUGUAAAAAAAAUUUUAAAAAAAUUACAAAGCUUCUUAUGCUAGAAUAUGAGCAACAAUAUAAAUAAUAAACAAUAAAGUUAUGAUAGCACAGCAUGCUCAUUAAAGUGCUUCUUUUUUUUUUUUUUCAACAAGAAAUUACUACUGAAUUAAAGAUUUGGCUUUGCAUUAAGGUUUGCCUUCAAUAACUCAACUCCCCACUUGGGUUUUGUCGUUUUCUUAAAAUCUCUGCUCAAUCAAUUUAAAGAUCCUUUUUUUUUUCUUUCCAAAGAUCUAAAAGCAAUGUCUUUUAUUGGUACCCAACAAAAAUGCAAGGUCUGUGAGAAGACAGUUUGUCCAGUUGAGCAGUUAUCUACUGAUGGGGUUGUUUAUCACAAGUCUUGCUUCAAGUGCUCUCACUGCACUGCAAAGGCACACUCAAGCUAAGCAAUUACUCAUCCCUGGAAGGUGUUCUUUACUGUAAGCCUCACUUUGAGCAGCUUUUGAAGGAGUCGAGUAACUUCAACAAGAAUUUCCAAUUACCUGCAAAGUCAGCUGAGAAGUUAACUCCUGAGCUGAAAAGGUCGCCUAGCAAAGUUGACAGCAUGUUCUCUGGGCCCAAUAAAAAUGUGCUUCUUGCAGUAAAACAGUGUGUCCGUGGGAGAAGGUAGCAGCGGAAAACCAAGCCUCUCACAAGACAUGUUUCAAGUGCUCACAUGGUGGUAAUUCCAUUAGCCCGUCAAAUUACGCAGCCCUAGAAGGCAUCUUGUAUUGCAAACAUAAUUUCUCCCAAUUGUUCAAGGAAAAAGGCAGCUACAACCACCUUCUAUCAAAUCUGCUUCCAUGAAGCGUGCUGCAGUCUCUGUUCAAGAAGCUUGAACAUGUUAUGUUAUCUUCCAUAAAUCUUAUUUGGCGUGGGUUUUCUCUGGCUUGAGGGUGUGCUUUCUAUUUUGAUCCCUCUUGUUGUUUUUGCGGGGAACUACCAAACCUUCGGUUCCCUCUGCUUCUUUGGAUCAUCUUUGUUGGGACAAAUUUCAUGUAAUUAGAGAUACUGAUUUAUGGGAGGCAUAAUCCCAUGGUUGUAAAUUGACCAUUUUCUGGCAAUGUUCUUUUUAAAAAGAGAUGAGCAGUUGUUUAACAAAAAAAAUAGCUGGCCUUCAUCAUGGUAUGUUACCAAACUGCUAUGUAUAGCUGCUAACUAUGAGCAUCCGAAAAUAUGGUGCAUCGUGAUUCAUGUCGUGCAAUAUGGCUACCAACGCAUCCUAAAUGGAGUAUUACUCAGUUAGUCAGCAAAAUAAGACAACAGUAAGAUAUUAAAAAAAUAAAAACUACAUUAAUAAGUGGGCAAGAUCAUGCCAGUUUAACUUUUCGCGCGUCGCUGCUGGAGAUAAUCAAAUCGGGGCAGAGAAAAGGAGAAUGGAAUCAGAGGCUAAGAUUAAUAAGUGGGCUUCUGCUUGCUUUGCCCCUCUUUCUUAAACGAUUGGUAGACUGCUGCUUCCACCGAUUAACCGGGUCUUCAACCACUGCUUUUAUUGCCUGCCAUCUUGUUGUUUGUCGAAGGGAUGAAUUCGAGUCGAAAAGAGAAAGCGCGCUGAAAAAGACAAAUCACUAGUGGUUAACUACUGACUCAGCCAAGUGUUGGCUUCACUUGAUUCACCGAUUGAGGUUAUUUUGUCUUCUAUCUAAUGCAGCGAAGAAGCUUUACUGCUUAACAUGCUGCAAUGCAACUUUAUCUUUUGAAGUUCACACUUCAGGGCUGCGCACUUUAUGUAAUCCUAUGAGUAAAAAGAAUUUAUUUUCAAAUGUGAAAAAAGAAAAUGUAAGGUAGUAACUAAAUAUAUUAUAGCAUCAAAGUAAGAUUUGAUAUGAAUUUAGUACAACAAAGAACAUUAAAUCUGUGAUUCCUUGUCUAAUGUCACCAUCGAGCAACAAAUUUAAAAGCCUACCUAUCAAAUACACGAGGCAAUAAACGGAGAAAAAGUUGAAUUACAAGAACAAGUUUACAAUUCUUGUCAAUGGUUAAUGAUUCGUGAAUUGAGAUAGCAUUCAAGAAUCCAAUUUCAAUACAACAACGUAAAAGAUAAACAGAUGAUGAAUUUUAUGAGAUAAAGAAGGAGAUUGUGUUUUAUCGUAUCUCUAUUUUCUUUCCAUUUAAAUUUAAAAUAAGCUUUUCAACCGGUUAUAAUAUUUUUUGAAAUAAUUAAAUAUUUUUAUUAUUAAAAAUAAUGUGUACCGUUGAUUACAUCUAACGCUACAUAUUUCUUACACUAUUAAUACCGUAAAAAAAAUCAUAGAGGGACCCUUAAAACAUUUUCAUUUGAAAUUAUUUGGUGAAGUGAAAAAGUUAAGAAAGAAAUAGUUGUCCCUUUGGUCAUUUCACAAAAAUGAAAGCCCCAUAUAACAUGGACUUGAAUGGAAGCCCAAUUGUUGUGUUUGAUUUCAAGCUUUAUCGGACCUUUGGACCUGGAUACUUUACUGCGGCCUCUAAGCGCUACAAAUUUUUUUUUUGGGAUAAAAGGCGCUUCAAUGAAAAAGCACUUUAAAACUUUGGAUUUUGCCAAAACUUCAAAGCGGUUGGUCCAGUUACGGUGUUAUGCUAACGGGUUUAAAGGUUCCGAUCCAAUGAGUUAGGGUGGAAUAUGAAUAUAUAAAUCCUAGUCAUGUAAGGACUAGGAUUUGUUUGUUCAUAUCAAGAAAAAAAAUCUGAAAAUUUGAUGAUCAGAAGAUAAAAACACUUAAACACGUUUAUUACAGAGAAACAAACGACAACAUGAUGCUAGUAGUAAUUUUAUUUUUCUUUUAUUGUGUAACGUGGACCAAAAAAAAGGAAAUGAAUUUAAUAAAACCGUCAUUCCGCAAUAAUAAUGUACCAGCCUGGUUUUUAUAAUCCAUACCAUCCUGAUAUAAUUAAACACCAUUAAUAAUGUACCAGCCUUUAAAUAGUAAUUAAUUUAUUUAUCUAAUUCACCAAAUGUCAUUUCCGGUACAUAUCUCCUGGUAUCAAGAAGAGGCAGAACCCAAAGAAACGUUUCUUGUAUCUUCAUAUUUGUGCGAAUUCAUCCUUUCAUUGAGAAUAACCAUUUCCAGGCGGCAGUUGGCAAUCAAUUCAUGCGCAAGUCGAUGCUAUUCAUAGAUAUUAAAGACAAUGAUGAACCAAAGGUGAUAAAUCAUAAAUGCAUAAUUACCAAACCUCCAUCCUUCUCUCAUUAUGAUUUGAUUUUAAAUGAAUUAUUGCUUGGUAACAUUAUUUCCAACCAUUGCAAGAUUAUUAUUAUUUUUUUUUGGGGAGAAAUUUCAAUUGAAAGUGAAACCUUUAGACAUUUACCUAAUGAAGUUAGUUAAUGGGGAGGGUUGGAAAAAUUCCCAAGCCGUUGCACAGCAAUUACGAUCAUCCUCGGCCUCAGGUAAUUUCUUCUCCUGCAUUUUUGUUAUUUGCUAUCAAGUGACAUUCGUAAGUAUGAUUGUAUUAAGCUGCUGCUGGGAAAUAUAAGGUUUUGAUGGCUGCCCAUGCUAUUGUCAGAAGCUGCGGUUCUUUUCAUCAGCCUGAACCUGGACCUGUCGCCAUGGAUAACUGAGGUUUUUUUUUUUUUAAAUCAACUACGUCAUCUUUUCCACUGUUUUGAAACUCUUAAGAUUAAACUUUAGUAAAGUUGUUUUAGUUAUCCAUGUAAUCAGGCUGAGGAUACUUAGCUGCCUAUUUAGGCAAAUGUCAGACUUUAGUUUGUUCGCUGGGAACUGGUGUGGUGACAGCGUCCUGGCAAAGGAUGAUGAGAUAGUUUUUUGAUUGAGUAAAUUUUGGGGGCUUGAGUAUAUUGGGAUUUGCAAUUACAAUUAUCCUCUGCCUCAGGUGAUUUCUUCUCCUGCCCUGUCGUUGUUUGUUCUCUAAUUCAAAAUUAUAAAAUAUUUCAUCAAAUUUUAUGCCGGGAAUAUGCAAAAGUUUCUAAUAUUUUAUUUCCAUCUGUUUGUCUUGAUAACUUUGCAGCAUAUGUACUAGUUAAAGAACAAAUCGAAACAGAGUUCAGUUAAAAGUUUCUUCUGCCGUCAUAUUUGAAAAAUGAACCCAUUUCCAGGAAGCAAUGGGCAGCAAAUUCAUAUAAAGCGUAGACAAUGAUGAGCAAACAGGUGAUUCACAUUAAUGAAAUUAAUUGUUUGGUUGGAGCGGACAUUGUUAGAAGGCUAUUGAGCUAACCUAUGUCACUACUUGCCUAGAUUACAGGGGGUCAAAACUCAAAAGCGGCAUUGAAUUUUAAAAGGCAUCCAAUAAUUCUUGUGGCCAUAUAUCAAUUCAUGUAUGUUUGAAUGUAAUUAUUGGUGAAGGGGUUUCACUUCCCGUCUCUAAAUAAAAAUACUGAUUCUUUAAGGUACCUGCCACUAGGGAUUGCGAGAUUAAUGAGUCUUUGGACAUUGGAAGAGCUCCUUGUGAGUGGAGGAGGAGGUGUUGAUGGUAGCAAAGCAUGUGGGCAGUGGGCUUGAAUCUCUAAAAAACUUGGAACUCCUCCAAGCGUAAGUAUACGUAUACUGGGAAAUUUGUUAGAUGUGGAUGAGGCUAAGAGAUUAGAGCUUGACAAAAUGAAAUACCUCUUUCAUUGAGACUUAAAUUUGAUGGGGAAGAAGAAAAAGAAGAGGGAAGGAGGAAGAAUGAGGAUAAUCAACUUGUUCUUGAAGCCUUGCAACCACCUCUGAAUUUGAAGGAAUUAGAGAUUUGGUCAUACAGAGGCAACAUUGUUUCCCCCCGGAUGAUGCAAAAAUUGAAGGAAUUUACCAAUCUAAGGAGUUUGACACUCUUUAAAACUGCAAAAAUUGAGAGCAGUUGCCUCCUUUGGGAAAAUUGUGAUCCUUUGAAAAUCUCAGCAUAUUGUACAUGGAGAGUGUGAAAACAGUGGGUAAUGAAUUUCUGGGAAUAGAAAGUCAUCUUCAUGACUCAUCUCCAUCUUUAUCAGUUAUUAUUGCCUUCCCCAAAUUGAAAUCACUUUCAGUUGAGGGAUUGAUGGAAUUGGAGGAGUGGGAUUAUGGGAUUAAAAGAACAGGAAACACCUUCACCAACAUUAUGCCACGUCUUUCUUCCUUGGAAAUUAGUGUGGGGUUAUGGGAUCGCACAACCACGUUGAAGGUAUUGCAGAUUGUGGCAUGUGGUACUCUAAGAAGACGUUGCAGACAGGGGAGAGCAGAAGACUGGCCUAAGUUCUCUCACAUUCUAGACAUCAUGAUUGUGUGAAAAGAGGCCCUUGACAAAAUUCUCUAGGCGGCUACAUGGAGUACAAUCAUAAAAUGCUAAUGUGGCCACCCUGGUUCUUAAUUAAGGUUGUGAAAUAUUAUUGUAAAAGAUGAUUAAUUCAAUUUGAGUCAUUCGUUUGCUUUGAUAAUGAUAGUAAUUUUAUAUUUUGACAAUUUGCAAGGUGAGAAUGGUGCUGAUUGGUGAUACAGGAUACGGUUCAAACACCAUUGAAUAAAGCUACGGACAUGGUGGCUCAACUUAGCUAUUGCUGUCAAAAUUGGUAAGUUGGCUUGUCAAUGUAUUGAUGCUUUUGUUUUCUCUCAACCCUAAUUACCUUACCUUCAUUUAGUUUGGCUUUGGAGUUGAGUAAUAACUUUCAAGGUUCUCAAACAGAGCAGGACAACCGAAAAAAAAAGCUUAAUUUGCUACUGAUCACGUGUUACCAAUUAUUAAGGUAAUUCUCGUUUACUUGCUUCUACACUAUAGAGUACGUGUUCUGGCUGGUUUAUCUAAUUCAUCAAAUGUUAUUUCCUUAUUGUUCCAUUGAUAUAUUUGUUAGAAAGUGAAACCAUUUCCAGGCAGCAGUUGGCAGUGAAUUCAUGCAAAUGUUGAUGCCAUUCAUAGAUAUUGAAGACAAUGAUGAGCCAAAGGUGAUAAAUCAUUAAUGCAUAGUUACCAAAACCUCCAUCCUUCUCUCAUUGUAAUUUGAUUUGAAAUGAAUAAUUUCUAGGUAAUUGAAGCCAAUAUUGUUAGAAACGGUGUUGAGCUACCCAAGCUAAGAAGUUGGCUGCCAAAAAAUGCAGGGGAUCAAAAGAAGCAUUGCAUUUGAAAAGGAAUGAGAUUCUGGUUGCUACAUGUCAAUUCGUAGAAGUUUCAAUAAAUUUAAUGGUUCAAGAUUUUAGUUUCUGUUUAAAUUUGUGCUACUGCAGUGCUGCAGUGCUGCUACUGGGAAAUUUAAAUCCCAUAUUAGACUUUCCUCACAUAAGAAGCUGUGGAUCUUCGGACAUCAGGUUUUUUCACAGUUCUGAAACUCUCAGGAUUAAACUCUAUUAAAGUUGUUGUAGUUGUCUACGUUCUCAGGUCAAGGAUUCUAAGCUGCCGAUUAAGGCAAAAUGUCAGAAUUCCCCUAUUAUUUUUUUUUUCAUGUAAAAUUAUGUUGUUGUCUUCGCCCAUGAAUCUUAGCUAAAUUCUGAACCAAUUGUUUGCUAUUAUAAAUUUCAUUGUUAAAUAUUAAUUGUGAUGUUGGUGUUGAGUUUCUUUUAAAGUCAGAGAAGCCUGACGAUUGAGUUCCAUGGGAUUCUGAGAAGCAGUAAUAUUUUGAACAAGUGAAGGUUCUUCGUUUUUACAGUAUGUGCAGAUGUCUAAGAGGCAGGAUUUUUAUUUCUGUAAUGCUAAAUUUCGCAAAACAAUAAAAAUAAAUAAAUGCAUGACAGUGACUUCAAGAAUUUAGAUUAUUGAAUUUGGUCAUUUUAAAAUUGUUGGAAUGUUGAACUUAAGUAAUUUUUAUAAACCAGAGCUCAGAAAUGUAGAAUAUAAAUAUUGGAGAUUUGGACUUCAAUCAUUAGACUUGAAGCUAAAGAGGUAAGCCAUUAAUUAUAUCAAAGGAUUUGGAAAAUGGAGGGAUUGGAAAAAGGAAACAUUUUCAUAAACUUCAAGAGGAACGUCACAGAAAGGGGUAAAGAGAAGAGUAGCCUAAGAUAUUAAAGACAAUGUUGAGCCAAAGGAAACAUAAAUCCCAACCAUUGCAUGUGAACAUGAUCACAAUAAGGUCAAAAACCAUUUUUUUGAGAAUUUUCAAUUGAAAGUGAAACCUUUUGACAUUUACCUAGUAAAGUUAGUUAAACGAGAGAAAUAAAGGGGAAAAGAAAAGUUGACUCAAGUCAAUACAGAAUAAUUAGUUCAAUCUGGAGUAACUAAAACAGAGCCACUAUAUUUUCAAAAAUAUCUGCAUUCAUCACCUUCUCCUCCAGCUAGUGAGCUACACACGAAUCCUUUCCUUUUAGCAUUUUUGCAGCAUCAAUUUCUCCCCUCGUUUGUCAUCAAUUUCUCCCUUCGUUUCACCAAUACCAUGGCUGAUGCAAUCGUUUCCCCUCUCUUGGAGCAGCUGAUUAUCUUUGCUGCUGAAGAGUUGAAACAACAGGGGAAGCUGGUGAGUGUUGGAUGAGUGGAUCACAGCAUGCGCCAAAUCGCAAAAUAGAUCAAUGCUCUUGGUGCUCCUUAUCUGAAGAAGAAGGUGCAAAUUGGGAGCUGCAUUUCACUGUCAUAACAUUUAUUGUAAUUUCAUUUGGAGAUAUGUAAUAUCUGUUGUCCAGAUACAUAUCAUACACCAGUUGCUAUGUAAUUUCGUUUAGGUUCAUUUUUGUUUCUUAAGAGUUUGUAAAAAGAAUGGAAAGAUUUUAAAAUAUAAAUUUCAUAUCUGUUUAUUACUGUUGUUUGGUCUAAUUUCUUAUGUAGAAUUUUCAGAAUCUGUAGGACAUUAGUUUAUAAUUUUGAGAUUUUGCAGCCAUAAAAAAAAUUUUUUUUUUUUGCCAUUUUAUUUUGCUCCUUUAUCUAUGUGCAUGUUGACUGGCUGCAGUGAGUGAAAAUUUACCUAUAUAUGCUGGCUAUUCUUGGACAAUAUUAGAGAAAAUAAUCAUAUUAUUUCGCGUGAUGUGAACUUCCAUAACUUAUCAAUUGAAUUGCUGUAAAAUAUUAAAUAGUUUUAUUUUUCUUUUAUCGUGUAACUUGGACCAAAAAAGGAAAUGAGUUUAACACGACCCUCAAUAUAACCUCCAUUUCAGCACAAUACAUGUUAAUUGUUCCCCAAGGACUUCUCCUGUUUCCCAUUCCCACCUCCAUGCUCUCGAGAGGAAUUUAGCACCCAUCAAUUUUUAUUUUUGAAAACUCGUAAUGGUCUGAUAAAAUUAAACAACAUCAAUAAUGUUACCAGUCUUUAAAUAGUAAUUAAUUUAUUUAAUUUGCCACCUAAAAGAAUCCUGCUGGAAAUAGAGGUUAAAAAUUUUAUUAGAUCUGCUUACCUUUGUUCAUUCAGCAAAAACACUUACAAUUCACAGCUAGAGAAUCUAUCCAUUGACAAUUGUGGAUUAAAAUUAUAACACCUGAAUUCAAACAUAUCCUUAUGAAGUUAUGAAUUUGUUCAUACUUCAAAUGAUUUUUUUUUCCAAGCUAAUAAAGCAACCACUUUGAUCAAACGACGACGUUGAAGGAAUUACGUAUUUUCAAUGUCCUUUUCCAGACAGAUGUUGGAGAGAGGGAAAGGAGAAGACUGGCCUAAUUAAGAUAUCUCACAAAGAUUAUUGAGUUAAAAUGUUAUUGUAAAAGAUGUUUAAUACAAUAAUAGUAAUUCUUUUGCAUUGUUAUAAUGAGGCUGGUGGGUUUCCUCAGAGGAUGGAUAUGGCUCGCUAGCAUGCAUUUGGGAAGAUGCUAAUUAUCGGCCAUAAAAAGUCAGGGGGUUGUGGCUCUUCCGUCGCCCAGAAAUUCCUAAACUCAUAUAUCAAACUUCAGAUGAACUUGGGCAUUAUGUAAAUAUGUAUUUUUGAGAAUUAAACUAGUGCGUUCGAAAAAUUUUGAGCCAUUGUAAUCAUUUUAUUUUGCUAAGAGAAAAUUUUACUUUGUUUCGCUUUGCCUUUUGUUUUUUCUGUGAUAAUAUGAUUCAUACGAAUGUGAUUACACACUAUCAUGCAUCUAUUUUCAUUUGCUUGUCAUGAAUGGUCAACAUGCUCGAAAUAUUUACUUAGGUUGGAAAUAUUUGAAUCCACUAAAAUACUAUACAAACCCAUUUUAAAAUUAAAAAAAUGAUUAUCAUAAUACUCGUGAAGAUAACACGAUAUCAUACAUAAAAUAAAAUAUUUCGCAAAAAAGAUAAGAUACAAAUCUUGAGUAAAUAGGUACAAAAAAUAUUUUAGUGGGUUAAGUAGCACUAAUGCCCCCUUAUCAAAAAAUAAAUAAAAAUAACUAGUCUGAUUGGGUAUACCGUUUAUAUAUAUGUACAUAUUCUUGAUAAUGUGUAAUGUACAUUAUAGACAAAGAUUUUGAAAGCAAUAUUUUUUAAAAAGUCGAGAGAAUAGGAAAAGUCUAAAUCAAUUUUCUAAUCUCUACCUCCUUUAUGAUUUAAACUUUAGUGUUUAGUGUCGCGAGCCACUCAAAUUUUCUAAUCAAAGAGACUAAAUUGCACGAAAUUGUGCUAGCUUAUUUGAUUCUAGAAAUUUCUACUACACUGUAACACACUCUCACGUAGGGAUGGCAAUGGGGAGGGGAGGGGAGGGGACCAAUCUCCCCAUAUCCAUCCCCGAUAUUUUACAUAUGUCCCCGUCCCCGUCAGAAUUGCUUGAGAGAAUCCCCAUCCCCUCCUCGAAUAAUAACAGGGGAUCCCCGAGGGUCCCCGGUCCCCGAAUAACUAAUAAUCUAAUACAUUUUUUUAUUUUCGAUUUUAAAUUAAUCAUAUUAAAAUAAACUCAUACCGCUAUUGUAAGCUCGUAACCAAUUUUGACAGCACAUUAAGGCCUCCAAUGUGCUUGGAUGAAGUCUGUUAUGGUAUGGGCUCACAACUCUACCACUAGUGUUAAAAGCUGAUUCAGAAGCAACUGUUGUAAUUGGAAUUGCCAAAAUAUCUCUAGCAAUUCGAGCUAAUGUAGGAUACCUAUUAGCAUUUGUCUUCCACCAACUCAAAAUAUUAAAAUCUUCCAUCCGAGGUAUAACUUUCUCAUCCAAAUAUGAAUCUAAUUCAUCUGCAACAACUGCACAAUCUCCAUUGUUUACAUAAUCAUCAAAACCUAUCAUCCAUUUGGUUGCUUUCUUAUAAGAAUCCCCUGUAGAUCUAGUAGAAGAACUACUACCAGUAUAAUCAAAGCAAUAAACAGUUGGUGAAAACUUCAAUUAAUACUCUUCAACUAAUUCCCGGCAAAGGAUGACCACUUUCCCAACAUACAACUAUUUUGAUAUUUAUUAUUUUUAACAAUAUUUAUAAUUUUGUUAUUUAUUUAUUAGUAAUUUUAAAAAUAAAAAUAAAAUUAAAAAUUAAAAUGGGGAAAUGGGUAGGGGAUGGGGAUUCCACCUCAUCCCCGUCCCCUCCCCGAAUAAAAAAUUGGGUAAAAAAUUUUCCCCGUCCCCUCCCCGAAAAAAAAAUUGGGUAUAAAAUUAUCCCCGUACCCUCCCCGAAUGGGGAAAAUCCCCGAGGGUAUCCGUCCCCGUGGGGAUUUUUGCCAUCCCUACUCUCACGCUUGUACAUACCUCGAAAUUCUCUAGAAUUUACUAGAGUAGUGUUGCAUGUAGCUUGUACAUAGGUUUUUCUGGAACACUCCAGGCAUUACUAAGCAUGAGAGCCUUGAGAACUCUCUAGCCAUAAAACAUUCUAGGGUAAGCCUACCCUAAAAAUAGGGCAUGAUGCUUGCCACUUGAGCAUACAACAAGUAAGAACAAAUCAAGCAUACUUGUGAGCUCUCAAACUCUCUUAUACACACUUUUAUGAAUAAUAUAUUCUCUCUUUGGCUAUAUUGCUCUCUCUUCUCUCUAGUUUUUUUCGCAAGCAUCAAACCUUAGUUAGUCGAAAAAUUCAAGGCUUACUUUAUAGCUAUCUCGUAAAAGUUGUUUAAGUACCAUAGAGAUUUGCUGUGCAAAAUACUCAUCACAUGACAUUAGCUAAAUAAAAUUGUUUGAAAGCCACUUACCCAAACUAUUAAACGAAUAUUGACUUUUGUCUUAAUUUUCUAUCUCCUACGAUAAAUUUUAUAGUUAAAAAUUGAAAAAAAUUAAUAACUAUUAGAUAGAGCAUUCUUUAUUGUUAAAAGAAAUCUAUAUAGAUAGAUAGAUGGUAAUAUAAAAACUUACUUAUUGUAGUAUAAUGUUUUUAGUUUUUUGAAACACAGAUUCUCACUUUUUAAAGAUAAAAUUCAAAGAAAACAAGUUAAAUGUUGUAGAAAAUCUUCCAGCCAUACAAGAAAUUGUGAUGGCUAAAUGCAAACCUAACUAAAGUAUUAGUUGUUUUAUUACAAUCUCCAAAAAGAUGAGCAAUUCCAAAAUCUUUUUUUGUGACAAUAAACACUACACGUCAGUAAUUAUCCAGGUCAAAAGCAAGCUACUCUAUUAAAAAAAAAAAAAACUUGCAGUGAAUUCGAAGAUAAACCAAUUUUACUAGCAAGUUGGAUACAAAAGAGUAGGGCUUCGGCCUCAAUUACUCAGUGUACCAACAACUCAAUCUCGGUGAGUUAAAAUCAACUUCCAUCAGUCUUUUAUUUGUUGAUAGAUCGAUUAAGGUACCAAAAAGAAUAAUUAAAGAUGUAUUAGUUCAAGUUAAUAAAUUCAUAUAUCUUGUGGAUUUUAUUAUUUUGGAAACUGAACCAAUUGCUAAUGAAUGCAAACAAAUUCCUGUUACAUUGGGUCGUCCAUUUUUAACUACUGCUAAUACAUUGAUUAAUUGCUGGAAUGGAGUAAUGAAUUUAUCUUUCGGCAACAUGACAUUGGAACUUGAUGUGUUCAACAUAUGUAAACAACCUCACCACCAGGAAGAUGAUGAUAAUGAGAAUUAGGAGAUUGAUUUCAUCGAGCCAAUCAUUGAGGAACACAUUCAGAAUAAGAAUUUUACAAAUUCUGUGGAAAUUUAUUCUUCUUGUUCUUUUGAAUCGAGUAAAGAAUUAAAUUAUGAUACUGCUAACAUAUAACCUACAAUUGAUUCUAUGCAGGUACAUGCUGACAAUGGCCAAUCAAACUUUAAAGAUACAGAACAACCUGAAGAACCAAACGAAGAGCAAGUACCAGAGCUCAAAUUAAAGCCCUUACUGGAAGAAUUGAAGUAUGUCUAUCUUGGAGAACAACAGAUUUAUCCUGUGGUAAUUUUUUUCCCAACUCACGCUUGAUCAAGAAGGUAAGUUGUUGUCUGUACUAAAAAGGCAUAAAACUGCAUUUGGCUGGACUUUAAAAGACAUAAAAAACAAUAAUUCUUUAAUCUGCACACACCGAAUACACUUAGAGGAAAAUACCAAAACAACCCAUCAACAUCGACAUUAUAUGUGUAAACAUUAAAUACCAAAAUCAACCCCAAAAACUAUAAAUAAAAUAUCAUGAUUAAAAUGAAGUUUUUUUUUAGAUAUUCGUUGUAGUAUCUCUUUAGAUCGCAAACAAGAGAUAAAAUAAAUAAAUAUUUGCUAUGUAAAUAAAAAUAAAUAAUUUUUUUUAACUGAAAAAUAUUCUCAAAAACUAAAUAGUUCAAACUUUUUUUAACAUCAUGUGUUUCUAGGGUUGGGCAUUCAGUUCGGUUUUUACCGAACCGAACAACUAAAUUAAAUCGAAAUUACCUGUUCGGUUCAAUUGAAUAGACAAAAACCGAAGAGUUUAUAUUUUCAUGAACUGAAUGAUUUGUGUUUCAGUUGAGUUCGGUUCGAUUCUGGACCUGAACCGAACCGAACCGAUCCGUGAAUCGUAAACUGCCCACCCUUACGUAGUAGUUUCCGUUAACCGACGUUGUAUUGCUCGUAUAAAAUUGUUCAAAUGUUCAAAUCACAGUCUCCCGCUCUCAGCUCAGUCAGAGUUUCCAGGUCCAGAGACUUCCCGCUGACUGAGAACUUUUUCGUAGCAGGUCUACAAAUAAUGGAGUAGAGCUGAUUUUAUGAUUAAUUUAUUUCCUUUUUCAAUUUCUCUUGAUUGCGAUUUAAUCUGGAAAGUUAAACGUGAAUUGUUUAGUGCGGAUUAAAUGUUCGACGAAUUUCCCACAAGAGUAUUAAGUUCAAGAGAAAAAAAGAAAACAAUUGAGCGUGAGCGUGAGCGAGAAUGGUGUUUGGGCAAGUGGUGAUUGGUCCGCCCGGCUCGGGAAAGACCACUUACUGCAAUGGCAUGUCUCAGUUUCUCAGCCUUGUUGGCAGGUAACUUCGUUUCUUGAUUUCAAGCAGCUUUAUCUUCGAUGACCAAAAAUAUUGAUUUGGGCUUUGCCAUUAAAUGAAUGUAAGAGCAGUAGGGAAUAACUGAGUUAUAGGAUUAGCUUUAAGUGAACAUUGAUGGUAAUGUGAAGGUUGUAUGUGUUCAGUGGCAAGCUGUAUGCCAAUUUGGUCUAUAUGGUUGCUUAGGUAGUAACUUAUUAAUUUUUAGGCAGGAAGGUUGCAGUCAUCAAUUUAGUUCCUGCUAAUGAUAGUUUGCCGCAUCCUUUGUCAUUGAACUUUCUUACAAAUGCUGUGGUUUGUUGUAGUAUAAUUAGUUCAAUUGGAAAUUUCCUUGAUGUUAAUAUAGAAAUGAGUGUGCUGUGAAUAUUGAGGACCUCAUUAGACUAAGUGAUGUGAUGAUGGAGUAUUCACUUGGUCCCAAUGGAGGUUAGUCAGCCUAUUGUUGUUUACUCUUUCUUGCUUUAUCACGCAAUGAUAUUCCUUUGCUUUACAACAAAUUUCAUGAAAUUAACUUCAAUCAAGUGGCAAUGUUCAUACGCUGUUGAGAUUUUAUGGACAAUGAUUUGGUAGAAUUUAUAUGCCGUCUUCUUUCUUUUUGCAGUGAUAUGCUUGUAUUCAAUGAGCUUGUACUUAUUCUAUGGUUUCUAAAGUAGGUGUUUUUAUGAUAAACUAGGUCUUGUGUAUUGUAUGGACUAUCUAGAGAAGAAUAUUGACUGGCUGCAGUCGAAAUUGGAACUACUUUUGAAAGGUAAGUAGAGGCCAUUUUCCUUCAUUCUAAUGCCAAUAAUGCUGUCAUGAGACUCAUAAAAAUUGUUAAAACGUUAAUGUUUUUGGUAUUUUGCAGAUCGUUAUCUUCUGUUUGAUUUUCCUGGCCAAGUUGAAUUAUUUUUUCUUCAUUCCAAUGCCAAGACUGUUAUAAUGAGACUCAUAAAUAAGUUAAAUCUCAGGGUAUUGUUACAUCUUACAUCUAUGAAGGGACUCAAAGAGUUGAGAUGAAUUCAUCUUUGUUAUUUUGAUGCCAGAAUUGUGCAAUUCUCAGUUUGUUCCUUUCACAUGCAGUUGACUGCAGUGCAUCUAGUUGAUGUGCAUCUUUGCAGUGACCCCAGGAAGUAUGUUAGUGCUUUGCUUCUCUCAUUGUCUACGAUGCUACAUCUGGAACUUCCCCAUGUCAAUGUCUUGUCUAAUCGAUCUGAUUGAGAAUCAUGGAAAGCUAGGUGUGGUUUUAAGUGUAGCUCUCCUGCUUGUUUGUUUAGUUUGAAAUAUCAGAUAUUGUCACAAGAUCCUAUUUGCUACAUUUCCUCACCAAUCAAUUAUUUUGGGUCUGUUGCAGCUUUUAAUCUCGAGUACUAUACAGAUGUGCAAGAUUUGUCAUAUUUACAGCAUGCUCUCGGUCAGGACCCUCGUUCUGCUAAGUACAGGUUUGAAUUCUAGCUGAAUCAAUGAUGCAAAUUAUGUCCAUUGUUAUUUCUGCUGUUGUUUCUAUCAUUUUCAAUUGUUACUUCCCCUUUCCAUCUACUACCACACUACAAUACCCACACAAAUGUUGUGAAAUUUGUCAAUGGAAAAAAAACAGUUCCUCUUUUAUUUUGAUCAGACUCAAUGAAUAAGUGGUUAAAAUGUGCCUGUCCUAGAAAUAUAGAUGUGUGGUUUCGUAAAAUUUUCUUGAUCUUAAGAAAGAGUUAUCUCGAAAAGAAGAUAACAUGGAGAAUUCAACAACUAUACAGUCAUAUUGAUGUCUGUCAACUUGGGUCAUAUGGUGUCGUUUGGAUGGAGAUGUUAGGUCCCAGAUGGUAAACUUGUUAUCGAAUUCCAGUCUACUUCAUUCAUGCUUUGAUGACAUAUACGGUGCAGCUUCUUAUCUAAGACCUGCAUAUGUUCAAUCAUCAUUCUGUUCUGUAUUUGGCUGCCAUUCUUUUCAAUGAAUUCAAACCACUUCUGAAUACUUGCAAAUUCAUCCAGUGUUGUCAUUGAGAUGCCAAUAUGAAAGGAAGCCAUAAUUGCCCUUGAUAGUAUGCUUAUUGAUUGCCUCUUGCCUCACUCAGCCUCAUGAAUCUGCUUGUAUGGUGUUCUUGUAAUUUCAUUUGGAGAUUAGUAAUAUCUGUUGUUCAAAUGUAUUUUAUAUACCAGCAGUUAAUAAUUCUGCUUGCAGAAAGCUUACAAAGGAGCUGUGUGAUGUAAUUUUUCAACCUUAGAUAUCCAGGUCAUCAGUUUCUCUUGAAUUCUUUCUUGAAUUUCUUUGAAUUAUUUGUGAAUAAGAUCUUAGUUGGCUGCUUCUCUUCAGGAUAAGGAAAGUGUGGCAAAACUCGUGAAGCUGAUAUAUAAAAGCAAUGGGUACAUCUUUGCUGGCAUGGAUGCCAGUGCAGUUGAAUUCAGCAAGAUUGCCGUUCGCGAUGUUGAUUGGGAUUAUUUCGGAUAUCCUUCUUUUCACCUAUUUUCAAUGUUGUUAUUCUCAUAUUCAUAAAAUUUUUUGGUUAUUUAAUUAUGGUUCAUCAUAUGCAUCUGCAUCUUCUAACUUGUUCGUUUGAGAAACUAAUUUUGCCGUUAGGUAGGCUUCGAGCUUGAUGAGUUGAUUCAUGCUUUUUUCAUAAAUGUACCAAAAUCAUGGAAACUUCUUUUUCCCAGAUAUUGUAUCCACACUUUUUCCAUGUAAUUGGGUCAGACAAGUUUUGCUUAACAAAGAUAUCUACAGUAGCCGAAGUGCAGGAGAAGUACAUUAAGGAUGAUGAUGAUGUUAACUAAAAUGAGACGUGAAGAUAUGUGGUGUGCGAACCGUAAGCCUGCCUCUUAAUUUUGUGCAUGUUUACUUGCUUGUGAUUCACGUUUGUUAAUCUAUUUUGCUCUCUUGCAGGAGUUAUAAAGUUUUCAAUCAAUCAAACAUUUAACUUAAGUCCUUACCUCUUGCUGCAAAGACAAUGGGAAGUCUCAUGAGCUCUAAAAAAACUGAAGAAGAGUGGAAAAUAAUUUUAAAUAGUGAUUUAUGGAAGGUAAAAGAGAUCGAGAAAGGUGUUCUAACCCCUUUGUGGUUGAGUUAUAAUGAUUUGCCGUCCAGAGGAAAAAGAUGUUUCUCGUAUUGUGCUGUCUUUCCAAAAGACUACAAUAUAAAAAAAGACAAAUUAAUUACUUUGUGGAUGGCUCAAGGUUAUCUUAGUGCAGAAGCAGCAGAACAAGAUGAGGAGUUGGAGACUAUAGGUGAAGAGUAUUUUGGCAUCUUAGCUUCUCGCUCUUUCUUUCAAGAGUUUCAGAAACGUUAUGAUAAUCGUAUUAUAGCGUGCAAGAUGCAUGAUAUGGUACAUGAUUUUGCCCAAUUUGUUAGUCAAAAUGAAUGUUUUUCGUUGGAAGUUAAUGGUAGUGAGGAACUAACCGUCACAAACUCUACAAACUCUCUUGAUGAGAAGGUCCGUCAUUUAAUGUUAAUCUUUAGUAAAGGGACUUCAUUACCUGUUUCCACUCGUAGAGUUAAAAGAAUGCGUACCCUCUUAAUUAACGAUAGUAGAUCUGAUCAUUCAUUAUUAAAUGGUGAGAUCCUAGAAGAAUUAUUUAGGGAAUUGACAAGUUUAAGGGCAUUAGAUUUUGGCAAAUCGUAUAACUCAAGUUGGUCUUCGACUGUGGAGAUUCCGAGAACCAUAGAAAAGCUGGUACAUUUAAGAUACCUUAAUUUGUUUUAUCAGGGAAUAAAGAAACUACCGGAGACAUUAUGCGAGUUGUAUAAUCUAGAAAAGUUAGAUAUUAGUUUAUGUUUUAAUCUUAAAGAAUUACCUGAAGGGAUUGGGAAGUUAAUAAACAUGAAGCAUUUACGAAAUAGAGGUACUAGUUCUUUAAGGUACAUGCCAGUAGGGAUUGGGAGAUUAACGGGUCUCAGGACCUUGGAUGAGUUCCACGUGAGUGGAGGAAAGCGUGUAGGCUUGAAUCUCUUAAAAAAUUGGAACACCUUCAAGUAUGUGGUAUACGUAGACUGGGUGAUGUAUCAGAUGUGGGCGAGGCUAAGCGAUUAGAACUUGACAAAAAGAAAUACCUCUUCAGUUUGACCCUUGAGUUUGAUAAGAAGGAGGAAGAAGAAGGAGAAAGGAGGAAGAACGAGGACGAUCAAGUUCUUCUUGAAGCCCUACAACCACCUCUCAAUUUAAAGGAAUUAGAGAUAGAGUACUACCGAGGCAACACUGUUUUCCCCAGCUGGAUGACGUCAUUAACCAACUUAAAGAGUUUAGAUCUCUCUUCCUGCGAAAAUUGGGAGCAGCUGCCUCCUUUGGGAAAAUUGCCAUCCCUUGAAGCACUCAGCCUAUGGGACAUGAAGUGUGUGGAAAGAGUGGGUGAUGAAUUUUUGGGGAUAGAAAGUGAUCAUCAUGGCUCAUCUUCAUCGGUUAUUAUUGCCUUCCCCAAAUUGAAAUCACUUUCAAUUGAGGUUCUGCGCGAAUUGGAGGAGUGGGAUUAUGGGAUUACAAGAACGGGAAACACCGUCAUCAACAUCAUGCCACGUCUUUCUUCCUUGACAAUUGCACUUUGCCCCAAAUUAAAGGCACUGCCCGACCACUUUCAUCAAACGACAACAUUGAAGGAAUUGCACAUUUGGGAUUGCAGGCUUCUGGAAGAACGUUAUUGCAAGGGGGAAGGAGAAGACUGGCCUAAGAUAUCACACAUUCCCAACCUCCAUAUUGGGCUUUGACAAGUAAUUUCUUCUCUUACUCUGAUUUGCUUUGUUGUUGUUUUUAAUCUAAUUAAGAAGCGUAAAUAGCAUUUUGAAUCAAACUCUAUAUCAGAAAUCUGCAAUACUUACUUUCUAAUAUUCUGAUUUUCAUAUCCUAUGAAUAUACGAUUUUUAAUUUGUGAGAUGGGUAACGUUACUGUAAAAGAUUAUUAAUGCAAUAUGAGUAAUUCUUUUGCAGGACAAGUGACCUACAUUUAGUUUGGCUUUGGAGUUGAAUAAUAACCUUUCGAGGUCCCGACAACCAAAAAACGAAGCUUAAUUUGCCACAGAUUGCACGUAUUGCCAUUAUUGACAAUUUUCUGCACAAGCUUAGGUUGAUGUCAAAAGAGGUAAAUUAUUGGCAUGCCUGACUAUUUUGACCAUUACACGAUUCAUAAGUUUACAUUAAUUUUGAUUUUGAGUUGAGUGAUUAGUUUUCUAGGUUUGCUUACUUUAACUGGGUGACCAAUUUCUUGUAACUAAAUGUAUGAUGUGAAGCAGAACUCAAACAAAAGUAUGCUACUUCUUGCGGAAAUCUUGCCUUUGUUCAGAUUAUGAAACCAUUUCCAUGCAGCAAAUUCAUCCAAAAGUUUGAAUAAGUUUCACGGUUGGACACUGUUGGUUUCUUUUUCUUCUGGGGUGCAUUUAGGUGCUAUCAAGUGACAGCUGUAAGUAUGAUUGCACUAAGCUGCCGCUGGGAAAUUUGAGGUUUUGAUGGCUGCCCAUGUUAUUUUCAAGAAACUAUUGAUGUAAGAAGCUGUGGUUCUUUUCAUCAGCUUGAACCUGAAACUGUCGCUAUGGAUAACUCAGGUUUUUGUUAUCAACUAUAUCAUCUUUUUCACUAUUUUGAAACUCUUAAGAUUAAACUUUAGUAAAGUUGUUUCAGCUUUUCAAAUGAAAAACUCAUUGAUUUGAGACUUCCUUCAUUAUUGUUUCUAAUUACAAUGCUAACGAUCCAGAUAAGAUAAUAUUUAAUCGGCGAAGGUGUCCCUUGGAAGUACAUCCUUCUUUUUCUUUUAUUAUACAAAUUCUUGCAAUGAGCUUAGUGAAGCUGUUGUGCUAAUCAUGCCACUGCAUAAUUUGGCCCCUAAUGUGGGUACUCUGUUACAUUGUUCUGCAAAUUCUCCAGAAGUUAAAAUCAAUAAAUUUUCUAUUAGCUCUAGUGCUUUGACCUAAAUGCUAUUCUAUAUUCUGAUUACAAUGUUUUACCUUUAAAUUAACUACCCCUAGAUGUUGGAUUUUCUAGAACUUCAAAAUGAUUAAUGGAGAAAGAUCCCAUUAUCGUUAUUGCUAUAAAAAAUUGAUUUAUGCAUCCAAAGAUACAUUAUAUAUUUCUGUGUCUCUAUUUAUAGAUGACAUUUAAGCAUCCAUAAACCGUCAGACAGAGGAAGGGGGUUCAGUGCAAAGAUUCUGUUGACCUAGGGUUGACUGCAUAAUGUCACUUGUUCGCAAUCUAUUAUUCUUUUCAAGGUCUGCUUCCUUAACGGAGCGACCAAUGUUUUUCAACUAAAUUUAUCAUAUGAUGCAGGAAGCAGGGCAGGAUAUGAAAUGUGAAGCUCAUUGGUGGAAGUAUUGCCAGUAACAGAACCCAAAGAAAAUGAAACUAUUUCAAGGCAGCAGUUGGCAGUUGCAAGUGAAUGGAGGCCCUUGACAAAAUUCUCAAGCGGUUGCAAUGCAAUUACGAUCAUCCUCAGCCUCAGGUAAUUUCUUCUCCUGCUUUGUAUUUAUUUGUUAUCUAAUUAGGAACCGUAAAGUAUCUUGAAUCAUUUUCUGUAUCUGGAAUAUAUGCAAGAGUUUCUAAAAUUUUGAUAUGAGUGUAAUGAUGGUAAUUUCUGUUUUCUGUCUGUCAUCAAAUGUUAGAAAACUUUCAUUGAGACCCUUGAACCGAGUCAUUUUUGACAAGUGAAGUGCUGAAGAGUGAAGAGUAAGAAUGGUGCUAGAUUGGGGAAUAAAGCAAAAGGAGGUAAAUUAUUGGCAGCUUCUUCAACCUUAUUUUCUUUGGACCAGUGCCUAAUUCACAAGUCUCCAUAAUUCGGCUUUUGACCAGUUGAUAGAUAAAAUUUUAAUUUCAUUGGUGCUAAUGUACCCGUGAGGCAGGCAGAGAAGGACUGUGGAAAAGAGAAGGUUUUUAGUGAAAGCUUAAACUCAGGUAAUUCUAAAAAUUAUAUGUUUUGGCUGAUUUAUCUAAAUCAGGAAAUUUUAUUUCCAUCUGUUACAAUAAAACAGAAACAGAACACAAAGAAAAAUAUUCUACUUCUUGUGGCAAUCUUGCCUUCAUUCAGACUAUGAAACCAUUUCCUUUCACCAAUUUCUUCCAAAAGUUUGAACACAUUUCAUGGUUGGACAUAGUUAGCUUCUUUUUCUUUUGGUGCAUUUAGGUGCUAUCAAGUGACAGCCGUAAGUAUGAUUGCAUUAUUGGGAAAUUUUAGGUUUUGAUGGCUCCCCAUGUUAUUGCCAAGAAAUUUUAAGUCCUCGUGUCAGAAGCUGCGUUUCUUUUCAUCAGCCUGAACCCGAACCUGUCACUAUGGAUAACUGAGGUUUUUGUCAUCAACUAUAUCAUCUUUUUCACUGUUUUGAAACUCUUAAGAUUAAACUUCAGUAAAGUUGUUUCAGUUAUCCAUGUAAUCAGGCUAAGGAUAUUUAGCAGCUUAUUUAGGCAACUGCCAGAAUUCAGUUUGUUCGCUCGAAACUUGUAUGGUGACAAGGAUACUGGCAAGGAUAGUGAGAUAGUUUUUUGUGUGAGUGAAUUUUGAAAGCUUGGGUGUUCUGGGAUUUGCAAUUGCAAUCAUCCUCUGCUUUAGGUGAUUUCUUCUCCUGUUCUGUCUUUAUUUUCUCUCUAAUUGAAAGCAUUUCAAUCAAAUUCUGUACCAGGAAUACGAAAAAUUUACCAAUAUUUUAUUUCCAUCUGUUUGCAUUGAUAACUUGGCCGCAUAUGUACUAGUUAAAGAACAAACAGAAGCAGAGUUCAGGAAAAAGUUUCUUCGGCCACCAUAUUUGAAAAUGAAACCAUUUCCAGGAAGCAGUUGGCAGCAAAUUCAUACAAAGUAUAGACAAUGAUGAACAAAAAGGUGAUUCGCAAUUUCAUUUUUUUAAAAUGAAAUUAUUUGUUAAGUUGGAGCUGAUAUUGUUAGAAGGCCAUUGAGCUAACCUCUGACACUGCUUGCCUAGAUUGCAGGAGGUCAAGACUCAAAAGAUGCACUGAAUUUUAAAAGGCAUGCAAUAAUUCUUAUGGCCAUUUGUCAAUGGUGGAAUGCUUUUAGCUUCUUUUCCUUUUGUGCAUUUUGGGGUUCUAUCAAGCGACAGCCGUAUGUAUGGAUGGAUAUAGCUGCUGCGUUGAUUUCUAAUGCAUUGUAUGAUGUUAUAGCAACUAUCCAUCUGGUCAAUGUUUCAAAAGAAUAAGACAGGGAAAAAGAGAAAGCAAGUGGCCAAUCAAGUUGCAUCAACCAAAUUGUUGUUAAACAAGUAAAACAAAGAAAGAGAGUUAAGGAAGCUGACCUUGUAGUAGGGGAGCUGAAGAAAGGCUGCCAGUGAAUGUAAGAGAAAAUAAAAUGCAAGAAAUGGUGAAGUGCAGCUUUUCAUGUCAACUUGAAAUUGAUUUUUCUGUUUGUUUUUUUUUUUUUGUAAUCUUUUGGAUUUUUCAAACAAAGAAAAUGAGGAGCAACCAGGGAGAUAAAAAGGGCGCCAAGGCAACUGUGUGUUGGGUUUAGAGCCAAAAAUAAAUAAAUAAAUAAAUAAGACAUCGUGUUCUUGUGGAGACCAGACCUAUUACGUAACGUCCCCUUCAAUACCACUUGUUCCGUAUCUGGUUUUCUCUUCGUCGUUUACAUAUUUAUCCUGUGAUUUUACAAUAACUAAAUAAUCCCCGCAUAGUUUGCAAUUUUAUUCAUUUGGGCCCUACAGAUUUCAGUAAUAGGAAUUAUUAAGGGACAAGAGCGCAAAACAGAAACUCUGUCCACUACUGAUGAUAUAAUAACGAACCUUUGUUUUUUUUUUUUAAAAAAAAAAAGAGUAACAAAAUAUCAUUAGACAAAUGAAAAUAUUAUCUAACAUCACCUAUUCACCUUACUGAUGAUAUGAAAAUAUGUAUGUAUGUAUGUAUGUAUGUACAUAUAUACAUACACCUAUGUAACAUUUACUUAUACAUUCUUUUGAGUUUAAAUCUUAAUACAACUACAUACAACCACAUCAAUGUAUAUAUUUUUUACAUAAGACAUGCCGUCCUAUUAUUCAUAAGUAAACAAUGUGCCGUAAAUAGUAUUCUGUGUUUUCUCAAAGUUGACUUUUCGUCUUUUAUUUUCAGACGCAGACGCUAUGUCAUUUUGUAAUCGUCCGAACAUAUACAGAGCAGAAUUGGUGUUAUCUGAUUUUGUGAUGCAAUAAGAUUUGCACUUCCUGUGCAUUCAAUGGAAUCAUGCCACGCUAGUAGACAAUAUGCUAGUUUGAACAAACUUGUUUGAAUGGCAAAAACGACAUGACCUGCUGUAGUAUUAAUUCUUUCCCGAACCAACGGGUGAUUUGCUACGUUGGAUCAUGAAAAUUAACCAAAAUAAAAAUUCUUAAGGAAUUAGUUAGUUAAUUGAUUGAUCGAAUUUAAUCUAAAUUUGAAAAUGAUAAGAUAAAUUUAAAUUUAUUAUUAUUAUUAUUAUUAUUAUUUUAAAGUGGGUGGGUUUAUACAAUUUGAGCGGUGGAAAUAUCACUGCUGAAUUAUUAAAUAUACAGUGUAAAAUUUUGACCUUUAAAAUAUUCCCUUUUUUUUUUUAUUUAGCACUAUAAGUUUAAAAAUUUAACAUUUUACCUCAAUAAUUAAAUACUUUUAACUUUAAUCUUCAAAUAUUUACCCUACAACAUUUGGACCUAAAUUUUUAAUCCGACUCGGCCCCUGACCCAAGUGGGAAGAAGAUCAGGCUUAUAAGUUAUAACUAUCACCAACAUAACAUCUUCUGGAAAAUAAUAAGAUUACUCACCUGCAAUUAUGUGAUCAAACUAAUGGUAAGCAAAAUAGAACAGCGUUAUUUCAGUCCCCUUUCAGUUUCUUUAUCAUUUUUCUUUUCCUAUUUAUAAGCUUAAUUCGGUUCAAAAUCGGCUAAUUCACUUUGAUUUCACUUUUCUUUCUUUCGGUUCAAAAAAAUUGAACCCAUUGGCUGUCAAUUCAAUUUUGUUGAAAACCAACUUUGCCUGAAUUUAAGUAAUAAUAGAGGAAAAAAAAAGAGUACUUAGCAGAAGAGAUUUCUCAUUUUUUUCUCAUUCAAACUUCUAAAAUAAAAGAAAAAAAAACAAGAGUAAUUGUUAAUUAUCAAAAUUUUGUUUAUACUAUUCCACCAAGAAAAUUAUACAAAAAAAAAAAUUUUAAAAAUUGGAGAAGAAAUAUGAGGUGAAAUACGUGGAUGGCUUAGACUAAUAAUGUGAACAAAUUCCUCUUGGAAGCAUGUCAUUGUUCAUCCGGACAACACGCGGCGAUGAGAUUCGAGAAUAAAAGGAUAGGAAUCAACUGUAACCUCAUAAACAAAUGGCCUUGGAGUUGUAACCAAAGCUUUUAAUUAUUGAUCAUUAAGAUCGAUAUAAAGUAUCACGAAAUGAUGUGUACGACGACAAUAUCAAUAGCGUAGUGUGAAGACCUGGCUGUAAACACAAGGCUCGGCAGAUUAAUUAAACAAGAGUAUCCGAAUUUUCUAUGAUAAUCUCUAGGAAACGAUCAGCUAUAAUGUACGAAAUUAAAAUAUUGCAUAUAUUUUUGAAUUUUUGAACUCAUGCAUUAAUUUAAAAAAUUAUAUCGUAUUAUAAUUUAUUCACAAAAGAAAGAAAAAUUCACUAAUCAAGUGAAAUCGUAUUCUUAUUGAAAUGAAUUCCAGUAAUUGGAUAAAUAUAAGUAUUUCUUCCGUUGUAAUUUUUGUUUAACAGAAAAUCUAUUUGAGAUUUUGUGAGAAGAAACUCAACAAUAAAGUUUGAUAGACUUUGUGGAUAUUAAGAGUUUGACAAGUAAUUGAAAUCUGAAGUUUACUGAAAUUUACGAGCAAACAAACUGAAAUCCGAAGUUUACUGAAGUUUACUAUCAAGAGUUUCAAAACAGUGAAAAAGAUGAUAUAGUUGAUGACAAAAACCUGAGUUAUCCAUAGCGACAAGUAACAUACUGAAGUAAGCCGUUGGGAGCUGGCCUGUUCAUGGGCUAUUUUUCUCUGAUGAUCUGCAUUUUUCUUCCUUUUAAAGUGAACCUUGACUCGUAUCAAACCUGUCAAAAGAACAGUUCAUCAACUGAGCUGAGAUUUGCUUUCCUUUUUCAAAACCCACCUGAGAUAUUGUAAUUCCCAAAUUUCUCUCUCUCAGCUACACGAGCAAGCAGCCGCUUUUUCACUUCAUCGAAGAAGGUAAGCGAUUUAUCUAUUUCGUCCGAUUGAUUUCUUGUUUCGUUUUCAGUGUUCGGGUAAAUUAUUGGCAUGCCUGACUUUUUGACCAUUACAUGAUUCAUAAAUUUCUAUUAAUUUUGAUUUUGAGUUGACUGGUUACUUUUAUAGGUUUGUUUACUUUGACUAGGUGACCAAUUUCUUGUAACUAAAUUUAUGACGUGAUGCAGGAAGCUCGGCAGGAUAUGAAAUGAGAAUCUUAUUAGUGGAAGGAUUGCCAGUAACAGAACCCAAAGAAAAUGAAACCAUUUCAAGGCAGCAGUUGGCAGUUGGGAGUGGAUGGAGGCCCCUGACAAAACUUCAGUAAACUUCAGAUUUCAGUUUGUUUGCUCGAAACUUGCAUGGUGACAAGGAUACUGGCAAGGAUAAUGAGAUAGUUUUUGUGUGAAUGAAAUUACGAUCAUCCUCAGCCUUAGUUGUUAUUUGUUACCUAAUUAAGAAGCAUAAAGUAUCCUGAAUCAUUUUCGUUGUCUGGAACAUAUGAGUGUAAUGAUUGUAAUUUCUGUUUUCUGUCUGUCAUCGAAUGUAAGACAACUUUAUUAAGAUUCUUGAACCGAGUCAUUUUUGACAAUUGAAGGACAAGUGCUGAAGAGUGGGAAUGCAAAAAGUUUUGUUGUUUCUAGCCUUGUUUUCUUUGAACCAGCGCCUGAUGAUAUAACAGAAACAAGGCUAGAAACAACAAAAACUCUGUCCACUACUGAUGAUAUAACAACGAACCUUUGUUUUUUUCUUUUUUCUUUUUUUUUUUAAAAAAAGUAACAAAAUAUCAUUAGAGAAAUGAAAAUAUUAUCUAACAUCACCCUACUGAUGAUAUGAAAAUAUGUAUGUAUGUAUGUAUGUAUAUACGUAUGUAUGUACAUAUAUACAUACACCUAUGUAACAUUUAAUUAUACAUUCUUUUGAGUUUAAAUCUUAAUACACAUUUUCAUGAAAUUUUUAUUUUAUUAAGUAUACAACUACAUACAACUACAUUAAUGUAUAUAUUUUUUACAUAAGACAUGCCGUCCUAUUAUUCAUAAGUCAACAAUGUGUUGUAAAUAGUGUUCGUGUCUCAAAGUUGACUUUUCGUCUUUUAUUUUCAGACGCAGACGAUAUGUCAUUUUAUACACAGCAGAAUUGGUGUUAUCUGAUUUUGUGAUGCAAUAAGAUUUGCACUUCCUGUGCACUCAAUGGAAUCAUUUCUUUGUAACUAAUUGGGUGCUGGAAUGGUGGUCAAAUCUCGAACGAAGACAGAUCUAUCAAACUCCAGAAUUGGUGUUAUCUGAUUAAUUGAUUGAUCGAAUUUUAUCUAAAUUUGAAAAUGAUAAGAUAAUUUUGAAUUUAUUAUUAUAAUUAUUAUUUUAAAGUGGGGUGGGUUUAUACAAUUUGAGCGGUGGAAAUAUCACUACUGAAUUAUUAAAUAUACAGUGUAAAAUUUUGACCUUUAAAAUAUUCCCUUUUUUUUUUAUUUAGCAUCUAUAAAUUUAAAAAUUUAACAUUGUACCUCAAUAAUUAAAUACAUUUAACUUUAAUCUUCAAAUAGUUACCCUACAACAUUUGGACCUAAAUUUUUAAUCCGAUUCGGCCCCUGAUCCAAGUGGGAAGAAGAUCAGGCUUAUAACUAUCACCAACGUAACAUCUUCUGGAAAAUAAUAAGAUUAUUCACCUGCAAUUAUGUGAUCAAACUAACGGUAACCAAAAUAGAACAGCGUUAUUUGAGUCCCCUUUCAGUUUCUUUAUCAUUUUUCUUUUCCUAUUUAUAAGCUUAAUUCGGUUCAAAAUUGGCUAAUUCACUUUAAUAAGUUUAUUGGUUUGAACGCUGUUAGCUUCUUUUCCUUUCGUGCAUUUUGGUAUGCAACAGUUCUUGCCUAUGACACUGCUUGCCUAGAUUGCAGAAGGUCAAGGCUCAAAAGAAGCACUGAAUUUUAAAAGGCAUGCAACAGUUCUUGUGCCAUAUGUCAAUUCAUGCAAGUUUGAAUAAGUUUUUUGGUAUGCUAUCAAGUGACAGCCGUAUGUAUGGUUUGCAUAUAGCUGCUGCUGGGAAAUGUGAGGAUUUCAUGGCUGGCCGUGUUAUUGUCUUAAAUUAGAUGUGAUAAGCUGUUGCUUGGUGAUUCUGUUGCCAAGAAUUUGCUCACAUCAGAAGCUGUGGAACCUGAACCCUUCUCUAGAUAUCAUCUUUUUCAUUGUUUUAAAACUCUCAGGAUUAAACUUGAGUAAUUUUGUUCGGUUGUCUAUAUAAUCAUGUAUUGAGUAAACUCUCAGGAUACUGAGCAGGCAAAUGCCAUAACUCGGUUUGUUCUUCAAAAACUUGUUUAAGAUUCUUGACAAAGCUGCAUGAAGUGAAUCUUGGGAGCUUUGAGGGUGAGAGAAAUUAGAGGGUGUAUAGGGAUUUGGGCUUAUUAGGAAGUUAUAUAUGUAUUUCGUCACUUAUCAUUAUCAUUUUUUUUUUCACAGAAAACCUUCUGAUGGUGCUAAAUUUUCAAACACCGGUCCGAUUCAAAACUUCAUAUUCCAAUUAUAUUCAUAAGACAAAUGGAACACUUUGAACGGCUUGUGUCCGAGCAUUGUAGUUUGAUUUAUUUUGAUGACAGUACCUUUUGACAUUGAGAUUCUUUCAUGAUUUAAACAUUCUUUUAAAAACUAAAUUAUUAAAAAAAAAGUAACUAACAUAUAUUAUUUUAUUAGUGCUUUUUAAAUCAAAUAUACAUAGGAGAACUGUAAUUCUUAGCAAUCAAUUUUCCACUAAAUACACCUGCAACAAACUAUUAAUAGCAAAGUGAUAGAAAAUACCUGAUUUUUCAUACUUUCUAAUUUCUUUUGGUCCUAAAAUAUGGGCAUUUGUGUAAUAAUUAGCCCAUGUGGAUCUCUAUGCCAUGAGUUUGAUAAGUAGCUAUCAAGGAUCACUUAUUAAGCUAAAAAUAUUUGGAGGACAAAAUUGUAAAACUAAAAGGGUGGAGCAAAUAUGGCUAUCUAGGAUUAAAUAGUAAGUCAACUAUAUUUAAAGGAUAAAAUAUUAAAACUUGAAAUGUGAUAUUAAAAAUAUCUCAACUAUUAUGUUAUUAAACCAUAUGUUGUAAUAGUUUAUUUUUUAAGCUUCAAAAUGUUCAGGAUUUUAGAUUGAAACAUUUUCAUUUGAAAUUAUUUGGUGCAGUCACAAGUUAAGAAAGAAAAAGUUGUCCCAUUGGUCAUUUCACAAAAAUGAAAGCCCUGUAUAACAUGGGCUUGAAUGGAAGCCCAAUUGUUUGUGUUUGAUUAAUUGAUUUCAAGCUUUAUCGAACCUUUGUACCUGGAUACUUUACUGCGGCCUCUAAGCGCUAUAAAUUUUUUUGGGGAUAAACGGCGCUUCAAUGAGGUCAUCUCCGAUGCUUAACACCAUUUUGGUGUAAUACCAACAUUAAAAAUAUACAUUUUUCACACUAAAUUACUAUUUCAUCUCCAACCCAUUUACACCAAAAAAAAUAUUUUUCUUUUUAUUCUUUUAAUUCUCAAGAAUUAAUUCAAUUAACACAAUAAAUACUACUAUUAACAUAGAUAAUUAAGUAAUAAGUAAUUUUAUCGAUUAACAAAAAAAUAUAGAAAAUUAUUAAAUUUGCAUUUAAUUAACUAAAUUAGUACAUUAUGAAAAUUAAACAUUACAUUAAUAUAGAAAAAUACAAUAACAAUAAUAAUAAUUUUAUAUCUAAUAUUUUGAUGAUAUUGGAGGAUCUAAUAAUGAUCUUCCAGAUUAUUAAAUAAUUGUUCUAAUUUAUACUAGUAGUAGUAGCUUUUUUAAUUUGUGUUAAUUUAAUUUUGUAAUAUGUAAUAUAGUAAUUAAUGUUACUAGCAUUUUAUUAUUAUUAUUAAUUUUUGUGUUGAAUAUUUUUUAUUUAAAAUAUUAGUAUAAUAUUCAAAAAUUAAAAAAUGAAAUAAAAAUAAUAACAAAAAUAAUAAUAAUAAUAACUUAAAAUAUUAUAUAAAAUAGGACAUAUAUGUAAAUAAGAAAAAGUAAUAAAGAUAUUUAAGAGCUUUUUUUCCUAGCACCAAAUGAAUAGUGUUACACCAUAUUUGGUGCAAUACUAUUCACAACACCAUUUUGUUGUUGGUUUUGGUGUUACAUUGGAGAAGCAUUUUACACCAAAAAUAGUGUAAAAGGUGGUUUGGUGUUAGUUUUGGUGUCACAUUGGAGAUGGCCUGGAAAAGCACUUGAAAACUUUGGAUUUUUGGUUCGUCCAGUUACGGUGUUAUGCUAACGGGGUUAAAGGUUCCGAUCCAAUGAGUUAGGAUCCGAAGGUUACUGAAGUUUACUAUCAAGAGUUUCAAAACAGUGAAAAAGAUGAUAUAGUUGAUGACAAAAACCUGAGUUAUCCAUAGCGACAAGUAACAUACUGUUUAUUACAGAGAAACAAACGACAACAUGAUACUAGUAGUAGUUAUUCUUUUCAUCCGAUAUAUUACAUGGUAAUAUCACUACUCGUUCCACUAGUUUCAUGUACACUGUCGACCAGCAACAUGAUAAUUUCGUGCCAGUUCAUUUUGGUUUGUUGGAAAAAGCAGUGUAUUUCUUAGAACUUGAAAAUAAUAAAAAUAUUUUAAAAUAUAAAUUGCAUAUUUGUUUAUUACCAUUCUUUGGUCUAUUUCUUCUGUAGACUUUUCAGAAUCUGUAGGACGUUAGUUUAUAACUUUGGGAUUUUGUAGCCCUAAUUUUUUUUUUUGGCAUUUUAUUUUGCUGCUUUAUCUAUGUGCAUGUUAACUAAAUUAAGCUAAUCUAGAAUUAAUAGAGAGGGAUAUUUAUCUAUUUUGUUUAACCUUUACCACUCUAGGCAUUGUACUACAUGUGAGCUUGUGAUGCUUGCAUUUUAUUGAUGUUGAUGAUUCGUUGAAUGUUUUAUUUUUUGAUUUUUUAAGUUUUCCAGAGUCAUGUUUGUGUCUACGAAGAAAUUGUAAAGGCUGUGCACGAAGCACUUGUCAUUCUUUAGACUUUAUUGAUUAUAUUUUUGUCAGAUUUGCGUGUAUAUUCACAUAUGUUUUAUUUUUUCAUUUUGUAGGACAUUUUUACAUGCCAUAUUAUCACGACUCUUCUGUGUCUGAAUAAGAAGAAAGCAUAAUGCGACCCUCCAACAGCUUAAUCUAUGGAAUUAUCGUGUUUUGUAAGUUCUGGUCCAAUGGCGUUUUGGCACAUCAUAUGAUAGACCACUAUAUUGCGUUGCUUUACAAAAGAUUAAUAUUUUUAAAAUUAUUAACUCAUGAUAUGAUAGUCCAGGUUUUCGAGGACCACUAUAUUGUAUGGAUUUAAAAAAAAUUAAUAUUUUUUAAUAUUAAUAUUCUAAAUUAUAUUCAGUUAAAAUAUUAAAUAUUAAAUACAUUCUUAACAUUAAUAUUCUUAGAUGAAAUUCUUUUGCUGACUUAAGAAUAAAGUAUUAAAUAAUUUUAUUUUUCUUUUAUUUUGUAACGUGGACCCAAAAAAAAAAGGAAAUGAAUUUAAUAAAACCUUCAUUCCGCCAACAUGCAUGUUAAUUGUUUCCAAAUUCCAACCUCCGUACUCUCUUGAGGAGUUUCCCAUUCAUCAAUUAUUAUUUUUUAUAAUCCAUACCAUCCUGAUAUAAUUAAACACCAUUAAUAAUGUACCAGCCUUUAAAUAGUAAUUAAUUUAUUUAUCUAAUUCACCAAAUGUUUUUUUCCGGUACAUAUCUCCAUUGGUAUCAAGAAGAAGCAGAACCCAAAGAAAUGUUUCUUGCAUCUUCAUAUUUGUGCGAAUUCAUCCUUUCAUUGAGAAUAACCAUUUCCAGGCAGCAGUUGGCAAUCAAUUCAUGCGCAUGUCGAUGCUACUCAUAGAUAUUAAAGACAAUGAUGAACCAAAGGUAAUAAAUCAUAAAUGCAUAAUUACCAAACCUCCAUCCUUCUCUCAUUAUGACUUGAUUUUAAAUGAAUUAUUGCUUGGUAACAUUAUUUCCAACCAUUGCAAGAUUUUUUUUUGGAGAAAUUUCAAUUGAAAGUAAAACCUUUAGACAUUUACCUAAUGAAGUUAGUUAAUCGGGAGGGUGGAAAAAAAAAAGUUGACGCAAGUCAAUACACAAUAAUUAAUUAAAUCCGGAGUCACUAAAACAGAGCCACGACUUUUUCAAAAAUAUCUGCAUUCAUCACUUUCUCCAGCAACUAGUCAGCUACACACGAAUCAAUUUCUCUCCUCGUUUGUCAUCCAAAAUUAUUCACCAAUACCAUGGCUGAUGCAAUCGUUUCCCCGCUCUUGGAGCAGCUGAUUUCCUUCGCUGCUGAAGAGAUAAAACAACAGGUGAUCGAAGUUACACCCCUCAUAUUACAAAUACUUCCAAUGAUUUUAAUUGGUUUUGUUUUUAUCAAAAACAUUAUAUAUUUUUGCUUUUUUUUAUUUAUCUGAUAAUUUUAUAUUUUGAAAUUUGAAUUGAAUUUAAUUAAAAGGUGAUGUAGUAACCACUUAUUUUUAUUUUAUUUCAUUUAUAUUCUCAAUAACUACUCAUAUUUUGGUAACUUACUAUAACUUCCAUAUCUAAGAAAUGAUCCAAACCCACAAUUUUAACUAUGUAUAAAUAUUCAACGUUGAGCUAAGGUUUUGCAGAACAUUCAAGUUUAUCAAAUAGUCAUUAAUUUAAUGUUUUAGUAAAACCUCAACUCAUCACUGAAUCCCAUAGCUAUUACUUAGACACUAUGAAAAAUUUCAUAGUUUUCUUACAUUCUUUCAGUUUGGUAAGUGAUUUCAUAUAAUUUCUUUUCAAGUUAAAUUUUAAUUUGGUUUCUGAUAUAGUCUCUUUGCCGAAUUGUAUCUUUUAUGAUUCUUGGAUUUUGGGCUCCAACUUUUUAGGAUUUGAUAGUCACAUUUUAUGCCAUGCUCAGAUUGAUUUUCAUGAUUUUUAGUACCCGUUAAGUGACGUACAAUUUGACAAAAGUUUGAAAGGAAAUAUGUUUCAGAAUUCUGUUUUAAUUGACCUUUUAGUGGAAUUAGGAUGCUUAUAACUUAAUGUGGAUGGUUCGUAAAAUCAUGAAAUUUGGAUAGGAUUCACUAGCAAUAUGUACAAGACUCCCCAUAAAGUUUCAUAAUUUUUCAUUCGGUCUGGGGUGGUACAGGUGAAACUUGUGGUUGGUGUUGAAAAAGAAGUGAAAAGCCUUACCAGCCAUCUUCAAGCCAUUCAAGUUGUGCUCGAUGAUGCAGAGGAAAAGCAAGUGAAGGAAAAAGCUGUUAGUCUUUGGCUGGGUAGGCUCAAGUAUGCAUCCUACGACAUUGAAGAUGUGUUGGAUGAGUGGAUAACAACAAGACGCAAAUUGCAAAUUGAGGGUGGCGUUGAUGAAAAUGCUCUUGUUGUUCCUCAUAAGAAAAAGAAGGUAUGUCUCUGCUUUCCCGGCUCUUGUUUUGGAUUCAAACAAGAAGAAUUUGGUUUCAAACAGGUCUUUCUCCGUCAUGACAUUGCCGACAAGAUCAAAGAAAUCAAUGAAGAGCUACAUGAUAUUGCCGCUCAAAAAGACAUGUUUGAUCUUGUUAAGAGUGGCAAUAAAAGUAGUGAAAGACCAAGGCGUGUACAGAGUACCUCCUUGAUUGAUGAGGAAGAGAUUUGUGGCAGAGUUGGUGAGAGGAAUGAACUCUUAAGCAAGCUGUUGUGUGAGAGUAGCGAGCAACAAAAAGGCCUUCAUAUCAUCUCAAUCGUUGGUAUGGGAGGCAUAGGGAAAACAACUCUUGCACAACUAGCUUGUAAUCAUGACGAGGUGAAGAGAAAGUUCGACAAAAUUCUGUGGGUGUGUGUAUCAGAAACUUUUGAGGAGUUUAGGGUUGCCAAAGCGAUCGUUGAAGUUUUGGAUGGUCGUGAAUCUCAUUUAGCUGAAUUCCAUUCUCUUCUUCAACAUAUUUAUGAAUCCAUUGCAGGGAAGAGCUUUCUUCUUGUCUUAGAUGACGUGUGGGAUGGAAAUUACUUGAAAUGGGAACCAUUCUACCAUUGUCUAAAGAAUGGUCUCCAUGGAAGUAAAAUUUUAGUUACCACACGUAAAGGGUCAGUCGCAUCCAUGAUGGGAUCCAUAGAUAUUAUCUCCGUUAAGGAGUUAGCUGAAGAGGAAUGUUGGUUGUUGUUUAACAAGAUAGCAUUUUUUGAUCGGUCCAUCGAGGAACGUGAAAAAUUAGAACAAAUUGGGCAAAGAAUUGCAGGCAAGUGCAAAGGUUUACCUCUUGCAGCAAAGACAAUAGGGAGUCUCAUGCGUUCUAAACAAACUGAAGAAGAGUGGAAAAGAAUUUUAAAUAGUGAUUUAUGGAAAGUAGAAGAGAUUGAGAAAGAUGUUUUGUCCUCUUUAUUGUUGAGUUAUAAUGAUUUGCCAUCUAGAGUAAAAAGAUGUUUUUCAUAUUGUGCUGUCUUUCCAAAAGACUACAAUAUAGAAAAAGACAAACUAAUCACGUUAUGGAUGGCUCAAGGUUAUCUUAGUGCAGAAGAAGAUGAAGAGAUGGAGACAGUAGGUGAAGAGUAUUUUGGCAUCUUAGCUUCUCGCUCAUUUUUUCAAGAGUUUAAGAAAAGUUAUGAUAAUCGGAUUAUAGAGUGUAAGAUGCAUGAUAUGGUACAUGAUUUUGCCCGAUUUGUAAGUCAAAAUGAAUGUUUUUCGAUGGCAAUUAAUGGUAGUGAAGAACCAAACGCCACAAACUCUCUUGAUGAGAAGGUCCGUCAUUUAAUGUUAAUCUUUAGUAUAGAGGCUUCAUUACCUGUUUCCACUUGUAGAGUUAAAAGAAUUCGUAGCCUCUUAAUUAACGAUAGUAGAUCUGAUCAUUCAUUAUUAAAUGGUGAGAUCCUAGAAGAAUUAUUUAGGGAAUUGACAAGUUUAAGGGCAUUAGAUUUUUGCAAAUCGUAUAACGCAAGCUGGUCUUCGACUCUGGAGAUUCCGAGAAACAUAGAAAAGCUGGUACAUUUAAGAUACCUUAAUUUGUCUUAUCAGGGAAUAAAGAAACUACCGGAGACAUUAUGCGAGUUGUAUAAUCUAGAAAAGUUAGAUAUUAGUUAUUGUUAUAAGCUAGAAGAAGUACCUGAAGGGAUUGGGAAGUUAAUAAACAUGAAGCAUUUACGAAAUAGAGGUACUAGUUCUUUAAGGUACAUGCCGGUAGGGAUUGGGAGAUUAACGGGUCUUAGGACCUUGGGUGAGUUCCACGUGAGUGCAGGAGGAGGUGUUGAUGGUAGGAAAGCAUGUAGGCUUGAAUCUCUUUAAAACUUGGAACACCUUCAAGUAUGUGGUAUAUGUAGACUGGGUGAUGUAUCAGAUGUGGGCGAGGCUAAGCGAUUAGAACUUGACAAAAAGAAAUACCUCUUCAGUUUGACCCUUGAGUUUGAUAAGACGGAAAGAGGAGGAGAAAGGAGGAAGAACGAGGACGAUCAACUUCUUCUUGAAGCCUUGCGACCACCCCUGGAUUUAAAGGAAUUAGAGAUACGGUACUACCGAGGCAACACUGUUUUCCCCAGCUGGAUGGCGUCAUUAACCAACUUAAAGAGUUUACAUCUCCAUAGGUGCGAAAAUUGCGAGCAGCUGCCUCCUUUGGGAAAAUUGCCGUCCCUUGAAAAUCUCUACAUAUGGCGCAUGGAGAGUGUGAAGAGAGUGGGUGAUGAAUUUUUGGGGAUAGAAAGUGAUCAUCAUGACUCAUCGUCAUCUUCAUCAGUUACUAUUGCCUUCCCCAAAUUGAAAUCACUCACAAUUUAUUCGAUGCUGGAAUUGGAGGAGUGGGAUUAUGAGAUUACAAGAACAGGAAACACCGUCAUCAACAUCAUGCCACGUCUUUCUUCCUUGACAAUUGUUGAUUGCACCAAAUUAAAGGCACUGCCCGACCACAUUCAUCAAACGACAACGUUGAAGGAAUUGAGCAUUUUUAUGUGUUGGCUUCUGAACAAACGUUACCGCAAGGGGAAAGGAGAAGACUGGCCUAAAAUAUCACACAUUCCCAACCUCCAUAUUGGGCUUUGACAAGUAAUUUCUUCUCUCACUCUGAUUUGCUUUGUUGUUGUUUUUGUUGAAAAGUUAAAAAGUUUGGUUGGAAAAGAAAAGUGAGCCACAUGCAUUGCUUUUGUUUUUCAAAGUCGGCACCAAAUUGCAAACUGUAUUUGGCAUUUGACAAUCCUGCACCAAAUGAAGAAAAAUGCAAAAGUUAGCAAAAUUUGUCAAAUUGACAGAGAUGGAGAUUGAUAAAUUGCAGAGGGAUUAGGUGGAAUAGUGCAUGCUUGAAGCCUAUAAAUUGAAGCCAUUUCUUCAUUCUAAAUAAUCCCAAAAUUGUUAAACUUAUAAGUUUCUAAGCUUUUGAGAGAAGUGAGAGAAGUGUGUCUGUGGAAUUUAUUUUUCCUGCAGAGUGUGAGAGUACUUGGUAUAUUUGGGUUUCUGGGAAGUGAGAUUCGUUACUCAAAUAUUGUAUUCUAUUAAUUGUUAAAUAAACAAUUAUUCUUUCUUACCUCCGUGGAUGUAGGUUUAAUUACCGAACCACGUAAAAUCUUGUGUCCUUUAUUUUUCAGUAAUUAUUUGGUGCGCUUGAUUCCGCAUUCCGCGCACAACAGUUUUUAAUCUAAUUAAGAAGCGAAAAUAGCAUUUUGAAUCAAACUCUAUAUCAGAAAUCUGCAAUACUUACUUUCUAAUAUUCUGAUUUUCAUAUCCUAUGAAUAUACGAUUUUUAAUUUGUGAGAUGGGUAACGUUACUGUAAAAGAUUAUUAAUGCAAUAUGAGUAAUUCUUUUGCAGGACAAGUGACCUACAUUUAGUUUGGCUUUGGAGUUGAAUAAUAACCUUUCGAGGUCCCGACAACCAAAAAACAAAGCUUAAUUUGCCACAGAUUGAACGUAUUGCCAUUAUUGACAAUUUUCUGCACAAGUGUGACUGAACUUAGGUUGAUGUCAAAAGAGGUAAAUUAUUGGCAUGCCUCACUAUUUUGACCAUUACAUGAUUCAUAAGUUUACAUUAAUUUUGAUUUUGAGUUGAGUGAUUAGUUUUCUAGGUUUGCUUACUUUAACUGGGUGACCAAUUUCUUGUAACUAAAUGUAUGAUGUGAUGCAGGAAGCAGGGCAGGAUAUGAAAAGAGAAGCUUAUUAGAGGAAGGAUUGCCAGUAACAGAAUCCAAAGAAAAAGAAACCAUUUCGAGGCAGCUGUUGGCAGUUGGCAGUGAAUGGAGCCCCUUGAAAAAAUUCCCAAGCCGUUGCACUGCAAUUACGAUCAUCCUCGGCCUCAGGUAAUUUCUUCUCCUGCAUUUUUGUUAUUUGCUAUCAAGUGACUAUUUUAAGUAUGAUUGCAUUAAGCUGCUGCUGGGAAAUUUGAGGUUUUGAUGACUGCCCAUGCUAUUGUCAGAAGCUGCGGUUCUUUUCAUCAGCCUGAACCUGGACCUGCCGCUAUGGAUAACUCAGGUUUUUUUUUUUUUUUAAUCAACUGCCAUCUUUUCCACUGUUUAGAAACUCUUAAGAUUAAACUUUAGUAAAGUUGUUUUAGUUAUCCAUGUAAUCAGGCUGAGGAUACUUAGCUGCCUAUUUAAGCAAAUGUCAGAAUUUAGUUUGUUCGCUGGGAACUGGUGUGGACUGGCAAAGGAUGAUGAGAUAGUUUUUUGAGUGAGUAAAUUUUGGGAGCUUGAGUGUAUUGGGAUUUGCAAUUACAAUCAUCGUCUGCCUCAGGUGAUUUCUUCUCCUGCUCUAUCAUUGUUUGUUCUCUAAUUCAAAAGCAUAAAAUAUUUCAAUCAAUUUUUAUGCCAGGAAUAUGCAAAAGUUUCUAAUAUUUUAUUUCCAUCUGUUACAAGAUCAAACUGAAGUAGAACUCAAACAAAAGUAUGCUACUUCUUGCGGAAAUCUUGCCUUUGUUCAGAUUAUGAAACCAUUUCCAUGCAGCAAAUUCAUCCAAAAGUUUGAAUAAGUUUCAUGGUUGGACACUGUUGGCUUCUUUUUCUUCUGGGGUGCAUUUAGGUGCUAUCAAGUGACAGCUGUAAGUAUGAUUGCACUAAGCUGCCGCUGGGAAAUUUGAGGUUUUGAUGGCUGCCCAUGUUAUUUUCAAGAAACUAUUGAUGUAAGAAGCUGUGGUUCUUUUCAUCAGCUUGAACCUGAAACUGUCGCUAUGGAUAACUCAGGUUUUUGUUAUCAACUAUAUCAUCUUUUUCACUAUUUUGAAACUCUUAAGAUUAAACUUUAGUAAAGUUGUUUCAGCUAUUCAAAUGAAAAACUCAUUGAUUUGAGACUUCCUUCAUUAUUGUUUCUAAUUACAAUGCUAACGAUCUAGAUAAAAUAAUAUUUAAUCGGCGCAGGUGUCCCUUGGAAGUACAUCCAACUUUUUCUUUUAUUAUAUAAAUUCUUGCAAUGAGCUUAGUGAAGCUGUUGUGCUAAUCAUGCCACUGCAUAAUUUGGCCCCUAAUGUGGGUACUCUGUUACAUUGUUCUGCAAAUUCUCCAGAAGUUAAAAUCAAUAAAUUUUCUAUUAGCUCUAGUGCUUUGACCUAAAUGCUAUUCUAUAUUUUGAUUACAAUGUUUUAACCUUUAAAUUAACUACCCCUAGAUGUUGGAUUUUCUAGAACUUCAAAAUGAUUAAUGGAGAAAGAUCCCAUUAUCGUUAUUGCUAUAAGAAAUUGAUUUAUGCAUCCAAAGAUACAUUAUAUAUUUCUGUGUCUCUAUUUGUAGAUGACAUUUAAGCAUCCAUAAACCGUCAGACAGAGGAAGGGUGAUGGGUGUCGAAGCCAACAAAAAUAAAUUCCUACUCUAAAUAAAUUGUGUAUAGUGAUUGAGCAGGGUCGUGUCCACAGAGAUCGGUAAUUAAUUAAAUCCUUUUGAAACGUAAAACAUAAAAUGGGGGAAUUGUUGACAAUAAUAAAAAUCAAAUUAAAAUAACAAGAAUGCAAAUUAAAGUUGUAAUUCAAAUUAGAGAAAGCUCUGGUUGAAGGAAUUAACUCAGCUUGAUUCGACUACUGAUCAUUGAUUCAAAUAUAGAUUAUUAUUACUCAUGAAUAGACCGGUUAUAGCUACUGAGACCCUCUAAUAGCCAAUCUCUCCUUAACUAGUCGAUAACCAAGGUACGACCAUUGGUUAUUUCCCUAAUCAAUAGACAACCCUAGAUACGAUCAUAGAAUUUAAUCAAUUGACAGCCUGAAAAACCAGAGAGACCCAAAUCCUAAUCAACACAUAUGAUGAUUCAUUUAAAUUAGAUUGUUUAUUCUCACAACACAACUCUCUGCUAUGUUAUUUGUCACAAACAUUAAAUUCUUCAUACGAUGAAUCCUUUAAUUGACAAUAGAUUAAGUUGAUAAUUAAAUAGUGGCCAAUUACCUAAUUAACAAACAUAAUCAUGAAAAUAAUUCAGAGAAUAAACAAAUACCCAAAAAGUAAUAAAACAAUUAAAGCACAAGAAAGAUCUCACAGUAGUGAUGAAUCAAAGCUUCAUUAACCUUCAACCAGAAAAAUAGGUUUAGCUCUUCAUAGAGAGAAGAGAAAAAUUAGAUCUAGGGUUUCUUUCUUUUUCUCCAAUCCAAAAAUCCCCCUUUUUCACAAUAGAUUCCUCCCUUAAAUACUUUCUCUCUCUUCUCUUUUAGAAUUCUAUUUAAAAUAAAAUCCUAAUAUCUGAAAUAUUAAAUUCGUAAUUACAAAAAUAACCAAAAAUACAAAACACGUUAAACUAAAAACUGCAGGUCCGCAGUUGACAGCACGCGCCCACGCCUUAUCAACAAAGUUCUUCUGACGCUCAUAAUUUCUCCAAGAGAACAAUCAUCCUUAAACAUCAUCUUAUAGCUCAAUUUUAUCAUCAAUCAAUAGAAUUGCACCUACAAAAGUAAAACACAAGUAAAUCACUAUUAUUAAGUGCAAAACAUUGAUAUUAAGGGAAGUAAAUAAUGCAAAACUAGUGCAUAAAUUGCACUCUAACAAAGGGGGUUCAGUGCAAAGAUUCUGUUGACCUAGGGUUGACUGCAUAAUGUCACUUGUUCGCAAUCUAUUAUUUAUUUUAUAUUUUGAAGAAUUUAAUGGGUAAUCCUAAUUGUUUGUUUUGGCAGGUAUGUGUUGUUAUCUCCUUCUAUCUAACAGUCGUACCUAAAUAGCAUAGUUUCAUCUGUGUUACCAUGUGAUGUACAUAAUUUCACAUUUGCCUCAGAUUAAGCUUAAUUUCCCACAAAAUAGAGCUGUCGCGACUGGACUUAGGUUGAUGUCCAAAGAGGUAAAUUAUUGGCAUGCCUAGAUAAUUUGGCCAUUUCCUAAUUCAUAAGUCUACAUUAUUUUUGAUUUUGAGUUGACUGAUUUCUUUUCAAGGUCUGCUUCCUUAACGGAGUGACCAAUGUUUUUCAACUAAAUUUAUCAUAUGAUGCAGGAAGCAGGGCAGGAUAUGAAAUGAGAUCUCAUUGGUGGAAGUAUUGCCAGUAGCAGAACCCAAUGAAAAUGAAACUAUUUCAAGGCAGCAGUUGGCAGUUGCAAGUAAAUGGAGGCCCUUGACAAAAUUCUCAAGCGGUUGCAAUGCAAUUACGAUCAUCCUCAGCCUCAGGUAAUUUCUUCUCCUGCUUUGUAUUUAUUUGUUAUCUAAUUAGGAAGCGUAAAGUAUCUUGAAUCAUUUUCUGUAUCUGGAAUAUAUGCAAGAGUUUCUAAAAUUUUGAUAUGAGUGUAAUGAUGGUAAUUUCUGUUUUCUGUCUGUCAUCAAAUGUUAGAAAACUUUCAUUGAGACCCUUGAACCGAGUCAUUUUUGACAAGUGAAGGACAAUUGCUGAAGAGUGGGAAUGGUGCUAGAUUGGGGAAUAAAGACAAAGGAGGUAAAUUAUUUGCAGUUUAUUCAGCAUUAUUUGCUUUGGACCACCGCCUGAUUCACAAGUCUCCAUAAUUUGGCUUUUGAGCAGUUGUUAAUAAAUUUUUAAUUCCAUUGGUGCUAAAUGUGCACGUGAAGCAGGCAGAGCAGGACUGUGGAAAUGAGAAGGUUUUUAGUGAAAGCUUAAACUCAGGUAAUUCUAAAAAGUACAUGUUUUUGCUGAUUUAUCUAAAUCAGGAAGUUUUAUUUCCAUCUGUUACAAGAUAAAACAGAAACAGAACACAAAGAAAAAUAUUCUACUUCUUCUGGCAAUCUUGCCUUCAUUCAGACAAUGAAACCAUUUCCUUUCACCAAUUUCUUCCAAAAGUUUGAAUAAGUUUCAUGGUUGGACAUAGUUAGCUUCUUUUUCUUUUGGUGCAUUUAGGUCCUAUCAAGUGACAGCCAUAAGUAUGAUUGCAUUAUUGGGAAAUUUUAGGUUUGGAUGGCUCCCCAUGUUAUUGCCAAGAAAGUCCUCAUGUCAGAAGCUGCGGUUCUUUUCAUCAGCCUGAACCCGAACCUGUCGUUAUGGAUAACUCAGGUUUUUGUCAUCAACUAUAUCAUCUUUUUUACUGUUUUGAAACUCUUAAGAUUAAACUUCAGUAAAGUUGUUUCAGUUAUCCAUGUAAGCAGGCUAAGGAUAUUUAGCAGCUUAUUUAGGCAACUGCCAGAAUUGAGUUUGUUUGCUCGAAACUUGUAUGGUGACAAGGAUACUGGCAAGGAUAGUGAGAUAGUUUUUUGUGUGAGUGAAAUUUGAAAGCUUGGGUGUUCUGGGAUUUGCAAUUGCAAUCAUCCUCUGAGUCAGGUGAUUUCUUCUCCUGCUCUGUCUUGAUUUUCUCUCUAAUUGAAAGCAUAAAGUAUUUCAAUCAAAUUCUGUACCAGGAAUACGUAAAAGUUACUAAUAUUUUAUUUCCAUCUGUUCGCAUUGAUAACUCGGCGGCAUAUGUGUUGUGCGCGGAAUGCGGAAUCAAGCGCGCCAAAUAAUUAUAGAAAAAUAAAGGACACAAGAAUUACGUGGUUCGGUAAUUAAACCUACAUCCACGGAGGCAAGAAAGAAUAAUUGUUUAUUUAACAACUAAUAGAGUACAAUAUUUGAGUAACGAAUCUCACUUCCCAGAAACCCAAAUAUACCAAGUACUCUCACACUCUGCAGGAAAUAUAAAUUCCCCAGACACACUUCUCUCACUUCUCUCAAAAGCUUAGAAACUUAUAAGCUUAACAAUUUUGGGAUUAUUUCAAAUGAACAAUUUCCCUUCUAUAUAUAGGAACCGUAGCUCACCUACCACUUCCAAUUUGGCUACAACUUGCCGAAUUGAUAAAUUGAAUUUAGAAUGGAAAAUCAAUUUGGUGAGCAACAAAAUCAACAAGUUUGAAAAAUCAAUUGGCUUCUAGAAAAACAUCACAUUUUUCCUCCAUACAAUUUCAACAAAAUCGUCCCACCAACCAUGUCUUUUGAAAUUUGCAUGCCAUUCUUUGACUUGUUGUGCGCGGAAUGCGGAAUCAAGCUCACCAAAAAUUACUGCAAAAAUAAAGGACACAAGAAUUUACGUGGUUCGGUAAUUAAACCUACAUCCACGGAGGCAAGAAAGAAUAAUUGUUUAUUUAACAAUUAAUAGAAUACAAUAUUUGAGUAACGAAUCUCACUUCCCAGAAACCCAAAUAUACCCAGUACUCUCACACUCUGCAGGAAAGAUAAAUUCCCCAGACACACUUCUCUCACUUCUCUCAAAAGCUUAGAAACUUAUAAGCUUAACAAUUUUGCGAUUAUUUCAAAUGAACAAUUUCCCUUCUAUAUAUAGGAACCGUAGCUCACCUACCACUUCCAAUUUGGCUACAACUUGCCGAAUUGAUAAAUUGAAUUUAGAAUGGAAAAUCAAUUUGGUGAGCAACAAAAUCAACAAGUUUGAAAAAUCAAUUGGCUUCUAGAAAAACAUCACAUUUUUCCUCCAUACAAUUUCAACAAAAUCGUCCCACCAACCAUGUCUUUUGAAAUUUGCAUGCCAUUCUUUGACUUUUCAACAAUUCUCCACCUCGGCGAAAAUUUUCCAAAUCUGAGCCGACUACCAACUAACCAUCCCCAAAGUGAUCCUUCAAUAAGGAUCCAGAAUGGCUGUGUCGAUUCGACUGCCUACGUACCCAAACUGUCUUGAUUUUCUCUCUAAUUGAAAGCAUAAAGUAUUUCAAUCAAAUUCUGUACCAGGAAUACGUAAAAGUUACUAAUAUUUUAUUUCCAUCUGUUCGCAUUGAUAACUCGGCGGCAUAUGUGUUGUGCGCGGAAUGCGGAAUCAAGCGCGCCAAAUAAUUAUAGAAAAAUAAAGGACACAAGAAUUACGUGGUUCGGGAAGCAGUUGGCAGCAAAUUCAUAUGGAGUGUAGACAAUGAUGAGCAAAAAGGUGAUUCUCAAUUUCUUUUUUUUUUAAAGUGAAAUUAUUUGUUAGAUUGAAGCUGAUAUUGUAAGAAGGCCAUUGAGCUAACCUAUGUCGCCACUUGCCUAGAUUGCAGGGGGUCAAGACUCAAAAGAAGCACUGAAAUUUAAAAAGCAUGCAAUAGUUCUUUUGCCAUGUAUCAAUUAAUGCAAGUUUGAAUAAAAUUAACAUAUAUCAAGACACAACUAGAAACAUCAUACUUUCGUGUAAGUUCAUUUCAGAAUAUUUCUUAGAGUUUGUAUAAAAUGAAAAGAUUUUAAAAUAUAAAUUUAAUAUUUGUUUAUUACCGUUGUUUGGUCUAAUUUCCUCGGGAGAAUUUUCAGAAUUUAUAGGACAUUAGUUUAUAAUUUUGAAAUUUUGUAACCUAAAUGUUUUUUUUUUUCGGUUACCAUUUUGUUUUCCUGCUUUAUCUACGUGUAUGUUGACUAAAACUAAUCUAUUUUGUUAAACCUUUACCACUUUAGACAUUGCACUAAAUAUGAGUUCGUGAUGCUUGCAUUUUAUUGAUGCUGAUGAUUCGUUGAAUGUUUUAUGUUUUUGAUUUUUAAGUAUUCCGGAUCGAAGUUUGUGUCUACGCGGAAAUUGUAAAGGCAGCAUAUAAAGUACUCGUCGUUCUUUAGAUUUUAUUGAGUACACUUUUUUCACAUUUAGCGUAUGCUAUACACUACUGAUUUGCGCAUUGACAUAUAACUUAUUUUAUCAUUUUGAAUGAAUUGCACGGCGAGGCUUAUCAACUUUGGAUGAAUCCUCCAAUUGUCACAGUCCAAGACUGGCUGCAGUGAGUGAAAAUUUACCCAUAUAUAUGCUGGCUAUUUUUAUUGGCGACGAAUUCGUUGUAGUUGGUCCAUCUUGCUAUUCUCGGACAAUAUUAGAGAAAAUAAUCAUAUUAUUUCGCGUGAUGUGACCUUCCAUAACUUAUCAAUUGAAUUACUGUAAAAUUAUUGUGUAAGUUUAGGCCCAAUGGCACUUUAGUUCAUCACAUGAUAGCCUGGAUUUAAAUGGAAAACUAUAUUGCAUUGCUUCAAAAAAAUAAAUUAAUGUUUUUAAUAUGAAUAUUUUUAACUAUAUUCAGUUAAAAUAAUAUAUUCUUAAUAUUAAUAUUCAUAGAUGAAAUUCUUUUGCGGAUUUAAGAAUAAAAUAUCAAAUAGUUUUAUUUUUCUUUUGUUGUGUAACUUGGACCGAAAAAGAAAAUGAGCUUAACAUGACCCUCCUUCCGGCACUAUGCAUGUUUUUCUUGUAUUGAUGACAGUGCUCUUGGUGCUUCUCAUCUGCUUCUUGCUUUGGUUUCAAACAAGUCUUUCUCCGUCAAGACAUUUAUUGUAAUUUCAUUUGGAGACAUCUGUCGUUCAAAUAUAUUUCAUAUUCAAGCUGUUGAUAAUUCUGCUUGAGAAAGCCUACAAAGCAGCUGUGUGAUGUAAUGGAAGACUAUAUAUGCAAGCGGUCAUCAGUUUCUCUUGAAUUCUUUCUUGAGUUUCUUUGAAUUAUUUGUGAAUGAGUUCUUAAUCGGCUGCUGCUCUUCAGGAAAAGGAAAGUUUUGCAAACUGGUGAAGCUGAUCGAUAAAAGCAAUGUACCAUCUUUGCUGGCAUGGAUCGAUGCCAGUGAGUAGCUCAUUGGUGGAAGUAUUGCCAGUAACAGAACCCAAAGCAAAUGAAACUAUUUCAAGGCAGCAGUUGGCGCUUGCAAGUGAAUGGAGGCCAUUGACAAAAUUCUCAAGUGGUUGCGAUGCAAUUACGAUCAUCCUCAGCCUCAUGUAAAUUCUUCUCCUGCUUUGUUUUUAUUUGUUAUCUAAUUAAGAAGCACAAAGUAUCUUCAAUCAUUUUCUGUAUCUGGAAUAUAUGCAACAGUUUCUAAAAUUUUGAAACGAGUGUAAGGAUGGUAAUUUCUGUUUUCUGCCUGUCAUCCAAUGUUAGACAACUUUCAUUGAGACUCUUGAACAGAGUCAUCUUUGCUGGCAUGGAUCGAUGCCAGUGAGUUUUUUUAUUUGUCAACCUUUUUAAUAAUGCAUAUGUGUUUCUUCAACUUGAAGCGGCAUAUAAGACGAAAGAAGUGAUCUUUAUCCAAUUGCUCCAAAUUAUUUGCAAAUUACUGAACACGAAUGCUGAUGAAUAAACUGAUGGCUCUAUGUAUGUAUGCACAUGCAUGGAGAAAUUUUAAGUCAGACAUUGACUCGUGGUACCAAAUCAUUAAAUAAUCUUGAAAUCAAAGUAAUAAUUAAAUACAAAUAAAUUGCUCGAAUUGUACAUAUAUCUGAAUCAUGUAGUGAAGAAAAUACAACAACAACAGCCAAUGGCUCAAAUUCCCUAUCAACUUCUAGUCUCAACACUUUUGAGUGUCAGAAGCAUUACUCUGCUACUAGUUAACAAACAUAUAAUUAGUAAUUUGCCAUUCACUUCCCUUUUAGGCCUAACACAUUUUCUAUAAAAGAGCCACAGAGUGAACUCAGCAGGAAACACUCAAUUUCAACCUACGUAGGACCAGGAAUUUCAACCAAAAAAAAAGUGUGCAAUUGCUUAUCCUAUCCUAUUGCUACUAGAAAGAAAGUGAACAAUUAAUUUCAGUGAAUAAAUUAAAAAAAAAAUUACUUCUGCAGAUACUCAAGCUAAGAACACAUUAACCCAUUAAAGACUCCAAAUUGCAUCAAACAAAUUGUUGUUAAACAAGUAAAACAAAGAAAGAGAGUUAAGGAAGCUGACCAAGUAGUAGGGGAGCUGAAGAAAGACUGCCAGUGAAUGUAAGAGAAAAUAAAAUGCAAGAAAUGGUGAAGUGCAGCUUUUCAUGUCAACUUGAAAUUGAGUUUUCUGUUUUUUUUUUUUUUUUUAAUCUUUUGGAUUUUUCAAACAAAGAAAAUGAGGAGCAACCAGGGAGAUAAAAAGGGCGCCAAGGCAACUGUGUGUUGGGUUUAGAGCCAAAAAAAAAAAGAAUAAGACAUCGUGUUCUUGUGGAGACCAGACCUAUUACGUAACGUCCCCUUCAAUACCACUAGUUCCGUAUCUGGUUUUUUCUUCGUCUUUUACAUAGUUUGCAAUUUUAUUCAUUUGAGCCCUACAGAUGAUAUAAGGGACAAGAGCGCAAAACAGAAACUCUGUCCACUACUGAUGAUAUAACAACGAACCGGGGUUUUUAAUUAAAUACCCUUUAAUAGUUUCAAAAUUAUUUAAAUACCUCCUCCCUUUUUAGUUUUCAUGGAUACCCUAACAAAAUUAUUUAAAAAUGGUUCAAUUUUAUUCUACUCUCAGGAAUUAAGUGUUGGAUAGACUAGAAAAUUCUGAGUACAAAGCAUCGCUUGUUUUCGUUGGUUUUUUUUUUGCAUUCCAGUAGAAAGGUUGUGUACAAUUGAAUCUGAUAACUAUGGCAGGAGGUAAGUUUUCUAACUUGCGCAUGAUGAAUAUAGUCUUUUAUUUCUUCCAUUGUAAUUUUUGUUUAAUAGAAAAUCUAUUUGAGAUUUUGUGAGAAGAAACUCAACAAUAAAGUUUGAUAGACUUUGUGGAUAUUAAGAGUUUGACAAGUAAUUGAAAUCUGAAGUUUACUGAAGUUUACGAGCAAACAAACUGAAAUCCGAAGUUUACUGAAGUUUACUAUCAAGAGUUUCAAAACAGUGAAAAAGAUGAUAUGGUUGAUGACAAAAACCUGAGUUAUCCAUAGCGACAAGUAACAUACUGAAGUAAGCCGUGGGGAGCUGGCCUGUUCAUGGGCUAUUUUUCUCUGAUGAUCUGCAUUUUUCUUCCUUUUAAGUGAACCUUGACUCGUAUCAAACCUGUCAAAAGAACAGUUCAUCAACUGAGCUGAGAUUUGCUUUCCUUUUUCAAAACCCACCUGAGAUAUUGUAAUUCCCAAAUUUCUCUCUCUCAGCUACACGAGCAAGCAGCCGCUUUUUCACUUCAUCGACGAAGGUAAGCGAUAAUAUCUAUUUCGUCCGAUUGAUUUCUUGUUUCCUUUUCAGUGUUCGGGUAAAUUAUUGGCAUGCCUGACUUUUUGACCAUUACAUGAUUCAUAAAUUUAUAUUAAUUUUGAUUUUGAGUUGACCGGUUACUUUUAUUGGUUUGCUUACUUUGACUAGGUGACCGAUUUCUUGUAACUAAAUUUAUGACGUGAUGCAGGAAGCUGGGCAGGAUAUGAAAUGAGAAUCUUAUUAGUGGAAGGAUUGCCAGUAACAGAACCCAAAGAAAAUGAAACCAUUUCAAGGCAGCAGUUGGCAGUUGGGAGUGAAUGGAGGCCCCUGACAAAACUUCAGUAAACUUCAGAUUUCAGUUUGUUUGCUCGAAACUUGCAUGGUGACAAGGAUACUGGCAAGGAUAAUGAGAUAGUUUUUGUGUGAAUGAAAUUACGAUCAUCCUCAGACUCAGGUAAUUUCUUCUCCUGCUUAGUUGUUAUUUGUUACCUAAUUAAGAAGCAUAAAGUAUCUUGAAUCAUUUUCGUUGUCUGGAAUAUAUGCAACAGUUUUUAAAAUUUUGAUAUCAGUGUAAUGAUUGUAAUUUCUGUUUUCUGUCUGUCAUCGAAUGUAAGACAACUUUAUUAAGAUUCUUGAACCGAGUCAUUUUUGACAAUUGAAGAACAAGUGCUGAAGAGUGGGAAUGCAAAAAGUUUUGUUGUUUUUAGCCUUGUUUUCUUUGAACCAGCGCCUGAUUCACAAGAGUUCAUUAAUUUGGCUUUUGAUCAGCUGAUUGAUAAAUGUUCAAUUUCUUUGGUGAUAAAUGUAUAUGUGAAGCAGGCAGCAGGGCAUGACUGUGGAAAAGAGAAGAUUUUAGUGAAAGCUGAGACUCAGAUAAUUCUACGCGUUUUGGCUGAUUUAUAUAAUUCGUGAAAUUUUAUUUCCAUCUGUUACAAGAUCAAACUGCAAUUAGCAAUUUAACAUUCCCUUAAAACCACUAGCUACAUUUCAUCUUUGCACAAUUACACUUAAAAUUCCACUAAAAGAAACUCUUGAGUUGCUCGCAAGCUAUAUGUCAUUAUCCAUUGAAUUCUUACCACAUACAUCUCACCUUUCAAUCAAUCACAUAAUAAUCAAUAUACAUAUUGUAAGAAUUCAACAAAUGGAGAACAUAAUAUACUAUAAAAGCAUCCAAAAUUUUUCCAUCUCAAAUUAUUACUAAACUUCUUGAACAAGUUGAAGAUUGGGGGGAAAAAGUGCAAGAAGGAAAAGCAUUAUUCUACUAGUUUCUAGGUUUCUCAUUUGAACAGAAAGAUUAAAUAAGAUAUUUGUGUAUGGCUGUAGUACUACACGGUAUCUGCUAGAAAGCAAAAUACCUUCUGCUGAUUGCACAUUGGAAUGGGAAUAAGUUGGUAAAUAUAUAAGUUACAUAAAUUAUUUUGGAUAAUUCUGCUGGUGAAUUAAUUAUCUUAAAAUCACCCUUUUAUUUUUUAAAAAAUCUUAAGUUAUUUUUCAUAUAUCUUAGGAAGACAAACAAACUUUCAUCAACUCUCCUUUUUUAGCUUUUCCCUUCAAUAAUGUUAGAAAUUCUAACAUUUGAGUCCUGCUUGAGCUUAAUACUAUUUAUCACUCAUUUAUUAGAUGAUGAAUUUUUUAAAUUAUAAAGUUAUUUGACUACCAUUCAAUGAAUGAAUGUCACAUCAUUUAAAACUCAAAGAAAAGUAUUCUACUUCUUGCGGCAAUCAUGCCUUCAUUCAGACUAUGAACCAUUUCCUUUCACCAAAUUCUUCAUAAACAUUGAAUAAGUUUCAUGGUUGGACAUAGUUAGCUUCUGUUUCUUUUGGUGCAUUUAGGUGCUAUCAAGUGACGGCCGUAAGUAUGAUUGCAUUAUUGGGAAUUUUACGAUUUGAUGGUUCCCCACGUUAUUGCCAAGAAAGUUCUCAUGUCGGAAGCAGCGGUUCUUUUCAUCAGCCUGAACCCGAACCUGUCGCUAUGGAUAACUCAGGUUUUUGUCAUCAACUAUAUCAUCUUUUUCACUGUUUUGAAACUCUUAAUAUUAAACUUACAGUAAACUUCAGAUUUCAGUUUGUUUGCUCGAAACUUGUAUGGUGACAAGGAUACUGGCAAGGAUAAUAAGGUAGUUUUUUGUGUGAGUGGAUUUUGAGAGCUUGUGUGUAUAGGGAUUUGCAAUUACAAUCAUCCUCUGCCUCAGGUGAUUUCUUCUCCUGCUCUGUCUUUAUUUGCUCUCUAAUUGAAAAGCAUAAAGUAUUUCAAUCAAAUUCUGUACCAGGAAUAUGUAAAAGUUCCUAAUAUUUUAUUUUCAUUUGUUUGCAUUGAUAACUUGACGGCAUAUGUACUAGUUAAAGAACAAACAGAAUCAGAGCUCAAGAAAAAGUUUUUUCUGCCAUCAUAUUUGAAAAUGAAGUCAUUUGCAGGAAGCGGUUGGCAGCAAAUUCAUACAAAGUGUAGACAAUGAUGAGCAAAAAAGGUGAUUCACAGUUUGAUUUUUUUUUAAUAAUGAAAAUAAUUUGGUAGGUUGAAGCUGAUAUUGUAAGAGGGCCAUUGAGCUAACCUAUGUCGCUACUUGCCAAGAUUGCAGGGCGUUAAGACUCAAAAGAAGCACUGAAUUUUAAAAGGCAUGCAAUAGUUCUUGUGCCAUAUGUCAAUUCAUGCAAGUUGGAAUAAGUUUAUUGGUUUGAACGCUGUUAGCUCCUUUUCCUUUCGUGCAUUUUGGUAUGCUAUCAAGUGACAGCCGUAUGUAUGGUUUGCAUAUAGCUGCUGCUGGGAAAUGUGAGGAUUUCAUGGCUGGCCGUGUUAUUGUUUUAAAUUAGAUGUGAUAAGCUGUUGCUUGGAGAUUCUGUUGCCAAGACUUUGCUCACAUCAGAAGCUGUGGAACCUCAACCCUUCUCUAGAUAUCAUCUUUUUCAUUGUUUUAAAACUCUCAGGAUUAAACUUGAGUAAAUUUGUUCGGUUGUCUAUAUAAUCAUGUAUUGAGUAAACUCUCAGGAUACCGAGCAGGCAAAUGCCAUAACUCGGUUUGUUCUUCAAAAACUUGUUUAAGAUUCUUGACAAAGCUGCAUGAAGUGAAUCUUGGGAGCUUUGAGGGUGAGAGAAAUUAGAGGGUGUAUAGGGAUUUGGGUUUAUUAGUAAGUUAUAUAUGUAUUUCGUCACUUAUCAUUAUCAUUUUUAUUUUCACAGAAAACCUUCUGAUGGUGCUAAAUUUUCAAACACCGGUCCGAUUCAAAACUUCAUAUUCCAAUUAUAUUCAUAAGACAAAUGGAACACUUUGAACGGCUAGUGUCCGAGCAUUGUAGUUUGAUUUAUUUUGAUGAAAGUACCUUUUGACAUUGAGAUUCUUUCAUGAUUUAAACAUUCUUUUUUAAACCAAAUUAUUAAAAAAAGUAACUAACAUAUAUUAUUUUAUUAGUGCUUUUUAAAUCAAAUAUACAUAGGAGAACUGUAAUUCUUAGCAAUCAAUUUUUCACUAAAUACACCUGCAAUAAACUAUUAAUAACAAAGUGAUAGAAAAUACCUGAUUUUUCAUACUUUCUAAUUUCUUGUGGUCCUAAAAUAUGGGCAUUUGUGUAAUAAUUAGCCCAUGUGGAUCUCUAUGCCAUGAGUUUGAUAAAUAGCUAUCAAGGAUCACUUAUUAAGCUGAAAAUAUUUGGAGGACAAAAUUGUAAAACUAAAAGGGUAGAGCAAAUAUGGCUAUCUAGGAUUAAAUAGUAAGUCAACUAUAUUUAAAGGAUAAAAUGUUAAAACUUGAACUGUGAUAUUAAAAAUAUCUCAACUAUUACAUUAUUAAACCAUAUGUUCUAAUAGUUUUUUUUUAAGCUUCAAAAUGUUCAGGAUUUUAGAUUGAAACAUUUUCAUUUGAAAUUAUUUGGUGCAGUCACAAGUUAAGAAAGAAAAAGUUGUCCCAUUGGUCAUUUCACAAAAAUGAAAGCCCUGUAUAACAUGGACUUGAAUGGAAGCCCAAUUGUUUGUGUUUGAUUAAUUGAUUUCAAGCUUUAUCGGAUCUUUGGACCUGGAUACUUUACCGCGGCCUCUAAGCGCUAUAAUUUUUUUUUUUUUGGGAUAAACGGCGCUUCAAUGAGGGCAUUUCCAAUACUUAACACUAUUUUGGUGUAACACCAACACUAAAAAUGUACAUUUUUCACACUAAAUUACUAUUUAAUCUCCAACCCAUUUGAUCUACCAUGAUUGUGACUCCCACUGGGGCCACGUUCUGUUGAUCACCCUCUCGUCACCGAUAGCGCCUCCGCUUGUGGCGAACUUGCUUGUCUAUUUUCCCUAUUUUUCCGCUUACUCUCCUCAUUUAAUACGGAGGCUGCAACAUCAUCGAAAACUAGACUGUCCACUGAAUUGUAGUUUGUCAGGUUGACGAUGAGUUGUUCAUACGAAUCUUAUAGACUUUGAAGUAGAAGCUCUGCAUGUACAUUAUCCUCUAUAUUAUGACCCAACGUUGUGAGUUGUGAAAAUAGAGUCUUCAAGGUGUUGAUGUGGUCGGUCACCAUUGUAGAUUCCACCAUUCGAAGAGUAUAAAGUCUCCUCUUCAAAAAGAUUUUGUUGUGUAGUGACUUGGCCUCGUACAAUUUUGUAAGAGUAUCUCAUAUUUCCUUUGCUGUAUUUUUCUCUGCCACACUGGAUAAUACUCCAUCCGCAAGUGCCAAGUGUAGAUCAGAAAUAGCGUUGCCAUCUAUCUCAUUCCACUUGUCAUCAGUUAUCUCCAUGGGCCUUUCUCCAAUUGCUGCCAAACAAUUAUUUUUCCUCAAUACAACUUUCAUCUUCAUUUUCCACAAUGAAAAAUUAUUUCCGUUAAACUUCUCAAUUUCAUAUUUUGCUGCCAUUUUUUUGAUAAAUACCGCACACAAGUUAGUGUAUCACCUUGAAUAGUUGUCGGUAUGUGUGAGAAUGCACACCAGGAAAGUUCCCAGGAAAGACUGGAGGGGUCACACUGGUCCACUUAAAACUCAGACUCCUUAAGCACUUAUCGCGUUUGUAACAGAACUUUCCUAGACAUGUACAAAACCACACAGUUGCUUUUACUUACACCACUAUUUCCUACUUUGCAGUGCAAAAGUUCUUGGAUCGCUCCCAUCGUUUCUCGUGAACAGUACCAUAUACGUGAACAGUGCCACAUACAUGAAUAGUACCGUAUACGUGAACAGUACCGUAUACGUGAAUACUACCCUUUACGUGAACAGUACUUGACUCCAAAAAAUUCAACCAAUAGCUUUGAUACCACUGUUAGGAAAUUGGUAGGUGAAGCAGACACGCAGCUAAAAUAAAAUUGGAAGAAAAUAAAGAACAAGUACAAAGUGGACACCAAGAAAUUACGUGGUUCGGCUUUUAGCCUACGUUCACGGGCGAAGAUAGAAGGAAAAUAUUAUACUAGUGAUAUGAAGAUUACAAGUAUUGUAAUAUUUUGGCUCACUAUCCAAAACCCCAAUACACUCAAUCUCUCACUCAAUAAACUCUCAGGAGCUUUAUUAUUUUAAGCUCUUAAAAUCUCUCAAGCUUUCUCCUUAUUAUUCUCUCACAAAUUGUAUGCUAAAAUUAGGGUGGGAAGCCCUCUUUAUAUAUCCAAGAUUUUGGCUCUUUUUUUUUUAUAUAACAAGUCAACACGGCACCAUUAAGAAUGGCGAGCCAUGUUGAAUGGCAUGGCACCGCCCAUCUAGAUGGCCGGUGCCAACCAUGACUUUAACAUUCUAUCACUUGGAGAUUUGAUUGAGAAUCAAUCAAUCUCCACAUCAUCCUUUCUACUUCGCCAUAAUCAUGUUGCCUACGUUUUUACUAGGCCACAAGAGGAUCUACUCCAGUUAAACUUAUCAAUAUUGAUUGGCUUAGUCAAAACAUCUGCUAGGUUCUCCUUCGUAUGGAUUUUUGCAAAUUGACACUUCCAUCUUCCACUACUUCUCGAACGAAGUGAUACUGAACUCCUAUGUGCUUUGUCUUGGAAUGAAAGGCUGGAUUCCUUGCAAUGUGCAAGGCACUCUGACUGUCACAAAACACAGGAAUUUUCUGUUGUUUGUGCCCGAGCUCCUCCAAUAAUCUUUGUAUCCAAAUAGCUUCCUUGCAAGCUUGUAUAGCUGCCAUGUAUUCUGCUUCUGUUGUAGAUAAAGCCAGAACGGUCUGCAGUUUCCAAACCCAACUUACAACUCCUCAUGCAAAUGUAAACACAUAACUAGUAGUGGAUUUCCUUUUAUCAAGGUCUCCUGCAAAAUCUGAAUCCACAUAGCCCCUGACAGUAAACUCUGAUCCUCAAUAACAUAAUACAACAUCUGAGGUUCCUCUUAUGUAUCUCAGAAUCCUCUUCACAGCUAUCCAAUGCUGUCCACCAGGAUUCACCAUGUAUCGACUGAUUGCUCCCACUGCUUGUGCAAUGUCUGAUCUUGUACAUAUCAUAGCGAACAUCAAACUUCCCACUGCUGAUGCAUACGGUACUUGAGACAUCUCCUUCCUCUCUGCUUCAUUGCUAGGACACAUACUUGAGGAUAAUUUGAAAUUAACAGGAAGUGGGGUAGAAAUUGACUUACAAUCUUGCAUGUUGAAGCGCCACAAGAUUUUCUUCAAGUAGUUAUUCUCAGAAAGCCAAAUCUUUCUGUUAUUUCUGUCUCAGUGAAUUUGCAUCCCUAGAAUCUUGUUUGCUGGUCCCAAGUCCUUCAUUUCAAACUCCCUAGCCAACAGUGCCUUCACUUCUUGGAUUCGAUCUUUGUCGGGGCCUGCUACCAACAUGUCAUCCACAUAUAACAACAAAAUAAUGAAAUCAUUAUCUUCAAACCUUUUGUAAUAUGCACAAUGGUCUGAACUGAGUCUGUUAUAUCCAAGACUCAUGAUGAAGGAAUCAAAUCUCUUAUACCAACACCUCGGCGCCUGUUUGACACCGUAUAGAGAUUUGUUCAACCUACAAACCAAGUUUUCCUUUUCUGUUUCUGCAAAACCUUCUGGUUUGAGCAUAUAAAUUUUCUCUUCAAGUUCUCCAUGAAGAAAUACAGUUUUCACAUCUAACUGCUCUAGAUGUAGGUCAAAUAUAGCACACAUUGCCAAGACUACUCUGACUGUUGUGAGUCGAACCACCGGAGAAAAUAUCUCGUUGAAGUCAAUACCUUCUUUCUGAGCAUAUCCUUUCACCACCAAUCUUGCACGAUACCGCUCCACUUGAUCAUUGCCAUCACGUUUGAUCUUGUAGACCCAUUUGUUUCCAAUGACUUUUCUUCCAUGUGGUAGUGGUACAAGUUCCCAUGUCUUAUUUUUAUGUAGAGCUUCAAUUUCUUCCUGCAUUGCUGUCAUCCACAAAGCAACAUUUGAACUUUCUAAAGCUUCAUGGAAAGUUGAUGGCUCUCCAUCCUCUGUUAGAAGACAGUAUGCAACAUGGAUCUCUGUGACAUACUCCGAGUGCCACGCUGGCGAUCGUCUCUCACCAAUUGACCAAAGAACUUCUGGAGUCUCAGACUCGACUGGUUCUUGUUCCUCGUGCUCUGGUGCUGCUUUAGAAGAAUCUGAAUCUUCUAGAUUAUUUCCACAUAUACCGGCACAGUUUCUGACUUUUCUUUUACAGUGUCAUCAUCUCCAUCUUUCCUUUACAGUUGAUCUUCUACAAAAAUAACAUCUCUGUUGAUGACGAUCUUGUGGGCAGUGGGGUCCCACAAACGAUACCCCUUUACUCCAUUAGCAUAUCCCAAGAAGAUACAUCUUCUAGAUUUUGGAUCCAGCUUUGUUCUUUCUUACGGAUUGUACAUCACAUACACAGGACAUCCAAAUGCAUGUAAGUAGGAAUAAUCAGCUGGCUUUCCAGUCCACAUCUCCACGUUGUCUUCAGCCCAAUAGCUGUAGAUGACGACUGAUUUACUAUAUAACAAGCAGUUUUGGCUGCUUCUUCCCAAAAUGAAUUGGGUAGACCAGCAGUCCUCAACAUAGCUCUUAUUCUUUUGUAAGAGUUUUGUUCAUCUACUCCGCCACUCCAUUUUGUUGAGGAGUGUAUGCUACCGUGAACUGUCUAUGAAUACCUUCUUACUUACAGAAAGCAAGAAACUCACCGUCUGUAUACUCUCCACCAUUAUCUGUCCUCAAGCACUUGACCCUUUUACCAGAUUCAAGUUCCACCCGCGCUUUGUAUUCUUUAAAUACUGGAAAUAUAAUUGACUUUUUCAUAAUUGGAUACACCCAACAUCUCCUGGAAUAAUCAUCAAUGAAAGUCACCAUAUACUUUGCACCUCCCAUGGAUAUAUCCAGUGAUUCCCAAACAUCAGAAUGAAUCAAGUCUAAAAUGCAUUUACUUCUAGCAAUAGAUUUACUGAAUUUUAAUCUAUGCUGCUUACUUGUAACACAAUGCUCGCAAAAUGGUAAACUUACCGAUUUAAGCCCCGGAAGUAAUUUUCACUCAGAGAGAAUCUUCAAACAUUCUGACAUGUGACCAAAUUUGAGAUGCCACAUCAUCGUUGACUCUUCUCCAUUUGAUACGAGACACGCAUUAGCCUCCUAUAGUGUUUCUCCUUUAAGCAUGAAUAGAUUAGCACCGAUCUUUUCUGCCUUCAUCAAUACAAGCGCUCUUUUAACAAUUUUCGUAAUUUCAUUCUCCAUAUGAGUUUUAUACCCAUGACUAUCCAUUUGUCCCAAAGACAAUAGAUUUUUAUUCAGGUCAUUGACAUGUCGUACCUCCCCAAUUGUGCGAAUUGUACCAUCAAAAUUUUUAUUUUGAUAGUGUCAAUACCAGCGAUCUCCAAGGUAUGAUCAUUACCCAUAUAUAUAGAUCCUCCUGAGAUAUGUUCAUAUGUGUGGAACCAUUCUCUCCGAGAGGUCAUGUGCCAGGUAGCUCCUGAGUCUAUAAUCCAGACAUCAGAUAGUCGUUUUCUACCUUCUAAAACAGUUGUUGCCUCGCUUUAGAGAAUUUCACCAUUAUCUGAAGUACUUGCUACACACCCUUGAGCAUUUGAUGACUCAGGUUAUUUGCCCUCUCUUCUCUUCUGGUUACUCCAACACUUUUUCUUGACGUGCCCUUUCUUGCCACAGUUGUAGCAUUUAACAUUCUUCUUACUUCUGGAUUUUGAUCUACCAUGAUUAUGACUUCUACUGGGGUCACGUUCUGUUGAUCUCCCUCUCGUCACCAAUAGCGUCUCCGCUUGCUGCGAACUUGCUUGUCUGCUUUCAUUAUUUUUCCGCUUACUCUCCUCAUUUAAUACGGAGGUUGCAACAUCGUCGAAAACUAGACCGUCCGCUGGAUUGUUGUUUGUUAGGUUGAUGAUGAGUUGAUCAUACGAAUCUGGUAGACUUUGAAGUAGAAGCUCUGCAUGUACAUUAUCCUCUAUAUUAUGAUCCAACGUUGUGAGUUGCGAAAAUAGAGUCUUCAAGGUGUUGAUGUGGUCGGUCACCAUUGUAGAUUCCACCAUUCGAAGAGUAUAAAGUCUCUUCUUCAAGAAGAUUUUGUUGUGUAGUGACUUGGCCUCGUACAAUUUUGUAAGAGUAUCUCAUAUUUCCUUCGCUGUAUUUUUUUCUGCCAUACUGGAUAAUACUCCAUCCGCAAGUGCCAAGUGUAGAUAAAAAAUAGCGUUGCCAUCUAUCUCAUUCCAUUUGUCAUCAGUUAUCUCCAUGGGCUUUUCUCCAAUUGCUGCAAAACAAUUAUUUUUCCUCAAUACAGCUUUCAUCUUCAUUUUCCACAACAAAAAAUUAUUUCCGUUAAACUUUUCAAUUCCAUACUUUGCCGUCAUUUUGUUCAUAAAUACCGCACACAAGUUAGUGUACCACCUUGAAUAGUUGUCAGUAUGUGUGAGAAUGCACACUAGGAAAGUUCUCAGGAAAGACUGGAGGGGUCACACUGGUCCCACUUAAAACCCAAACUCCUUAAGCUCUUAUCGCCUUUGUGACAGAACUUUCCUAGACAUGUACAGAAUCACACAGUUGCUUUACUCACACCACUAUUCCCUGCUUUGCACCGCAAAAUUCUUGGAUCGCUUCCACCGUUUCUCGUGAACAGUAUCGUAUACGUGAACAAUGUCGUACAUGUGAAUAGUAUCAUACAUGUGAAUAGUAUCGUAUACGUGAACAGUACCGUAUACAUGAAUACUACCCUUUACGUUAAGAAAUUGGUGGGUGAAGCAGACACGCAGCUAAAAUAAAAUUGGAAGAAAAUAAAGAACAAGCACAAAGUGGACACCAAGAAAUUACGUGGUUCGACUUUUAACCUACGUCCACGGGCGAAGACGGAAGAAAAAUAUGAUACUAGUGAUAUGAAUAUUACAAGUAUUGUAAUAUUUUAAUUUACUACCCAGAACCCCAAUACACUCAAUCUCUCACUCACUAGACUCUCAGGAGCUUUAUUAUUUUAAGCUCUUAAAAUCUCUCAAGCUCUCCUUAUUAUUCUCUCACAAAUUGGAUGCUAAAAUGAGGUGGGAAGCCCUCUUUAUAUAGCCAAAAUUUUGGCUCCUUUUUUUUUUUUAUAACAAGUCAACACGGCACCACCAAGAAUGGUGGGCCGUGUUGAAUGGCAUGGCACCGCCCAUCUAGAUGGCCGGUGCCAACCAUGACUUUAACAUUAUAGUCCAAGUUUUCGAGGACCACUAUAUUGUAUUGAUUUAAAAAAAACUAAUAUUUUUAAUAUUAAUAUUCUAAAUUAUAUUCAGUUAAAAUAUUAAAUAUUAAAAACAUUCUUAAUAUUAAUAUUCUUAGAUGAAAUUAUUUUGCUGACUUAAGAAUAAAAUAUUAAAUAAUUUUAUUUUUCUUUUAUUGUGUAACGUGGACCAAAAAAAAGGAAAUGAAUUUAAUAAAACCUUCAUUCAAAACCUUCAUUCCGCCACCAUGCAUGCAUGUUAAUUGUUUCCAAAUUCCAACCUCCGUACUCUCUUGAGGAGUUUCCCAUUCAUCAAUUAUUAUUUUUUAUAAUCCAUACCAUCCUGAUAUAAUUAAACACCAUUAAUAAUGUACCAGCCUUUAAAUAGUAAUUAAUUUAUUUAGUUGGCCACCUAAAAGAAUCCUGCAGGAAAUAGAGGUUAAAAAUUUUAUUAAAUUUGCUUACCGCUGUAUCAUUAUAUAUAUAAAGAGUGAAAUCUAAAUGAAAUUUUUUAUCAUCCAUUCAGCAAACACUUAUAAUUCACAAAUAGUGAAUCUAUGCAUUGACAAUGUGGAUUAAGAAUUAUAACACAUGAAUUCAAACAUACCCUUGUGAAGUUAAGAAUAAGUUCAUACUUCAAAUGAUUUUUUAGCUAAUAAAGCAAUCAGUUUCAUUAAACGACAGCGUUGAAGGAAUUGUGCAAUUUUUUACGUUCUUUUCUAGACAGACGUUACAGAAAUGGGGUAAGUAGAGGGCUGGCCUCAGAUAUCUCACAAUUGUUAGUGAGAUAAAAUGUUAUUGUAAAAGGCGUUUAAUAGAAUAAUAUUAAUUCUUUUGCAUUGUUAUAAAAAUAUUUUUUUCUUUUGACAGUUCUGCAGGACAAGUGAUCAGAGCUCAAUGAAUAUAGCCGUGGAGGCACAGCAGAGCAGGAUUAUGAAAAAGAGAAGCUUAUUACAGGUCAUUCAAGUUUACUUGCUUUUAUAUAAUAAGUGUUUUGGCCGAUUUAUCUAAUUCACCAAAUGUUUUUUCCGGUACAUAUCUCCAUUGGUAUCAAGAAGAGGCAGAACCCAAAGAAACGUUUCUUGCAUCUUCAUAUUUGUGCGCAUUCAUCCUUUCAUUGAGAAUAACCAUUUCCAGGCAGCAGUUGCCAAUCAAUUCGCACGUCGAUGCUAUUCAUAGAUAUUAAAGACAAUGAUGAACCAAAGGUGAUAAAUCAUAAAUGCAUAAUUACCAAACCUCCAUCCUUCUCUCAUUAUGAUUUGAUUUUAAAUGAAUUAUUGCUUGGUAACAUUAUUUCCAACCAUUGCAAGACCUUUUUUUUUUUUUGGGAGAAAUUUCAAUUGAAAGUGAAACCUUUAGACAUUUACCUAAUGAAGUUAGUUAAUCGGGAGGGUGGAAAAAAAAAAGUUGACGCAAGUCAAUACACAAUAAUGAUUAAUUAAAUCCGGAGUGACUAAAACAGAGCCACUACUUUUUCAAAAAUAUCUGCAUUCAUCACUUUCUCCAGCAGCUAGUCAGCUACACACGAAUCAAUUUCUCUCCUCGUUUGUCAUCCAAAAUUAUUCACCAAUACCAUGGCUGAUGCAAUCGUUUCCACUAUCUUGGAGCAGCUGAUUUCCUUCGCUGCUGAAGAGAUAAAACAACAGGUGAUCGAAGUUACACCCCUCAUAUUACAAAUACUUCCAAUGAUUUUAAUUGGUUUUGUUUUUAUCAAAAACAUUAUAUAUUUUUGCUUUUUUUUAUUUAUCUGAUAAUUUUAUAUUUUGAAAUUUGAAUUGAAUUUAAUUAAAAGGUGAUGUAGUAACCACUCAUUUUUAUUUUAUUUCAUUUAUAUUCUCGAUAACUAACCAUAUUUUGGUAACUUAAUAUAACUCUCGUACAUAAGAAAUGAUCCAAACCCACAAUUUUAACUCUGUAUAAAUAUUCAACGUUGAGUCAUUAAUUCUCAACUCAGCACUGAAUCCCAUAGCUAUUACUUAGACUCUAUGAAAAAUUUCAUAGUUUUCUUACAUUCUUUGAGUUUGGUAAGUGAUUUCGUAUAAUUUCUUUUCAAGUUAAAUUUUAAUUUGGUUUAUGAUAUAGUCUCUGUGCCGAAUUGUAUCUUUUAUGAUUCUUGGAUUUUGGGCUCCAACUUUUUAGGAUUUGAUAGUCACAUUUUAUGCCAUGCUCAGAUUGAUUUUCAUGAUUUUAACUACCCGUUAAGUGGCUUACAAUUUGACAAAAGUUUGAAAGGAAAUAUGUUUCAGGAUUCUGUUUUAAUUGACCUUUAAGUAGAAAUAGGAUGCUUAUAACUUAAUGUGGAUGGUUUGUAAAAUCAUGAAAUUCGGAUAGGAUUCACUAGAAAUAUGUACAAGACUCUCCAUAAAGUUUCAUAAUUUUUCAUUCGGUAUGGGGUGGUACAGGUGAAACUUGUGGUUGGUGUUGAAAAAGAAGUGAAAAGCAAGUUGUGCUCGAUGAUGCAGAGGAAAAGCAAGUGAAGGACAAAGCUGUUAGUCUUUGGCUGGGUAGACUCAAGUACGCAUCCUACGACAUUGAAGAUGUGUUGGAUGAGUGGAUCACAGCAAGACGCAAAUUGCAAAUUGAGGGUGGCGUUGAUGAAAAUGCUCUUGUUGUUCCUCAUAAGAAAAAGAAGGUAUGUCUCUACUUUCCCGGCUCUUGUUUUGGAUUCAAACAAGAAGAAUUUGGUUUCAAACAAGUCUUUCUCCGUCAUGACAUUGCCGACAAGAUCAAAGAAAUCAAUGAAGAGCUACAUGAUAUUGCCGCUCAAAAAGACAUGUUUGAUCUUGUUAAGAGUGGCAAUAAAAGUAGUGAAAGACCAAGGCGUGUACAGAGUACCUCCUUGAUUGAUGAAGAAGAGAUUUGUGGCAGAGUUGGUGAGAGGAAUGAACUCUUAAGCAAGCUGUUGUGUGAGAGUAGCGAGCAACAAAAAGGCCUUCAUAUCAUCUCAAUCGUUGGUAUGGGAGGCAUAGGGAAAACAACUCUUGCACAACUAGCUUGUAAUCAUGACGAGGUGAAGAGAAAGUUCGACAAAAUUCUGUGGGUGUGUGUAUCAGAAACUUUUGAGGAGUUUAGGGUUGCCAAAGCGAUCGUUGAAGUUUUGGAUGGUCGUGAAUCUCAUUUAGCUGAAUUCCAUUCUCUUCUUAUAAGUAUUGAUAAAUCUAUUGCGGGAAAGAGAUUUCUUCUUGUCUUAGAUGACGUAUGGGACGGAGAUUACAUUAAGUGGGAACCGUUCUACCGUUCCCUAAAGAAUGGUCUCCAAGGAAGUAAAAUUUUGGUUACUACACGUAAGGAGUCAAUUGCGUUUAUGAUGGGAUCCAUUGAUAUUAUCUCUAUCAAGGGAUUGGCCGAAGAAGAAUGUUGGUCGUUGUUUAAGCGGUUAGCAUUUUUCGGUCGAUCCAUUGAGGAAUGUGGAAGAUUGGAACAAAUUGGACAAAGAAUUGCAGGAAAGUGUAAAGGCUUACCUCUUGCAGCAAAGGUAAUAGGGAGUCUCAUGCGUUCUAAAAAAACUGAAGAAGAGUGGCAAAGAAUCUUAAAUAGUGAGCUAUGGAAAAUAGAAGAGAUCGAGAAAGGUGUUCUAACUCCUUUGUGGUUGAGUUAUAACGAUUUGUCAUCUCGAGUAAAAAGAUGUUUUUUAUAUUGUGCUGUCUUUCCAAAAGACUACAAUAUAAAAAAAGACAAACUAAUUACAUUAUGGAUGGCUCAAGGUUAUCUUAAUGCAGAACAAAAUGAAGAGAUGAAGACAAUAGGUGAAGAGUAUUUUGGCAUCUUAGCUUCUCGCUCUUUCUUUCAGGAGUUUACGAAAAGUUAUGAUAAUCGUAUUAUAUGGUGCAAGAUGCAUGAUAUGGUGCAUGAUUUUGCCCGAUUUGUAAGUCAAAAUGAAUGUUUUUCGAUGGAAAUUAACGGCAGUGAGGAACCAAACGCCACAAACUCUCCUCAUGGGAAGCUUCGUCAUUUAAUGUUAAUCAUUGGUGAAGGGGCUUCAUUUCCUGUCUCCACUUGUAGAGUCAAAAGAAUGCGAAGCCUCUUAAUUGAUAGUAGCAGAUUUGAUUAUCAGUCGUUAAAUGGUGAGAUCCUAGAAGAAUUAUUGAGGGAAUUGACAAGUUUAAGGGCAUUCGAUUUUUGCAGAUCGGACCACACACGAUUGGGUUUCACUCUAGAGAUUCCAAGAAAUAUAAAAAAGCUGAUACAUUUAAGAUACCUUAAUUUGUCUGGUCAGAAAAUAGAGAAGCUACCGGAGGCAUUGUGCGAGCUAUAUAAUCUAGAGAAGUUAGAUAUUUGUGGUUGUUGGUGUCUUAAAGAAUUACCUGAAGGGAUUGGGAAGUUAAUAAACAUGAAGCAUUUACUAAAUAGAAAUACCGAUUCUGUAAGGUACAUGCCAGUAGGGAUUGCGAGAUUAAAGAGUCUUCAGACAUUGGAAGAGGUCAGUGUGAGUGGAAGAGGAUGUCUUGAUGGUAGGAAAGCAUGUAGGCUCGAAUCUCUUAAAAACUUGGAACACCUUCAAAUAUGCGGUAUACGUGGACUGGGUGAUGUAUCAGACGUGGGCGAGGCUAAGCGAUUAGAACUUGACAAAAAUAAAUACCUCUUCAGUUUGACCCUUUGGUUUGAUAAGAAGGAGGAAGAAGGAGAAAGGAGGAAGAACGAGGACGAUCAACUUCUUCUUGAAGCCCUGCAACCACCUCUGGAUUUAAAGAAAUUAACGAUAUGGUCAUACAGAGGCAACACUGUUUUCCCCAGCUGGAUGAUGUCAUUAACCAAUUUAAGGAGUUUAGGUCUCUGUUACUGCAAAAAUUGUGAGCAGCUGCCUCCUUUGGGAAAAUUGCCAUCCCUUGAAACGCUCCACAUAUUGGGCAUGAAUAGUGUGAAAAGAGCGGGUAAUGAAUUUUGGGGUAUAGAAAGUAAUCACCAUGACUCAUCUUCAUCUUCAUUUUCAUCAGUUAUUAUUGCCUACCCCAAAUUAAUAUCACUUUCAAUUCAUUGUCUGACGGAAUUGGAGGAGUGGGAUUAUGGGAUUACUAGAACGGGAAACACGUUCAUCAACAUCAUGCCACGUCUUUCUUCCUUGCGAAUUACUAUGUGCCCCAAACUAAAGGCACUGCCCGACCACAUUCAUCAAACGACAACACUGAAGGACUUGACCGUUGGGUGGAACUCUGAUCUUCUGCAAGAACGUUACAGCGAGGGUAUAGGAGAAGACUGGCCUAAGAUAUCUCACAUUCCCAACGUCAGGAUUUGGCAAGACGUAAUUUCUUCUCCUACUCUGAUUUGCUUUGUUGUUGUUUUUAAUCUAAUUAAGACGCAUAAAUAGCAUUUUGAUUUUGAGUUGACAAUUUUCUGGACCAGUGAUCAAGGGUGAGAAUGGCGCUAGGAUAUUGAAUAAGGCACUGAACUUAGGCUGAUGUCAAAAGAGGUAAAUUAUUGACAUGUGUAGCUAAUUUGACCGUUUCCUGAUUCAUAAGUCUACAUUAAUUUUGAUUUUGAGUUGAGUGAUUACAUUUUAAGGUUUGCUUACUUAACAGGGCCAGGACAUGAAAUGAGAAGCUUAUUAGUGGCAGUUGGCAGUGAAUGGAGGACCUUGACUAAAUUCUCAAGCGGUUGCACUGCAGUUACGCUCAUCCUAAGCCUCCUGUAAUUUCUUCUCCUGCAUUUUUGUAAUUUGCUAUCUAAUUAAGGAGCGUAAACUAUUUUGAAUCGACUUCUAUAUCAGGAAUAUAUGCAACAUUUUCUAAAAGUUUGAUAUGAGUGUAAUGAUGGUAAUUUCUCUUUUUUGUCUGUCAUCGAAAUGUAAGAUAACAUUCAUUAAGACUCUUGAGAGUCGUUUUUGGCAAUUGCAGGACAAGUGAUGAAGAGUGAGAAUGGUGCUAGAUUGGGGAUUAAAGCAAAAGGAGGUAAAUUAUUGGCAGAGAAUUGUGAGAGCUUGAGUGUACUGGGAUUUGCAAUUACAAUCAUCCUCUGCUUCAGGUGAUUUCUUCUCCUGCUCUGUCGUUGUUUGUAUCUCAAUCAAAUUCUAUAACUGGAAUAUGCAAAAGUUUCGAAUUUUUUAUUUCUAUCUGCUUGCAUUGAUAACAUCACGGCAUAUGCACUAGUUAAAGAACAAACAGAAACAGAGCUCCGGAAAAAGUUUCUUCUGCCAUCACAUUUGAAAAUUCAUGUAAAAUGUAGACAGUAAUCAGCAAAAAGGUGAUUCACAAUUUCAUUUUUUUUAUGAAAUUGAUUGUUAGGUUGGAGUUGCUAAAAGGCCAUUGGGCUAACCUAUGUCGUUACUUACCUAGAUCAAGACUCAAAACAAGCAUUGAAUUUUAAAAGGCAUGCAAUAAUUUUUGUGGCCAUAUGUCAAGUCAGGUAAGUUUGAAUAUAAUUAUUGUUGAAGGGGUUUUAUUUUCGGUGUCCAAAUAGAGAUACUGAUUCUUUAAGGUAAUGCCAGUAGGAAUUGCAAGAUUAACAAGUCUUCGGACAUUGCGAGAGUUCCAUUGAGUGGUGGAUGAGGUGUUGAUGGUAGCAAAGCAUGUGGUAUGCGUAGACUGGAAAACAUGUAAGAUGUGGGCGAGGCUAAGAGAUUAGAGAUUGACCAAAUGAAAUACCUCUUUAGUUUGAGGCUUAAAUUUGAUGGUGAAGAAGAAGGAAGGAGGAAGAAUGAGGAUGAUCAACAUCAGCUUGUUCUUGAAACCUUGCAACCACCUCUGACUUUGAAGGAAUUAGAGAUAUGGUCAUACAGAGGCAACACUGUUUCUGCAAGUAGUCCUCUCUUUUCUUUUUAUUAUAUUUUAUUUAGUUAUUAUUUAUUAUUUAUUUUUUGGUUUACUCUGCUUCUUCUUUUUACGUUUCUCAAAUUUUGAAUUUCAUUACUUUUGAACAUACGACAGUCUGUUAUGUGGCGACCCUGGUUUUUAAUUAAGGUUGUAAAAUAUUAUUGUAAAAGAUGAUUUAUUCAAUUUGAGUAAUUCGUUUGCUUUGAUAAUGAUAGCAAUUUUUUAUUUUGACAAUUUGCAAGGUGAGAAUGGUGCUGAUUGGUGAUUCAGGAUAUGGUUCAAACACCAUUGAAUAAAGCUAUGGACAUGGUGGCUCAACUUAGCUAGAUUGGUAUCAAAAUUGGUAAGUUGGCUUGUCAAUGUACCGAUGCUUUUGUUUUCUCUCAACCCUAAUUACCUUAACUUCAUUUAGUUUGGCUUUGGAGUUGAGUAAUAACUUAUUGUUCAAAUGUUAUUUCCUUAUUGUUCUAAUUCAUCAAAUGUUAUUUCCUUAUUGUUCCAUUGAUAUAUUUGUUGCAUAUCAAGCAGAAACAGAACCCAAAGAAAAUGAAACCAUUUCCAGGCAGCAGUUGGCAGUGAAUUCAUGCAAAUGUUGAUGCCAUUCAUAGAUGUUGAAGACAAUGUUGAGCCAAAGGCGAUAAAUCAUUAAUGCAUAAUUCCCAAAACCUCCAUCCUUCUCUCAUUGUAAUUUGAUUUGAAAUGAAUAAUUGCUAGGUAAUUGAAGCCAAUGUUGUUAAAGACCGUGUUGAGCUACCCAAGCUAAGAAGUUACUUGCCAAAAAAUGCAGGGGAUCAAAAGAAGCAUUGCAUUUGAAAAGGCAUGAGAUUCUGGUGGCUACAUGUCAACUCAUAUAUGUUUGAAUAAGUUUGAUCGUUCAAGAUUGUUAGCUUCUGUUUAAAUUUGUGCUACUGCGGUGCUACAAUGCUGCUACUGGGAAAUUUGAAUCCCAUAUUAGACUUUCCUCACAUCAGAAGCUGUGGAUCUUCGGACAUCAGGUUUUUUCACAGUUCUGAAACACUCAGGAUUAAACUCUAUUAAAGUGUUGUAGUUAUCUUGUUGUCAGAAUUCCCAUAUUAUUAUCUUUUUCAUGUAAAAUUAUCUUGUUGUCUUCGCCCAUGAAUCUAAGCUAAAAUUUGAACCAAUUGUUUGCCAUUAUAAAUUUCAUUGUUAAAUGUUAAUUAUGAUGUUGGCGUUGAGUUUCUUUUAAAGUCAUAGAAGCCUGACGAUUGAGUUCCAUGGGAUUCUGAGAAGCAGUAAUAUUUGAACAAGUGAAGGUUCUUCUCUUUUAAUUAUGUUCUGCACUUUUACAGUUUGGCUUUGGAGUUGAGUAAUAACCUUUCGAGGUCGCGGCUAUAAAAAGGCGAUGCUCAAUUUGCCACAGAUUACAUGUAUUGCCAUCAUUGACAAUUUUCUGGAUAAGUGAUGAAGGGUGAGAGUGGUGCUAGACUUCAGCCCUCCAGAAUAUUGAAUAAAGCUGUCAAAAGAGGUAAAUUAUUGGCAUGCCUGUUAGUGAAUUGGAUAAAGCUGGAGCAGAGCAUGAUGUUGCUGUAUAGCUGGAGCAGAGCAUGUUGUUGCUGUGUAGCUGGUUGUAGCAGAUCAACUCACUGAGCUGACCUGUCAAAGCUGGAGCAGAGCAGAGCAGAGCGGAUAAAGCUGGAGCAGAGCAGAGCGGAUAAAGCUGGAGCAGAGCAGAGCAUGAUGUUGCUGUAUAGCUGGAGCAGAGCAUGCUGUUGCUGUGUAGCUGGAGCAGAGCAUGCUGUUGCUGUGUAGCUGGUUGUAGCAGAUCAACUCACUGAGCUGACCUGUCAAAGUUAGUUAGCUGGUUGAGCUGAUGUGUAAAGUUAGUUAUGCAGCAAAUGGUUAUGUGAUGUAACAAACUCGUGUGUGUAGUGAAGAUUGUAGCUUAGUAUAAAUGUCAAUCAGUAUUCAUUAAGUUGAAAUAUCUGAGGAUAAUAAAAAGGUUCUUUAGAGUUCUCUUUCAUUUUCUUUUACUUUCUUGCUUGCCAAACAAUAUAGAACUAAGUUUCUUUCAUGGUAUCAGAGCCAUAAAUGGCAAAUACAGUUCAAAACAACAACUCUUUUAGUUUUGUUACGCCUGUAAAGCUAGAUCAAAACAACUAUAUUUUGUGGCGCACACAAAUUCUAGCUUCGAUCAAAGGAAAUGGUUUGGAAGGUUUUAUCAAUGGUGAUCGAGAAUGUCCUGAGCAGUUUCUUUCUUCUGGCAACAACAAUGGAGCUGAAAUCUUAACUGAAUCUGGAUCCAGAUCUGUUACUGAAUCUGGAUCCAGAUCUGUUACUGAAUCUGGAUCCAGAUCUGUUAAUCCAGAGUUCGUAGCUUGGAUGAAGGCUGAUCAACUUCUGCUGAGUUGGAUGAUGUCAUCGAUACAACAAAAUCUGCUUGCUACUAUGAUUGACUCAACAACCUCAAAACAGCUUUGGGAGACUCUUGCUAGUAUGUUUAUCUCUCAAUCACAGGCUAGAAUUCAAACACUUAGAAUGCAGAUUCAAACUAUUAAGAAAGGUGCAAUGCAUAUGUCUGAUUACUUUGUAAAAGUAAAACGUAUAGCUGAUACUUUAGCUCUAGCUGGAAAACCUGUUGAGUUAAAUGAUCUUGUGAUGCAUGUAUUAACUGGUCUUGAUUCAUCAGAUUAUGAAUCUUUAGUCACUGCUGUGUUAGCUCGAGGUGAAAAGAUAACAUUAGAUGAACUAUAUUCUUUGCUGUUAAAUCAUGAAAAUAGAGUUGAGCAAAAGAAAGGAAAAAUUGCUGGUGAUGUGAUGCAUAACAUGACAGCAAAUAUUGUUCAGAAGAACUCAUAUGCUAGAAAGAAUAAUGGAAAUUUUCAGAAACAGUAUGGAAAUAACUCUGGAGGUGGUAAUAAUUCUGGAUAUGGAUAUGGUCAGUUUAAUAAUAAUAGUAAUUUCUCUGAAGUUGUUUGCCAAAUUUGCUUCAUACCUGGUCAUGCAGCCUAUAAAUGCAGAAAUAGGUACAACUCAUCUUUUGUUCCACAUAGGAACCAUGGUAGAGGUAAUAUGAAUGGUGGCGGAGGUUUUAAUCAAGGGCAAUAUGGUCGAGGAAGAGCCUUUAAUGGUAAUAGUGGAAGAGGUUUUGGAGGUUUUGGUUCAAAUGCUGGUUUUGGACAAAAUGUUGGUUUUGGUAAUGCCCCCAGGGGUUUUGGCUAUCAAGGAAAUAUAGUAUAUCCAGAGAGCAACCCAUCUGCUUAUUUCUCAUUCAACCCUGGAUCAUCUAAUUUUGUUUCUGGUCUAGGACAUAAUAAUCUGGAACAGUCAAGUGCUUCCUCCUCCUCUGCUAUGUCUUCUUCACUUCCACCUGAACACAUUGAAGAUCCUUCCUGGUAUAUUGAUAGUGGAGCAACAAAUCAUAUUACCAACGAUCUAGGUAAGCUUCUGGAUUCAAAAGUUUACACUGGUACUGAAAGGUUAUUUGUUGGAGAUGGAAAUGCAUUAGCUAUUACACAUGUAGGGUCAGUUGUGCUAAAUACUUCAGCUUCUCAAUCCUUAUUUCUUAACCAUGUUCUUCAUGUCCCUUUUAUUACUAAGAAUUUGCUUAGCAUCUCAAAAUUGUUGGCUGACAAUCCAGUUACUGUUGAAUUUCUUGGUGAUUUGUGUUUUAUAAAGGCCAAGAACACAGGGAAAAUUUUACUUGAAGGUGUUGCUAAAGGUGGGCUUGUAUAGAGUCUCUUCUCAUGCUGCUGUUCAUUCAGUCUUUCUCAGUUCAGUUGGUCAAAACAAAAUUCAGUCUCUUUUUGCUUGUUCUCCUGUUUUUAAUUCUGCUCAGCUCUCUACUGUUAGCUCUUAUGAGUUGAAUAAAACGUCAUGUCUGUCAGUUGUUGCAAAGGGUUCUAUUGAUGUAAAUCUUCUUCAUAGAAGAUUAGGACACCCAGCAUCUUAUACUCUCAAAACCAUUCUCAAAGCUUGUAACAACUCUACUGCUUUUAAUAAAGUUGACAGUUUGAAAUUUUGUUCAGCAUGCCAAUAUGGUAAAAAUCACAUGCUGCAUUUUGAUUCAGUAGAAACAAAAACUUCAGCACCUUUACAACUGAUAUAUGCAGAUCUUUGGGACCCUUCUCAUGUUUGUUCUACCCAAGGAUAUAAUUACUACUUGUCAAUCCUAGAUGAUUACAGUAGGUUUACCUGGAUUUUUCCCUUAUCAGCAAAAUCUGAUGCUCUUGAAGUUUUUACCAAUUUCAAAAUAUUCAUUGAGAAGCAUCUUCAACUUUCCAUCAAAACUGUACAAACUGACUGGGGAGGGGAGUUCAGAACAUUUUCAUCGUUACUCACUACUUCUGGCAUCCAUUUUCGACAUCCUUGCCCCCACAUUCAUCAUCAAAAUGGAAAAAUUGAGAGGAAACAUAGACACAUAGUUGAUGUAGGACUGACUUUAUUAGCUCAAGCACAUUUACCACUCAAAUUUUGGUGGAAUACAUUCCAUACAGCUGUCUACUUGAUAAACAGACUUCCAACUCCAGUUCUAAACAGCAUUUCUCCUUUUCAAAAGUUGUUUAAUUCCCAACCAGAUUAUUCAACACUUAAAAUUUUCGGCUGUGCUUGUUAUCCAACACUCAGACCAUACAAUAGACAUAAGUUUGAUUUCAGAACAGCUAGAUGUAUAUUCAUUGGCUACAGUUCACGACACAAGGGAUAUCAGUGUCUUCACUCUUCUGGGAGGGUCUAUAUUUCAAAUCAUGUAACCUUUGAUGAAAGUUCUUUUCCUUAUGAGUCAGGAACAGAUUUUUCUUCAGUUUCUUCAAACUGUCAGUCAUCAACUCAUUCUGAGUCUUCUUUUAAUUCUUCUACUCCUUUUGUUACUCAGUUACAAGCACCUUUAGCAGCAUCAUCAGAAUAUCAUCUUAAUGAUUCUCAGUCACAUGCUUCUAUUUCCUUCCCAAAUUCUACUCCAGUUUACUUUUCUGAUAAUUUCAAUUCCACUUCUUCUUCUCCUUCUUCACCAUCCCAUCAUUCACCUCCACAUACCUUGUCACAACCUGCAUCAUCUGGUCAUCCAAUGAUAACCAGGUCAAAAGCAGGUAUCUUCAAGCCCAAGAUCUACUUGUCAGCUUUACUAGCUCAGAAAUCAGAACCAACCUCUGUUUCCAAAGCACUUUCUGAUCCUAUGUGGUAUAAAGCUAUGCAAGAAGAGUAUCUAGCUCUUAAAACCAAUCACACCUGGGAUUUAGUCUUACCUGCUACUCCAGUGAAGAUAGUUGGCAACAAGUGGGUAUUUCGAGUAAAGUAUAACUCAGAUGGUUCAGUUUCAAGGUAUAAAGCCAGGCUUGUGGCUAAAGGGUUUCAUCAGACACAUGGGAUUGACUACACAGAAACCUUCAGUCCAGUGGUUAAGUCCUCCACUGUUAGAGUUAUUCUUAGCUUAGCAGUAUUGAGUCACUGGGUUGUAAGGCAGGUGGAUGUUAACAAUGCCUUUCUAAAUGGCAUUUUAAUUGAAGAUGUGUACAUGGCUCAACCUCAAGGUUUUGUUGAUUCAACUAAACCUAAUCAUAUCUGCAAGCUAAAUAAGGCUUUGUAUGGCUUAAAACAGGCUCCUAGAGCCUGGUUUGAUAGGUUUAAGGAUGCAAUGAUCUCCAAGUGGCAUUUUUAGCAUUCCAGGUCUGAUAACUCUCUCUUUUAUGCCUGGAACAGUGGUCAUCUAACUGUUGUUUUGGUCUAUGUUGAUGAUAUUAUCAUCACUGGUUCCAGUCCAUCCAUAAUUCAACAAGUUAUCCAGAAUAUGCAUCAAGCUUUUGCUUUAAAAGACCUGGGGGAACUUCACUAUUUUCUGGGGAUUGAAGUCAGCAAAUCUUCACAAGGGGUUUCCUUGACACAAGCAAAGUACAUUGCUGAUAUUCUGGAUAAACAUGGCAUGACAGACUGCAGUCCUGUGCCAACUCCAAUGUCUACAGGCUUUUAUCUCACCAAAGACUCAGGAGAGCCACUUGAUAAUGUUUCUCAAUAUCGAAGUGUUAUAGGAGCUCUUCAAUAUGUUACUCUUACCAGACCUGACAUUGCCUUCUCUGUAAACAAGUUAAGUCAGUUCCUUUCCAGUCCUAGAACUCAACAUUGGGAAGCAUGUAAAAGGUUAUUGAGGUACUUAAAAGGCAUUAUCCAUCUGGGGCUGCAUUUCUACAAUCAAGGAGCUCUGCAAUUACAUUGUUUUUCAGAUUCUGAUUGGGCUUGUGAUCAUGAUGAUAGGAAGUCAGUGGCUGGCUUUGCUGUUUAUCUAGGUCCUAAUCUUGUUUCCUGGUCGUCAAAGAAACAAGCUGUUGUUUCCAGAUCCAGCACAGAAGCUGAGUAUAGAUCUCUUGCUCAUGCUGCUUCAGAAGUUACCUGGAUUAAAUCCUUACUUGGUGAACUUAGUAUCACAUUAAGCUCCACUCCUAUGAUGUGGUGUGAUAAUCAAGGAGCAAUUGCUUUAGCUUAUAAUCCAGUUUAUCAUGCUAAGACUAAGCAUGUUGAAUUGGAUAUACAUUUUAUCCGAGAUAAGGUCACUGCUAAAGAGGUUGCAGUAUGCUAUGUGCCUAGUCCAGAUCAAACAGCAGAUGUGUUGACUAAGGCUCUUACUUUCAAACAAUUCAGUUACUUCAGAAGCAAGCUGAAUGUUCAUCCUAAACAUUUCAGCUUGAGGGGGGAUGUUAGUGAAUUGGAUAAAGCUGGAGCAGAGCAUGAUGUUGCUGUAUAGCUGGAGCAGAGCAUGUUGUUGCUGUGUAGCUGGUUGUAGCCAAAGCUGGAGCAGAGCAGAGCAGAGCGGAUAAAGCUGGAGCAGAGCAGAGCGGAUAAAGCUGGAGCAGAGCAGAGCAUGAUGUUGCUGUAUAGCUGGAGCAGAGCAUGCUGUUGCUGUGUAGCUGGUUGUAGCAGAUCAACUCACUGAGCUGACCUGUCAAAGUUAGUUAGCUGGUUGAGCUGAUGUGUAAAGUUAGUUAUGCAGCAAAUGGUUAUGUGAUGUAACAAACUCGUGUGUGUAGUGAAGAUUGUAGCUUAGUAUAAAUGUCAAUCAGUAUUCAUUAAGUUGAAAUAUCUGAGGAUAAUAAAAAGGUUCUUUAGAGUUCUCUUUCAUUUUCUUUUACUUUCUUGCUUGCCAAACAAUAUAGAACUAAGUUUCUUUCAAUGCCUAGCUAAUUUGACCACUACCUGAUUCAUAAGCCUACAUCAAUUUUGAUUUUGAGUUAAGUGAUUAAUUUUCAAGGUUUGCUUACUUAACCGGCGACUAAUUUCUUGUAACUAAAUGUAUCAUAUGAUGCAGGAAGCAGGGCAAGAUAUGAAAUGAGAAGCUUAUUAGUGGAAGGAUUGCCAGAAACAGAACCCAAAGAAAAUGAAAACAUUUCAAGGCAGCAGUUGGCAGCUGGCAAUGAAUGGAGGCCCUUGAAAAAAUUCCCAAGCCGUUGCACUGCAAUUACGAUCAUCCUCGGCCUCAGGUAAUUUCUUCUCCUGCAUUUUUGUUAUUUGCUAUCAAGUGACAUUCGUAAGUAUGAUUGCAUUAAGCUGCUGCUGGGAAAUUUGAGGUUUUGAUGGCUGCCCAUGCUAUUGUCAGAAGCUGCAGUUCUUUUCAUCAGCCUGAACCUGGACCUGUCGCCAUGGAUAACUCAGGUUUUUUUUUUUUUUAAUCAACUACGGCAUCUUUUCCACUGUUUUGAAACUCUUAAGAUUAAACUUUAGUAAUGUUGUUUUAGUUAUCCAUGUAAUCAGGCUGAGGAUACUUAGCAGCCUAUUUAGGCAAAUGUCAGAAUUUAGUUUGUUCGCUGGGAAUUGGUGUGGACUGGCAAAGGAUGAUGAGAUAGUUUUUUGAGUGAGUAAAUUUUGGGAGCUUGAGUGUAUUGGGAUUUGCAAUUACAAUCAUCGUCUGCCUCAGGUGAUUUCUUCUCCUGCUCUGUCAUUGUUUGUUCUCUAAUUCAAAAGCAUAAAAUAUUUCAAUCAAAUUGUAUGCCAGGAAUAUGCAAAAGUUUCUAAUAUUUUAUUUCCAUCUGUUUGCCUUGAUAACUUUGCUGCAUAUGUACUAGUUAAAGAACAAAUCGAAACAGAGCUCAGUUAAAAGUUUCUUCUGCCGUCAUAUUUGAAAAAUGAAACCAUUUCCAGGAAGCAAUGGGCAGCAAAUUCAUAUAAAGCAUAGACAAUGAUGAGCAAAAAGGUGAUUCACAAUUUCACUUUUUUUAAUGAAAUUAAUUGUUUGGUUGGAGCGGAUAUUGUUAGAAGGCCAUUGAGCUAACCUAUGUCACUACUUGCCUAGAUUACAGGGGGUCAAAUAAGGCAUCCAAUAAUUCUUGUGGCCAUAUAUCAAUUCAUGUAAGUUCGAAUGUAAUUAUUGGUGAAGGGGUUUCACUUCCCGUCUCUAAAUAAAAAUACUGAUUCUUUAAGGUACAUGCCACUAGGGAUUGCGAGAUUAACGAGUCUUUGGACAUUGGAAGAGCUCCUUGUAGUGGAGGAGGAGGUGUUGAUGGUAGCAAAGCAUGUGGGCAGUGGGCUUGAAUCUCUUAAAAACUUGGAACUCCUCCAAGCGUAAGUAUACGUAUACUGGGAAAUGUGUUAGAUGUGGAUGAGGCUAAGAGAUUAGAGCUUGACAAAAUGAAAUAACUCUUUCAUUGAGACUUAAAUUUGAUGGGGAAGAAGAAAAAGAAGAGGGAAGGAGGAAGAAUGAGGAUAAUCAACUUGUUCUUGAAGCCUUGCAACCACCUCUGAAUUUGAAGGAAUUAGAGAUUUGGUCAUACGGAGGCAACAUUGUUUCCCCCCGGAUGAUGCAAAAAUUGAAGGAAUUUACCAAUCUAAGGAGUUUGACACUCUUUAAAACUGCAAAAAUUGAGAAAAGUUGCCUCCUUUGGGAAAAUUGUGAUCCUUUGAAAAUCUCAGCAUAUUGUACAUGGAGAGUGUGAAAACAGUGGGUAAUGAAUUUCUGGGAAUAGAAAGUGAUCUUCAUGACUCAUCUUCAUCUUCAUCAGUGAUUAUUGCCUUCCCCAAAUUGAAAUCACUUUCAGUUGAGGGAUUGAUGGAAUUGGAGGAGUGGGAUUAUGGGAUUAAAAGAACAGGAAACACCUCCACCAACAUUAUGCCACGUCUUUCUUCCUUGGAAAUUAGUGUGGGGUUAUGGGAUCGCACAACGACGUUGAAGGUAUUGCAGAUUGUGGCAUGUGGUACUCUAAGAAGACGUUACAGACAGGGGAGAGCAGAAGACUGGCCUAAGAUCUCUCACAUUCCAGACAUCAUGAUUGUGUGAAAAGAUGCCCGUGACAAAAUUCUCUAGGCGGCUACAUGGAGUACAAUCAUAAAAUGCUAAUGUGGCCACCCUGGUUCUUAAUUAAGGUUGUGAAAUAUUAUUGUAAAAGAUGAUUAAUUCAAUUUGAGUUAUUCGUUUGCUUUGAUAAUGAUAGUAAUUUUAUAUUUUGACAAUUUGCAGGGUGAGAAUGGUGCUGAUUGGUGAUACAGGAUAUGGUUCAAACACCAUUGAAUAAAGCUACGGACAUGGUGGCUCAACUUAGCUAGAUUGCUGUCAAAAUUGGUAAGUUGGCUUGUCAAUGUAUUGAUGCUUUUGUUUUCUCUCAACCCUAAUUACCUUAACUUCAUUUAGUUUGGCUUUGGAGUUGAGUAAAUUCUGGCCUCUUCCGAAAAAAAAAGCUUAAUUUGCUACUGAUCACGUGUUACCAAUUAUUUAAGGUAAUUCUCGCUUACUUGCUUCUGCACUAUAGAGUACGUGUUCUGGCUGGUUUAUCUAAUUCAUCAAAUGUUAUUUCCUUAUUGUUCCAUUGAUAUAUUUGUUAGAAAGUGAAACCAUUUCCAGGCAGCAGUUGGCAGUGAAUUCAUGCAAAUGUUGGUGCCAUUCAUAGAUAUUGAAGACAAUGAUGAGCCAAAGGUGAUAAAUCAUUAAUGCAUAGUUACCAAAACCUCCAUCCUUCUCUCAUUGUAAUUUGAUUUUAAAUGAAUAAUUGCUAGGUAAUUGAAGCCAAUAUUGUUAGAAACGGUGUUGAGCUACCCAAGCUAAGAAGUUAGCUGCCAAAAAAUGCAGGGGAUUAAAAGAAGCAUUGCAUUUGAAAAGGAAUGAGAUUCUGGUUGCUACAUGUCAAUUCGUAGAAGUUUCAAUAAAUUUAAUGGUUCAAGAUUGUUAGUUUCUGUUUAAAUUUGUGCUACUGCAGUGCUACAACGCUGCUACUGGGAAAUUUGAAUCCCAUAUUAGACUUUCCUCACAUCAGAAGCUGUGGAUCUUGAGACAUCAGGUUUUUUCACAGUUCUGAAACUCUCAGGAUUAAACUCUAUUAAAGUUGUUGUAGUUGUCUACGUUCUCAGGUCAAGGAUUCUAAGCUGCCGAUUAAGCAUUGCGCAUUUUCAUUUGUCCGAUUCAAGAGGAACGUCACAGAAAGGGGUAAAGAAAAGAGUAGCCUAAGAUAUUAAAGACAAUGUUGAGCCAAAGGAAACAUAAAUCCCAACCAUUGCAUGUGAACAUGAUCACAAUAAGGUCAAGAACCUACCAAACCAUUUUUUUGAGAAUUUUCAAUUGAAAGUGAAACCUUUUGAUAUUUACCUAAUAAAGUUAGUUAAACGAGAGAAAUAAAGGGGGAAAGAAAAGUUGACUCUAAGUCAAUACAGAAUAAUUAGUUCAAUACAGAAUAAUUGCUGUAAAAUAUUAAAUAGUUUUAUUUUUCUUUUAUCGUUUAACUUGGACCAAAAAAGGAAAUGAGUUUAACACGACCCUCAUUCUGCUUCUUGCUUUGGUUUCAAACAAGUCUUUCUCCUUUAUGACAUUUAUUGUAAUUUCAUUUGGAGACAUAUGUCUGUCGUUCAAAUAUAUUUCAUACGCAAGCUGUUAAUAAUUCUGCUUGCAGAAAGCCUACAAAGCAGCUGUGUGAUGUAAUAGAAGACCAUAGAUAGUCUCGUCAAUUUUUCAACAUUAGAUAUUCAGGUCAUCAGCUUCUCAUGAAUUCUUUCCUGAGUUUCUUUGAAUUAUUUGUGAUGUAAUAACUUGUGCAUUUGAGAAACUGUUCUCUUGAAUUCUUUCUUGAGUUUCUUUGAAUUAUUUGUGAAUAAGUUGUUAAUCGGCUGCUUCUCUUCAGGAUAAGGAAAGUGUUGCAAACUGGUGAAGCAGCUGAUAGAUAAAAGCAAUGGGUACAUCUUUGCUGGCAUGGAUCGAUGCCAGUGCGGCUGAAUUCAGCAAGACUGCCGUUCGUGAUGUUGUUGAUUGGGAUUACAUUAAGGAUGAUGACAACAUUGAUUAAAAUGGGACGUGAAGAUAUAUGGUGUGCAAAUUAACCCAACCCAACCAAACCCGUACAUUUUAUCAACCCAACCCAACCUGUAAAAAAUCACACGGGUUAGGUUAGUUUCACGGAUUGGGAGGUUGGUGCCCACCCCUAAAUAUAACCUCCAUUUCAGCACAAUGCAUGUUAAUUGUUCCCCAAGGACUUCUCCUGAUUCCCAUUCCCAACCUCCAUGCUCUUGAGAGGAAUUUAGCACCCAUCAAUUUUUAUUUUUGAAAACUCGUAAUGGUCUGAUAAAAUUAAACAACAUCAAUAAUGUUACCAGUCUUUAAAUAGUAAUUAAUUUAUUUAAUUUGCCACCUAAAAGAAUCCUGCUGGAAAUAGAGGUUAAAAAUUUUAUUAGAUCUGCUUACCUUUGUUCAUUCAGCAAAAACACUUACAAUUCACAGCUAGAGAAUCUAUCCAUUGACAAUUGUGGAUUAAAAUUAUAACACCUGAAUUCCAACAUAUCCUUAUGAAGUUAUGAAUUUGUUCAUACUUCAAAUGAUUUUUUUUUCCCAAGCUAAUAAAGCUACCACUUUGAUCAAACGACGACGUUGAAGGAAUUGCGUAUUUUCAAUGUCCUUUUCCAGACAGACGUUCGAGAGAGAGAAAGGAGAAGACUGGCCUAAUUAAGAUAUCUCACAAAGAUUAUUAUUGAGUUAAAAUGUUAUUGUAAAAGAUGUAUAAUACAAUAAUAGUAAUUCUUUUGCAUUGUUAUAAUGAGGCUGGUGGGUUUCCUCAGAGGAUGGAUCUUGCUCGCUAGUAUGCAUUUGGGAAGCUGCUAAUUAUUGGCCAUAAAAAGUCAGGGGGUUGUGGCUCUUCCGUCGCCCAGAAAUUCCUCAACUCAUAUCUCAAACUUCAGAUGAACUUGGGCAUUAUGUAAAUAUGUAUUUUGAGAAUUAAACUAGUGCCUUAGAAAAAAUUUGAGCCAUUGUAAUCAUUUUAUUUUGCUAAGGGAAAAUUUUACUUUGUGUUUCGCUUUGACUUUUUUUUUUUUGCCUUGUGAUAAUAAGAUUCAUACGAAAGUGAUUACACGCCUAUCAUGCAUCUAUUUUCAUUUGCUUGUCAUGAGAGAUCAACAUGCUCGAAAUAAUUACUUAGGUUGGAAAUAUUUGAAUCCACUAAAAUACUAUACAAACCCAUUUUAAAAUUAAAAAAAUGAUUAUCAUAAUACUUGUGAAGAUAACACGAUAUCAUACAUAAAAUAAAAUAUUUCGCAAAAAAGAUACGAUACAAAUCUUGAGUAAACAGGUACAAAAAAUAUUUUUUUUUGGUUAAACCACGAGGUACAAAAAAUAUUUUAGUGGGUUAAGUAGCACUAAUGCCCCCUUAUCAAAAAAUAUAGAAAAAUAACUAGUUUGAUUGGGUAUACCGUUUAUAUAUAUGUACAUAUUCUUGAUAAUGUGUAAUGUAUAUUAUAGACAAAGAUUUUGAAAGCAAUAUUUUUUGGUAUUAUUAUAUAAUAUUUUUUAAAAAGUUGAGAGAAUAGGCAAAGUCCAAAUCAACUUUCUAAUCCCUACCUCCUUUAUGAUUUAAACUUUAGCGUUUAGUGUCGCGAGCCACUCAAAUUUUCUAAUCAAAGAGACUAAAUUGCACGAAAUUGUGCUAGCUUAUUUGAUUCUAGAAAUUUCCAGUACACUGUAACACACUCUCAGGCUUGUACAUACCUCGAAAUUCUCUAGAAUUAAUUUACUAGAGUAGUGUUGCAUGUAGCUUGUACAUAGGUUUUUCUGGAACACUUCAGGUAUUACUAAGCAUGAGAGCUUUGAGAACUCUCUAGCCAUAAAACAUUCUAGGGUAUGUCUACCCUAAAAAUUGGGCAUGAUGCUUGCCACUUGAGCAUACAACAAGUAAGAACAAAUCAAGCAUACUUGUAAGCUCUCAAACUCUCUUAUACACACUUUUAUGAAUAAUAUACUUUCUCUUUGGCUAUAUUGCUCUCUCUUCUCUCUAGUUUUUUCGCAAGCAUCAUACCUUAGUUAGUCGAAAAGUUCAAGGCUUACUUUAUAGCUAUCUCACAAAAGUUGUUUAAGUACCACAUGGAUUUGCUGUGUAAAAUACUCAUCACAUGACAUUAGCUAAAUAGAUUUGUUUGAAAGCCACUUACCCAAACUAUUAAACGAAUAUUAACUUUUGUCUUAAUUUUCUAUCACCUAUGAUAAAAUUUAUAAUUAAAAAUUGAAAAAAUUAAUAACUAUUAGAUAGAGCAUUCUUUACUGUUAAAAGAAAUCUAUAUAGAUAGAUAGAUGGUAAUAUAAAAACUUACUUAUUGUAGUAUAAUGUUUUUAGUUUUUUGAAACAUAGAUUCUUACUUUUUUAAGAUAAAAUUCAAAGAAAACAAGUUAAAUGUUGUGGAAAAUCUUCCAGCCAUACAAGAAAUUGUGAUAGCUAAAUGCAAACCUAACUAAAGUAUUAGUUGUUUUAUUACAAUCUCCAAAAAGAUGAGCAAUUCCAAAAUAUUUUUUUGUAACAAUAAACACUAUAGGUCAGCAAUUAUCCAAGUCAAAAGCAAGCUACUCUAUUAAAAAAAAAAAAAACUUGUAGUGAAUCUGAAGAUAAACCAAUUUUACUAGCAAGUUGGAUACCAAAGAGUAGGGCUUCAGCCUCAAUUACUCAAUGUACCAACAACACAGUCUCGGUGAGUUAAAAUCAACUUCUACCACUCUUUUACUUGCUGAUAGAUCGAUUAAGGUACCAAAAGGAAUAAUCGAAGAUGUAUUAGUUCGAGUUGAUAAAUUCAUAUAUCCUGUGGAUUUUAUUGUUUUGGAAACUGAACCAAUUGCUAAUGAAUGCAAACAAAUUCCUGUUACAUUGGGUCGUCCAUUUUUAGCUACUGCUAAUGCAUUGAUUAAUUGCUGGAAUGGAGUAAUGAGUUUAUCUUUCGGCAACAUGACAUUGGAACUCAAUGUGUUCAACAUAUGUAAACAACCUCACCACCAGGAAGAUGAUGAUAAUGAGAAUGAGGAGAUUGAUUUCAUCGAGCCAAUCAUUGAUGAACACAUUCAGAAUAAGAAUUUUACAAACUCAGUGGAAAUUUAUUCUGCUCGUUCUUUUGAAUCGAGUAAGAAAUUAGAUUACGAUACUGAUAACAUAUACCCUACACUUGAUUCUAUGCAGGUACUUGCUGACGGUGACCAAUCAAACUUUAAAAAUACAGAACAAUCUAAAGAACCAAACGAAGAGGAAGUACCAGAGCUCGAAUUAAAGCCCUUACCGGAAGAAUUGAAGUAUGCCUAUCUUGGAGAAUAACAAACUUAUCCGGUGGUAAUUUCUUCCCAACUCACGCAUGAUCAAGAAGGUAAGUUGUUGUCUGUACUAAAAAGGCAUAAAACUGCAUUUGGUUGGACCUUAAAAGACAUAAAAAGUAUUAAUCCUUUAAUCUGCACACACCGAAUACACUUAAAGGAAAAUACCAGAACAACCCGUUAACAUCGACAUUAUCAGUGUAAACAUUAAAUACCAAAAUCAACCCCAAAAACUAUAACUAAACUAUCAUGACUAAAAUAAAGUUUUUUUUUUUUAGAUAUUCGUUGUAGUAUCUCUUUAGAUGACAAACAAGAGAUAAAAUACAUAAAUAUUUGCUGUGUAAAUAAAAAUAAAUAAUUUUUUUGAACUGAAAAAUAUUCUCAAAAACUAAAUAGUUCAAACUUUUUUUAACAUUAUCGGUUCUGGACCUGAACCGAACCGUGAACCGUAAACUGCCCACCCUUACGUAGUUGUUUCCGUUAACCGAUGUUGUAUUGCUGGUAUAAAAUUGUUCAAAUGUUCAAAUCACAGUCUCCCGCUCUCAGCUCAGUCAGAGUUUCAGGUCCAGAGACUUCCCGCUGACUGAGAGCUUUUUUGUAGCAGUUCUACAAAUAAUGGAGUAGAGCUGAUUUUAUGAUUAAUUUAUUUCCUUUUUCAAUUUCUUAUGAUUGCGAUUUAAUCUGGAAAGUUAAACGUGAAUUGUUUAGUGCGGAUUAAAUGUUCGACGAAUUUCCCGCAAGAGUAUUAAGUUAAAGAGAAAAAAGAAAACAAUUGAGCGUGAGCGUGAGCGUGAGCGAGAAUGGUGUUUGGGCAAGUGGUGAUUGGUCCGCCCGGCUCGGGAAAGACCACUUACUGCAAUGGCAUAACUCAGUUUCUCAGCCUUGUUGGCAGGUAACUUCGUUUCUUGAUUUCAAGCAGCUUUAUCUUUGAUGACCAAAAAAAUUGAUUUGGGCUUUGCCCAUUAAAUGAAUGUAAGAGCGGUAGGGAAUAACUGAGUUAUAGGAUUAGCUUUAAGUGAACAUUGAUGGUAACAUGCGCGUGAAGGUUGUAUGUGUUCAGUGGCAAGCUGUAUGCCAAUUUGGUCUAUAUGGUUGCUUAGGUAGUAACUUAUUAAUUUUUACGCAGGAAGGUUGCAGUCAUCAAUUUAGAUCCUGCUAAUGAUAGUUUGCCGCAUACUUUGUCAUUGAACUUUCUUACAAAUGCUGUGGUUUGUUGUAGUAUAAUUAGUUCAAUUGGAAACUUCCUUGAUGUUAAUAUAGAAAUGAGUGUGCUGUGAAUAUUGAGGACCUCAUUAGACUAAGUGAUGUGAUGAUGGAGUAUUCACUUGGUCCCAAUGGAGGUUAGUCAGCCUAUUGUUGUUUACUCUUUCUUGCUUUAUCACGCAAUGAUAUUCCUUUGCUUUACAACAAAUUUCGUGAAAUUAACUUCAAUCAAGUGGCAAUGUUCAUAUGCUGUUGAGAUUUUAUGGACAAUGAUUGGUAGACUUUAUAUGCCGUCUUCUUUCUUUUUGCAGUGAUAUGCUUGUAUUCAAUGAGCAUGUACUUAUUCUAUGGUUUCUAAAGUAGGUGUUUUUAUGAUAAACUAGGUCUUGUGUAUUGUAUGGACUAUCUAGAGAAGAAUAUUGACUGGCUGCAGUCGAAAUUAGAACCACUUUUGAAAGGUAAGAAGAGGCCAUUUUCCUUCAUUCUAAUGCCAAUAAUGCUGUCAUGAGACUCAUAAAAAUGUUAAAACGUUAAUGUUUUUGGUAUUUUGCAGAUCAUUAUCUUCUGUUUGAUUUUCCUGGCCAAGUUGAAUUAUUUUUUCUUCAUUCCAAUGCCAAGACUGUUAUAAUGAGACUCAUAAAGAAGUUAAAUCUCAGGGUAUUGUUACAUCUUACAUCUAUGAAGGGACUCAAAGAGUUGAGAUGAAUUCAUCUUUGUUAUUUUGAUGCCAGAAUUGUGCAAUUCUCAGUUGGUUCCUUGCACAUGCAGUUGACUGCAGUGCAUCUAGUUGAUGUGCAUCUUUGCAGUGACCCCGGGAAGUAUGUUAGUGCUUUGCUUCUCUCAUUGUCUACGAUGCUACAUCUGGAACUUCCCCAUGUCAAUGUCUUGUCUAAUCGAUCUGAUUGAGAAUCAUGGAAAGCUAGGUGUGGUUUUAAGUGUAUCUCUCCUACUUGUUUGUUUAGUUUGAAAUAUCAGAUAUUGUCACAAGCUCCUAUUUGCUACAUUUCCUCACCAAUCAAUUACUUUGGGUAUGUUGCAGCUUUUAAUCUCGAGUACUAUACAGAUGUGCAAGAUUUGUCAUAUUUACAGCAUGCUCUCGGUCAGGACCCUCAUUCUGCUAAGUACAGGUUUGAAUUCUAGCUGAAUCAAUGAUGCAAAUUAUGUUCAUUGCUAUUUCUGCUGUUGUUUCUAUCAUUUUCAAUUGUUACCUCCCCUUGCCAUCUACUGCCACACUGCAAUGCCUACACAAAUGUUAUGAAAUUUGUCAAUGGCAAUGCCAUCCUGUUUGUCCAGAGACAGCUCUUAGAUGCAAGUGAACAAUUUUUGGCUUUGGCCGUAGUACAGCCUUAGAUUUCAACUUGCCAUAUCUUGUCUCGGAAGUCAAAAGAAAGCGUAUAUGUUAGCCAAAUUUUAUUUGAAUUUAUUAAGUAACAAUGAAUGGGUCAGAAAAACAGUUCCUCUUUUGUUUUGAUCAGACUCAAUGAAUAAGUGUUUAAAAUGUGCCUGUCCUAAAAAUAUAGAUGUGUGGUUUCACAAAAUUUUCUUGAUCUUAAGAAAGAGUUAUCUUGAAAAGAAGAUAACAUGGAGAAUUCAGCAACUAUACAGUCAUAUUGAUGUCUGUCAACUUGGGUCAGAUGGUGUCGUUUGGAUGGAGAUGUUAGGUCCCAGAUGGUAUGCUUGUUAUCAAAUUCCAGUCUAAUUCAUUCAUGCUUUGAUGACAUAUGCGGUGCAGCUUCUUAUCUAAGACCUGUAUAUGUUCAGUCAUCAUUCAGUUCUGUAUUUGGCUGUCAUUCUUUCAAUGAAUUCAAACCACUUUCUGAAUACUUGCAAGGGAAAUUAUCAUUCGUAUACCCUAUAUUUACUCUGUUAUCAAAAAUACUACAACACUUUGAGGGUGUAUCAAUCGUCCACCAUAAGUUGACAAAAUGUAUCAACCGACCACCAAACCGUUAAUUGUCGUUUGAAAGUUAACGGAAUUACAGUGAAUUGACGAUUUUACCCUUGAAAAUUAUCACUUGUAUACCCAUAAAAUUCUCUUUUUAGCACUUGUAUACCCUUAAAUUAUCACUUGUAUCAUAUGAAAAGACCAAAUUACCCUUCUGAUGUUAUCAUAUUUAAACGGCAACUAACGGUUUGGUGGUCGGCUGAUACAUUUUGUCAACUUAGGGUGGACGAUUGAUACACCCUCAAAGUGUUGUAGUAUUUUUGAUAAUUGAGUAAACUAAGGGUAUACAAGUGAUAAUUUCCCUACUUGCAAAUUCAUCCAGUGUUGUCAUUGAGAUGCCAAUAUGUAAAGGAGCAAUAGUUGCCCUUGAUAGUAUGCUUAUUGAUUGCCUCUUGCCUCACUCAGCCUAAGGAAUCUGGUUGUAUGGUGUUCUUGUAAUUUCAUUUGGAGAUAAGUAAUAUCUGUUGUUCAAAUGUAUUUUAUAUACAACCAGUUCAUAAUUCUGCUUGCAGAAAGCUUACAAAGGAGCUGUGUGAUGUAAUAGAAGACUACAGUCUGGUCAAUUUUUCAACUUUAGAUAUUCAGGUCAUCAGUUUCUCUUGAAUUCUUUCUUGAGUUUCUUUGAAUUAUUUGUGAAUAAGAUCUUAGUUGGCUGCUCCUCUUCAGGAUAAGGAAAGUGUGGCAAAACUCGUGAAGCUGAUAGAUGAAAGCAAUGGGUACAUCUAUGCUGGCAUGGAUGCCAGGGCAGUUGAAUUCAGCAAGAUUGCCGUUCGCGAUGUUGAUUGGGAUUAUUUCGGAUAUCCUUCUUUUCACCUAUUUUCAAUCUUGUUAUUCUCAUAUUCAUAAAACAUUUUGGUUAUUUAAUUAUGGUUCAUCAUAUGCAUCUGCAUCUUCUAACUUGUUCGUUUGAGAAACUAAUUUUGCCGUUAGGUAGGCUUCAAGCUUGAUUCAUGCUUUUUUCAAAAAUGUACCAAAAUCAUGGAAACUUCUUUUUCCCAGAUAUUGUAUCCACACUUUUCCCAUAUAAUUGGGUCAGACAAGUUUUGCUUAACAAAGAUAUCUACAGUAGCCGAAGUGCAGGAGAAGUACAUUAAGGAUGAUGACGAUGUUAACUAAAAUGGGACGUGAAGAUAUGUGGUGUGCAAACCGUAAGCCUGCCUCUUAUUUUUGUGCAUGUUUACUUGCUUGUGAUUCACGUUUGUUAAUCUAUUUUGCUCUCUUGCAGGAGUUAUAAAGUUUUCAAUCAAUCAAACAUUUAACUCAAGUCCUUAGCUCUUCACGGCUUGAAUGGGUCAGAUAGGACAAGCGCCGAAGAGGUGGUUUUAAUCAAACCCCUCCUAAUUAUGAUGUAUGGUCCAAAUCUCGGACUUUCUGUACAAUAUCGAGCGAUUCGGACCUUUCAAGUCGAAUAUUGAUUUUUCUCCAGUAUUGUUUGUAAUUACAAGAAACGAAGUAAUGAAAUUUAUCACUGCGUUCAUAGUUAUGCUUAAGCUCAAAGAUUACCGUCAAGAUCAUUUUGGGCCCUCAAAGAAACAUGAUGUUGACACAUGUAAAAUUAUGAAGCUUGUGAUUAAAAUACUUUUGACAUAUAUAUGUUAAGUACUAUUAAUAAUUAAACAUAUGAAUAAAUAUGGUCAAUGAGGAGAGGAUAAAAUAAAAUGGUUUCAUUUUUUGAAUUACUCAACCGCUUCAAACUUCUAAGAAGUAGAUAUACAAUGAGUGGAAUACUGAAUUGAGUGCGAGCUGCGGAUAACUUAUAAAAUUGGGAUGCAAGCUUCAAGGAAAGUGUAUUGCUAUUCAAAUGUAGAUUUCAAAUUAGGAAGAUAUGCCAGCAAAUUGUAUAAAAAUGUAUAAAUUGAUCAGUAACAUUAAUUCCAAAUGAUGAAAUGAGUUAUCUUGAUCAAAAGGUCAAGAACCUACCUUACUUCUCUUAGAGAUAACUUGCAUCAACCGUUGUGGUAUUCAUACUUGUCUUCAGCUAGUAAAAGUGAAAGUUUCACAAUUGAAAUAAAGCUAAGGGAAGAUGCUAUGCUGCAUUUAUUAUUAUUAUUAUUGAUGUGGUCGAGAAGUAAAGCCAUGCAUAUGAUGAAGUAUAAAUAAGAAUGCAAUAGCCCGGAAUUCAUUUUCACAAACACUUCAAUAUCCUUUUGAUCACUUUUGCAAACAUCAAUUUGUCUCCUCUUGUAUUCACCAUGGUUGAUGCCGUCAUUUCCCCUCUCGUGGAGCAGCUGACUUCCUUCGCUGCUAAAGAGAUAAUACAACAGGUGAUCGAAGUUAAACCCCCCAUAUUAUAAAUACUUCUAAUGAUUUUAAUUGGUUUUGUUUUUAUCGAAAACAUUAACUUUGCUUUAUUUUACUUAUUUAGGCAUUUUAAAUUUUGAAAUUUGAAUUGAAUUUAAUUAAAAUGUGAUGUAGUUAGUAACCACUUUUUUUUAUUUCAUUUAAAUUCUCAAUAACUACCUAUAUUUUGGUAACUUACUGUAACCCCCGUAUCUAAGAAAUGAUCAAAACCCACAAUUUUAACUCCACAUAAAUAUUCCAUGUUGAGCUAAGUUCGAUGUUGAGGUAAGUUUUUGCAUAACAUUCAAGUUUGUCAAAUAGUCAUUAAUUAAAUGUUUAGUAAAAACUUAUCUCUGAAAAAUUUCAUAAUUUUCUUACAUUCUUUGAGUUUGGUAAGUGACUUCAUAUAAUUUCCUUUCAAUUUAAAUUUUAAUUUGGUUUCUGAUAUAGUCUCUUUACUGAAUUUAUAUCUUUUAUGAUUCUUGGAUUUGGGGCUCCAACUUUUUAGGAUUUGAUAGUCACAUUUUAUGGCAUGCUUAGAUUGAUUUUCAUGAUUUUUAGUACUCGUUAAGUGACUGAGAAUUUGACAAAAGUUUGAAAGGAAAUCCGUUUCACGAUUCUUAUGUGGAAGGUUCAUAAAAUCAUUAAAUUUGGAUAGGAUUCAUUAGCAAUAUGUACAAGACUCUCCAUGAAGUUUCGUAAUUUUUCAUUCGGUCUGGGGUGGUACAGGUAAAGCUUGUGGUUGGUGUUGAAAAAGAAGUGAAAAGCCUUACCAGCCACCUUCAAGCCAUUCAAGCUGUUAGCGAUGAUGCAGAGGAAAAGCAAGUGAAGGACAAAGCUAUUAGACUUUGGCUGGGUAGGCUCAAGUACGCAUCCUACGACAUUGAAGAUGUGUUGGAUGAAUGGAUCACGGCAAGAGGCAAAUUGCAAAUUAAGGGUGGCGCUGAUAAGAAAAAGAAGGUUUGUUUCUGCUUUCCCGCCUCUUGUUUUGGAUUCAAACAAGUCUUUCUACGUCAUGACAUUGCCAACAAGAUCAAAGAAGUCAGUGAAGAGCUACAUGAUAUUGCCACCCAAAAAGACAUGUUUAAAUUUGAGAGUAGCAGUAAAAGUAGUGAAAGACCAAGGCGUGUGCAGAGUACCUCCUUGAUUGAUGAGGAAGAGAUUUGUGGUAGAGUUGGUGAGAGGAAUGCACUCUUAAGCAUGCUGUUGUGUGAGAGCAGUGAGCAACAAAAAGGCCUUCAUAUCAUCUCAAUUGUUGGUAUGGGAGGCAUCGGGAAAACAACUCUUGCACAACUAGCAUGUAAUCAUGUUGAGGUAAAGAGAGAGUUUGACAAAAUUUUAUGGGUGUGUGUAUCAGAAACUUUUGACGAGUUUAGGAUUGCCAAAGCGAUGCUUGAAGCUUUGACUGGUUCAACUUCUAAUUUAGAUGCAUUGCAAUCUCUUCUUAUAAGUAUUGAUGAAUCUAUUGCGGGAAAGAGAUUUCUUCUUGUCUUAGAUGACGUGUGGGACGGAGAUUACAUUAAAUGGGAACCAUUCUACCGUUGCCUAAAGAAAGGUCUCCAUGGAAGUAAAAUUUUAAUUACGACACGUAAGGAGUCAAUUGUGAGCAUGAUGAGAUCCACAGAUAUUAUCUCUAUCAAGGAAUUGGCUGAAGAAGAAUGUUGGGCAUUGUUUAAGCGGUUAGCAUUUUUCGGUCGUUCCACUGAGGAGUGUGAAAAAUUGGAACAAACUGGUCAAAGAAUUGCAAGAAAGUGUAAAGGUUUACCUCUUGCUGCAAAGACAAUGGGAAGUCUCAUGAGCUCUAAAAAAAUUGAAGAAGAGUGGAAAAGAAUUUUAAAUAGUGAUUUAUGGAAGGUAGAAGAGAUCGAGAAAGGUGUUCUAACCCCUUUGUGGUUGAGUUAUAACGAUUUGCCAUCUAGAGUAAAAAGAUGUUUCUCGUAUUGUGCUGUCUUUCCAAAAGACUACAAUAUAGAAAAAGACAAACUAAUUACUUUGUGGAUGGCUCAAGGUUAUCUUAGUGCAGAAGCAGCAGAACAAGAUGAGGAGUUGGAGACUAUAGGUGAAGAGUAUUUUGGCAUCUUAGCUUCUCGCUCUUUCUUUCAAGAGUUUGAGAAACGUUAUGAUAAUCGUAUUAUAGCGUGCAAGAUGCAUGAUAUGGUACAUGAUUUUGCCCAAUUUGUUAGUCAAAAUGAAUGUUUUUCGUUGGAAGUUAAUGGUAGUGAGGAACUAAACGUCACAAACUCUACAAACUCUCUUGAUGAGAAGGUCCGUCAUUUAAUGUUAAUCUUUAGUAAAGGGGCUUCAUUACCGGUUUCCACUCUUAGAGUUAAAAGAAUGCGUACCCUCUUAAUUAACGAUAGUAGAUCUGAUCAUUCAUUAUUAAAUGGUGAGAUCCUAGAAGAAUUAUUUAGGGAGUUGACAAGUUUAAGGGCAUUAGAUUUUGGCAAAUCGUAUAACUCAAGUUGGUAUUCGACUCUGGAGAUUCCGAGAAACAUAGAAAAGCUGGUACAUUUAAGAUACCUUAAUUUGUUUUAUCAGGGAAUAAAGAAACUACCGGAGACAUUAUGCGAGUUGUAUAAUCUAGAAAAGUUAGAUAUUAGUUUAUGUUUUAAUCUUAAAGAAUUACCUGAAGGGAUUGGGAAGUUAAUAAACAUGAAGCAUUUACGAAAUAGAGGUACUAGUUCUUUAAGGUACAUGCCAGUAGGGAUUGGGAGAUUAACGGGUCUCAGGACCUUGGAUGAGUUCCACGUGAGUGGAGGAGGAGGUGUUGAUUGUAGGAAAGCAUGUAGGCUUGAAUCUCUCAAAAACUUGGAAAACCUUCGAGUGUGUGGUAUAUGUAGACUGGGUGAUGUAUCAGAAGUGGGCGAGGCUAAGCGAUUAGAACUUGACAAAAAGAAAUACCUCUCUUGUUUGAGACUUCGGUUUGAUAAGAAGAAAGAAGAAGGAGAAAGGAGGAAGAACGAGUACGAUCAACUUCUUCUUGAAGCCCUACAACCACCUCUCAAUUUAAAGGAAUUAGAGAUAGAGUACUACCGAGGCAACACUGUUUUCCCCAGCUGGAUGACGUCAUUAACCAACUUAAAGAGUUUAGAUCUCUCUUCCUGUGAAAAUUGCGAGCAGCUGCCUCCUUUGGGAAAAUUGCCAUCCCUUGAAAAUCUCCACAUAUAUCGCAUGGAGAGUGUGAAAAGAGUGGGUGAUGAAUUUUUGGGGAUAGAAAGUGAUCAUCAUGGCUCAUCUUCAUCGGUUAUUAUUGCCUUCCCCAAAUUGAAAUCACUCACAAUUUCUUUGAUGCUGGAAUUGGAGGAGUGGGAUUAUGGGAUUACAAGAACGGGAAACACCGUCAUCAUCAUCAUGCCACGUCUUUCUUCCUUGACAAUUGGGAAUAGUCCCAAAUUAAAGGCACUGCCCAACCACAUUCAUCAAACGACAACAUUGAAGACAUUGCGCAUUUGGAGGUGUGACCUUCUGGAAGAACGUUACCGCAAGGGGGAAGGAGAAGACUGGCCUAAGAUAUCACACAUUCCCAAUCUCCAUUUUGGGCUUUGACAAGUAAUUUCUUCUCUUACUCUGAUUUGCUUUGUUGUUGUUUUUAAUCUAAUUAAGAAGCGUAAAUAGCAUUUUGAAUCAAACUCUAUAUCAGAAAUCUGCAAUACUUACUUUCUAAUAUUCUGAUUUUCAUAUCCUAUGAAUAUACGAUUUUUAAUUUGUGGGAUGGGUAACGUUACUGUAAAAGAUUAUUAAUGCAAUAUGAGUAAUUCUUUUGCAGGACAAGUGGCCUACAUUUAGUUUGGCUUUGGAGUUGAAUAAUAACCUUUCGAGGUCCCGACAACCAAAAAACGAAACUUAAUUUGCCACAGAUUGCACGUAUUGCCAUUAUUGACAAUUUUCUGCACAAGCUUAGGUUGAUGUCAAAAGAGGUAAAUUAUUGGCAUGCCUGACUAUUUUGACCAUUACAUGAUUCAUAAGUUUACAUUAAUUUUGAUUUUGAGUUGAGUGAUUAAUUUUCUAGGUUUGCUUACUUUAACUGGGUGACCAAUUUCUUGUAACCAAAUGUAUGAUGUGAUGCAGGAAGCAGGGCAGGACAUGAAAAGAGAAGCUUAUUAGAGGAAGGAUUGCCAGUAACAGAAUCCAAAGAAAAAGAAACCAUUUCGAGGCAGCAGUUGGCAGUUGGCAGUGAAUGGAGCCCCUUGAAAAAACCCCCAAGCGGUUGCACUGCAAUUACGAUCAUCCUCGGCCUCAGGUAAUUUCUUCUCCUGCAUUUUUGUUAUUUGCUAUCAAGUGACUAUUUUAAGUAUGAUUGCAUUAAGCUGCUGCUGGGAAAUUUGAGGUUUUGAUGACUGCCCAUGCUAUUGUAAGAAGCUGCGGUUCUUUUCAUCAGCCUGAACCUGGACCUGCCGCUAUGGAUAACUCAGUUUUUCUUUUUUUUAAUCAACUGCCAUCUUUUCCACUGUUUAGAAACUCUUUAAGAUUAAACUUUAGUAAAGUUGUUUUAGUUAUUCAUGUAAUCAGGCUGAGGAUACUUAGCUGCCUAUUUAGGCAAAUGUCAGAAUUUAGUUUGUUCGCUGGGUACUGGUGGGGACUGGCAAAGGAUGAUGAGAUAGUUUUUUGAGUGAGUAAAUUUUGGGAGCUUGAGUGUAUUGGGAUUUGCAAUUACAAUCAUCGUCUGCCUCAGGUGAUUCUUUUUCCUGCUCUGUCAUUGUUUGUUCUCUAAUUCAAAAGCAUAAAAUAUUUCAAUCAAUUUUUAUGCCAGGAAUAUGCAAAAGUUUCUAAUAUUUUAUUUCCAUCUGUUACAAGAUCAAACUGAAGCAGAACUCAAACAAAAGUAUGCUACUUCUUGCGGAAAUCUUGCCUUUGUUCAGAUUAUGAAACCAUUUCCAUGCAGCAAAUUCAUCCAAAAGUUUGAAUAAGUUUCACGGUUGGACACUGUUGGCUUCUUUUUCUUCUGGGGUGCAUUUAGGUGCUAUCAAGUGACAGCUGUAAGUAUGAUUGCACUAAGCUGCUGCUGGGAAAUUUGAGGUUUUGAUGGCUGCCCAUGUUAUUUUCAAUAAACUAUUGAUGUAAGAAGCUGUGGUUCUUUUCAUCAGCUUGAACCUGAAACUGUCGCUAUGGAUAACUCAGGUUUUUGUUAUCAACUAUAUCAUCUUUUUCACUAUUUUGAAACUCUUAAGAUUAAACUUUAGUAAAGUUGUUUCAGCUAUUCAAAUGAAAAACUCAUUGAUUUGAGAAUUCCUUCAUUAUUGUUUCUAAUUACAAUGCUAACGAUCCAGAUAAAAUAAUAUUUAAUCGGCGAAGGUGUCCCUUGGAAGUACAUCCUUCUUUUUCUUUUAUUAUAUCAAUUCUUGCAAUGAGCUUAGUGAAGCUGUUGUGCUAAUCAUGCCACUGCAUAAUUUGGCCCCUAAUGUGGGUACUCUGUUACAUUGUUCUGCAAAUUCUCCAGAAGUUAAAAUCAAUAAAUUUUCUAUUAGCUCUAGUGCUUUGACCUAAAUGCUAUUCUAUAUUCUGAUUACAAUGUUUUAACCUUUAAAUUAACUACCCCUAGAUGUUGGAUUUUCUAGAACUUCAAAAUGAUUAAUGGAGAAAGAUCCCAUUAUCGUUAUUGCUAUAAGAAAUUGAUUUAUGCAUCCAAAGAUACAUUAUAUAUUUCUGUGUCUCUAUUUAUAGAUGACAUUUAAGCAUCCAUAAACCGUCAGACAGAGGAAGGGGGUUCAGUGCAAAGAUUCUGUUGACCUAGGGUUGACUGCAUAUGUCACUUGUUCGCAAUCUAUUAUUUAUUUUAUAUUUUGAAGAAUUUAAUGGGUAAUCCUAAUUGUUUGUUUUGGCAGGUAUGUGUUGUUAUCUCCUUCUAUCUAACAGUCGUACCUAAAUAGCAUAGUUUCAUCUGUGUUACCAUGUGAUGUACAUAAUUUCACAUUUGCCUCAGAUUAAGCUUAAUUUCCCACAGAAUAGAGCUGUCGCGACUGGACUUAGGUUGAUGUCCAAAGAGGUAAAUUAUUGGUAUGCCUAGAUAAUUUGGCCAUUUCCUAAUUCAUAAGUCUACAUUAAUUUUGAUUUUGAGUUGACUGAUUUCUUUUCAAGGUCUGCUUCCUUAACGGAGUGACCAAUGUUUUUCAACUAAAUUUAUCAUAUGAUGCAGGAAGCAGGGCAGGAUAUGCAAU
rnacentral:lncRNA from 1 species